rnacentral:lncRNA from 1 species
UCACCGAAACACGUAAUACAAGACGGCAUCCACUCUAACAGAACAAGCACACAAAUGGAGUUGAUAGCAAACUAACUACGGCGGCCUCUCCCCGCGGGCUUCUCCAGCUAAAGGAAUGGCAUCUCCAGAGAAGCUUUUACGACCAGACUCGGAAGAUGAGAAAUAUGCCAGCAAAAAUCAAAGAAAACGCCGAUUCAGUCUUGGUUUUAAUGAUUCCAUAACAAAUAGAGCACACAAAAUUAACAUUUCGAGCAUCUCGCUAAAAUUGAAUUCGAUUUUUCAUCGAGACAUUCCGUCGAACAGUUCAUGUGCAGUUCGGAAUACCACCCGUAGCUUCGAAAGCUUGCUGCGACGAACGGCGACGAGCGAGUCGGCUUCCCUGGAAGGUCGCAAGGGUGAUCGAGGCGGACCACCGACGAGACCCACGAAUUCUCUCCUCUCGGUUUCGGCUUUCUCUUCGAAACACCUCCGGCUCCACCCCCCGAACCGAUCCUCUCUCUCGCUCCUUCUUCCUCUUUCGUUUCUGGCUCAUCCCGAACUUUUCAAGGAGAACAAAUUGAGCUCCUAACGGGAAAGUUCAUGGCCCAUCCAGCAUCCGUCUCCAUCUUCUUCGCUGGGCAAUCCUCGCUCUGGCUCGAAUCGCCGCGACUCUGGUGUUCGAGCGCCGUCUUCCGGCGGGAAAUCUCUACCUCGCUCAAUCAUCACUGGCAGCAUUGAUCGUCUUCUCUCCGCAGCGAUGGUACAGAAGCAGCACCACAAGUCCAACGCUAAGAAACAGCCUCACGCAAGCGAUUUCCUUCGCUACUUAUGGUUGCAAUUUCCAUCUAUUUAGGCACUCGUGACUAUUUCUUGGUUGGAGUGUUCGUAGGUGGUUGUUUUCGGAUUCUGAGCAUACGUGAAUGUGGUAUGCGUCGAUGAACAGGUCAAAAAGCAGGGGAAGCAAGCGCAUAACACGCAGUUCCGAGGUCAGCUUGAUGCUCUGGGCCUGAAAAUUGUCCAGGUGACUGCAGAUUGCAAUUGCUUUUUCAGGUCUGUGUUCCUUGUCAGAAAUGAUCGCCGACUUGUUUUCAUGAUUUUUUAUUGAAUAUUUCCAGGAAUUGGUUUGUUUCGUAAAAUGACAGUAAUCCUCUCUGUUGUAGAGGUCAAUGGUAUGCUCAUCGCAUUACCACUCUGUCGUCAGAACAUGACAUGCAUUGCAUUUUAUGGUACACUGGUUCUGGAAAACUAUCAUCGAUGUACUAGAAAUACCUCUGCUGGGAAAAUUAUUGCAUUUUCGUAUGAUGUAUUUGUCGGGGAACAUAGCUCUCUUAUCUUAGUCUCCAGGAUAAUAGAUUGACUCUUCUGAGAUCCAACUAAGUUACUUCGUAAAAUUUCAUAACUAUUGUACAACGUCCAAGACAAACAAACCAUCUUCCUCAUUCCCGUUUUCACUGUAUGGAGCUUUCGGUUAUAGAAAUGCCUUUACUAUGGUUGGAAUUUUCGUAGUUGUCCACCCUUGUUAAUGAGGGCCCUUUCAGAUCGGUUGGGAGGCAAUGGAGAUGAACAUGGAAAGUACCGGAGUAUGGUUGUUCAGUAUAUAUUGGUACGUGGAAUGCAGAUAUCUCUUUUUUCUGUAGGAAGGAUUUUUUUUCGCAUGGUGAUUUCGUCCUCAUUUGUAUUAGUGCUCAGCGAUCUGAAUCUGAACUUUUAUUGGUGCAUUUUGUUCUUGAAAUAUUUUUUAUAAGUAUGGACGGAUUUUGCUCUUAUAUAGACACUGAAAGAGUAUGCCUUGGAAAGAAAAAAAUCAAGUUAAAAUGGGUAUUAUAAAUUGAAGCUUAUCAUGUGAGCAAGUAGACAUUUUUAUUUUACUGGAGAGGAAAACCCAUUGAGUGUUGACUGCGAUUUGGAUGGUGUAUGGCCUAAACUGACAGGUACAGGAGGAAGCUGGACUGGUGUAGUUACCCUCAUUGUUCUAGCCUACAGGAACAUGCGAUUGCUAUUUUAGGUUGGCAAUAUUAUGCAAACCAACAUAUUUUUUGUCGGAGAUAUUGACAAAUUUGAAAUGAGAGGAUUGACACUAACGUAAAAUAAAUACACUUUUUAGCAUGUAUGAUAAGACUGCAAUGUUUUGCUGAAGAAUGGACCUGAUAUAUGUAUCUAAGAUGGGAAUUGUUGAUGACAGAAAAAUCGCGAAACAUUUGAACCAUUUAUCGAGGAUGAUGUGCCAUUUGAAGAGUAUUGCAAAACCAUGGACAAUGAUGGCACGUGGGCUGGUCAUAUGGAAUUGCAAGCAGCUUCUCUUGUUACACGGAGUAACAUUUGCAUUCAUCGGGUAAGACUGACAAUGAUGUCAUCAACCAUCAUCGACAUCAAGUUUUUUGGAUUACGGUCCUUUCAUUCCUUUGGGGGAAACAUCCAGACUGAAUAAAGACGUCAUUAGAUUUGUCAAUCGUUAACCUUGCUACUGUUGACCACCCCAUUCGGUAACUGUGUUGGGUAUGCGCUCAGACCCUCUUUACGGUAGGGCGAGAGUUCGAACCCCCAGGUUCGCAUACUGUGCAUUCAUUAGUGGUCUUAAGUAUUGACGGUUCGUGGAUAUCAAAAAAAAAAAAAAACCUUGCUACUGUGUUUGAAGUUUCCCUGUUUAACCAUGCAUCCUAGAAUUCAAUGACUAUUGAAGAACCCAUGAUUAUCGGUUCCCAGACUCAUUGUUCACUUCUUCAUAUAAUGGCUUUCUUUCCCAAUAUGGCCCUCCUUUAUCUAAGAAGUUAUUUCUAAUCAUUGUUAAGAUCAAAGACCACUUAGGAUAUUGUUUUUGUAAUGGUUAUAGCUUGUUCAUUUCUGUCUGGUUAUAAUUUGUUACUUUUUAAACUGUUGACUCAUCUGAAGCGCAAUGAUAUCUGGCAUGUCUCCCGACGUCUAUUGUGGCAAAAGCAUGUAGAAGGGCCAUUGGUGAUGAUAUGCAAAAGAUUUUUUCAGGGAUAGAUUGCACCUUUUAGCGGAAGGAGUUCCAACGGGUGCAUAUAAUCCUAAUUCAUAGAAUACUAGAUAUAUUGAAGAUGUUACAGCAUUGCUGGCACGUUGAGUUUUCUAUAUGUCCUCGAUGAAUCUACACAUUAGCACUAAUUAGUUUUGGCACAUGCCAUGCAUGCAAAUAUUUGUUCGUUGACUACAGUUGGAACAAUUUAGCUCACUCCUUGCUUGAUGCAGAACAUGUCGCCUCGGUGGUACAUACGCAAUUUUGAUCAGCCUGGUGCUCCUAUGAUCCAUUUGUGAGUAUUCUUAAUCCUCAGCCUGAUGAUGUUUUUGGCUAAGCAAGCGCUCAAAUACUGGGAUAAAAUCUGGCUCUAUCUGCAUACAGUUAAAUAAAUUACCCUUUCUUACAUUUUGCUUUCCCUCAAAAAAUUUGAAAAUAGAAGAUGGUUUUUAAUUUUUAAGAGAUUAUGAAUAUAUUCUAUGUUUCUCCAGGUCAAUUAAGUUUAUUUAAAAAGGUUUUAGGUGUUUCGAGUUUCUUAAAAGUCAAAUUGCAAGAGUGGCAAGAUUUGGGGAGAAAAAAAAAGAAAAAACCUAUAAGUACAGGUGCAAACAAACUGGCUCAUUACAUGAGAAGGUACUGCAGCUUGUUCAGGGAGACUGCUGAUUCGUGAAAUUUUUUUGGCAUGCAAGGAAGUUGCAGAUAUGAGUGUAGAUGUGGUGUUGCUAGAUUUAAUUCUCUUGCUAGUUCGAGAGAUGUUUCGGUGUGGUCAUGAGAAAAUAAAUUACUGGCUAAGCAUACGUGAUAGGAGACCAAAAUGUCACUUUAGCUUUUGUUUCUCCAAUAAUUUUUAUUGAAAUUCCCAUGAACAGAUAUCCUUCAAUGAAUGCAUGCCAGGAUAUUCUAAGUUAAGAUUGAUUGGCUCUGUUGAGGUAGCCAUUAUGAUUUUGGAUUGUCACGACUGUCAUGAAAUCUAGUUGAUAUAUGAUAUUCCGCACUUUACUAUAUUUGAUAAGUGUCAUCAUUCGAAGCAAGUAAGCAUAAAAAAAGUGUGUUGUGCCUUUAUUGUUUUGUGGAUAGGUAAAAUCCUUUAGUAUUGUUGUACCGAUUGGUGUUUAUAUGUGCAUUAUUCUAGCUUAUAGAUUUUGCUUUGUUUUAUUAGAUCUUAUCACGAUGAGGAACAUUAUAACAGAGUGAGGUUAAAGGAAGACACCGGGGAUGGGCCAGCUAGGCCAAUUACAAUCAAGGUUGCUACUGGAAUUUAAUUUUAGUUUACCAAGUCAGUACGGAAGUUGGAUAAAUUUGUAAAUUGAAGUAUGUGAUUUGAUAAUUUCUUUUGCUGAAAGGCUGAUUCUAAUCUCUCUUCGUCGUCUCGCCAAGCAAAAGCUGGGUCAAACGCGUCUAAGUCAGGAGCUGGUAAGGAUACUACUGAUGCAGGAUCCAUCAAGCUAGUCAUGGCAGGAAGUGGUUGUGAGAAUAUCAAGAAAGUUGAGCAGGUUAUGUCCUCUCUUCUUCUGCUUGCAUGUUUGGAUUAGAUGCUUACCUCUCAUUUGCUGGGUGAAUCUAGAAUUAGAAUGCAAUGUUUUGGACCUUUUUCUGAUUUCUGUGUGAUAUGUGAGACUUUUACAGACAUCGCUGCAAAUGUAUGGGGAUGUUGAUGCUGCCAUAGAGUAUUUGAUAGCAGAACAAGGCGUCGAAGAUUUUUCAGAGGAAACUAUUCGGUCUCUCUGUGGUGCAGAUCCUUCUCAUGGUAAUGGCUGGUCAGUAUUUAUUUUUAUUUUUUUGGUAAAAGUAAGCAAUAUAUUGGCGGAAGGCCAAACUGUACAUACAAACCGGCUUCAAAAACUUGUACUCAAGAUGAACAGGCUCAUUAUGAGUUAAAGGAAGCUGGGAGAAAAAGCCAAGCGGCUGCAACAAGAACAAAAAAGAACAAAAGAAAGCCAGACGGCAAGGACAACCGUUAGUCAAAAGCAACCAACAAACAACCGGUAGAUUAGACAGACGGAUGGACAUCUCUAGAAGAGAAGAUAAUGGGGUCGACAUCCCAAGAGCGUUGCAGCCUUCUAUUUCUAAUGGAGUUGUCCACAAUUCUGAAGUUGACCGCCUUGUCUUUGACAACUCUGAGCAAAUGCUUUUCCAUGGCCGGAAGAGAAAGCGGUUCCCCCUGAAGAGAAUGUUGUUCCUAUUCUUCCAGAUGAUAUGGCAAAGCGCACCAAAAGAAAAAUGGGCAACACAUUUAUAAAACUCCUUGCCCGAAAGCAAGAUGAUGGCCCAACGAAGAUUCUCCCCCCAAGACCUAUUAUGCCAGGGAAGAUUACAUCUGGCCGCCCAAAAGUACACAAUACUAGACGUAAUGUGACACCCAAAAAAGAAAUGAUCUAUAGAGUCGGGCACAUCAUUGCAAAAGGAGCAGGAAGCAGCAUCAAUCCUAUCAUGAGACAUAAGGAGAGAUUGGGUAGGAAGCCUACGCUUGGUGAUGAGCCAAAGGUUAAGUUGAUACCGAGGUAGGAUGGCAUUGUUCCAGAUGAAAUGAUGCCAAUUGACUCGGGCCUUUUUCCGCCUUAAGACCUCCCAAGCCAAGGCAACCGAGAACACGCCCGACGAGUCCUCUCUCCAACAAAAACGAUCCUGGCUCCGAGACAGGGAAGGAAGUGGCGAACCCUAAGUCUCAAUCACCGCCCUGAUAGCCUGGCCAUCAUCAGAAAAGAGGUCAGCCACCAAAGCCUGCCUAGAGAGACCGAACCUAUAGAUGAGCAAAUCUGAGAAAUAUAAGUUCAAAGAGCCCCUAGGAUGCCAAUUGUCAAACCAGAGUAACAGUGAUAGGCCAUCCCCUAUCCUCCAAAAGAAGCUAAGCCGGACUUUCGUCCUGAGUUGUAGAAUUUCUGCCAAGCCCAGGAGCAAUAAGUUGGCUUCUUAACGACCCAUAAAUUUCUAUUCUUUAAGAAGCUGGAGUGGAUCCACUUGCACCAUAAAAACUCCUUAUCUGAAAACAAGUUCCAAAUAUGUUUGAGCAUGGCCGCCUUAUUACACUCUCGUAAUCUUUGGAUACUAAGACAUCCCUCCACUUUAGGGAGGCAUAAAUCAUCCUAGGAGACCUUGGCACCCCCUCUGCCCAACUCUGAGCCAUUCCAAAGGAAUUGUCUGAGAAUUCGCUCAAUCUGGUCCAGCACUGCCGCAGGAAGAAUGAAGACAAUCACCCAAUAGGCCUGGAUGGCAUGAAGAACUGACAUGGAUGGCUGGUCAGUAUUUAUCUCUCUAUAUUUUGAUUAAUUAUUUAACUUCAUAGUUUCAUAUGUACUUUGUUAAGCUUCACAAGAAGCUUAUAUGGAGUCAUUUUGAUGUAACUGGUAGGAUUAGCAUAUUUUGUCUUGUCGUCCAUGGAUUUGUGGGGUAGUCAAACAUUCUAAACCCAAAAGUAUUUCAUAAUUCUUUAUGGUAGUUAGGUGAUGAUGCCUGUGGAAAUUCUAAGGAACAGAGAGAGGAGCCUGUGGAAGAGACCUAUAAAGAGAAUCCACUUAGCAAUAGUGCUAAACGGACUCAUGAUGAUGGCAAUGCCCAGUGACAAGACCAGGUUUCCACAAGUGAUGAUUAAGCUCAAAACGCGAGAAUUGUUGGUGACGCGCGUCUUCAUUUUUAUCUGCUCGUUUUAUUUUGAAAUGCAGAAAAUCUCAAGAAAUAAGGCUUGUCCAUGUGGUUCAAAAAAGAGAUGCAAGUCCUGUUGCGGGUCAGGGAAAGGGAAAGUCUCUGCAAUUUCCAAGUAUUUCUCGUUCUCUCUGUGCUUUAUAUGUCAAGUUAUAGUUUAAGUUUGUCUGUUGUUAAAGCAUUUUUCCUUGUUCCCUGUGAUUGGGGUUGAUACUUAUCUUGAAAGUUUAUGGUUUAUGUAUCUAACAUGGUAUCGAUUACCUUCCUUAAAUUCAAGUCUGGAACAUUUUCUCACUCUUACACUUUGUUAAAUAAAAAAGGUUAAUACAUGAGUAAUUUAAAUUUAUACUUACAAAAACAAAGACAGCAGCGAAGAUUUCUCCAUUUUUAUGCCUAGAUGUUGUUUUGCAGUGAUCAAGCUCUUGAAUUCAGAAAAAGUAGAAAGGAAAAGAAGCGAGGCAAGAGAGGGUCUGACACAUCUGCACUUUCUACUGGAUCUGAUGGAGGGCCACCUGAUGUGGGGGCUCUUUGUAUCUGAUCUUUUGCCAAUGUAUGUGCACCAUUAUCUUUUGAAUUUCAGAUAUCAGUAUGUGUGCAGUCUUUCAAAUAUUUGAUUAGAUUAGACACAAUUUUUUUCUAUCCAUAUUAGCAUGUAUUUGAUGCGUGCAUCUCUUCUUCGAUCUCUGGGAUAAUUGCACUUUCUAGUUUUCCAUCUGUUGCCAAAUUUACAAAGAUCUACAGGUACAAAAUUUUCAAUGGUGUUACUUUUCUCAGAUAGUCUGCCCGUCUGAUGCAUUUUAUAUUGGCAAUUGUAAUUUGGAUAUUCUUUGUACACAUAAUUGAGGCGCAUGCACAUAACACCUACCUUGGUAGAUUGUUGGCAUUGGCAUGGGUGAGUUUGGUCAGCAACCAAAGGGGGAAGAAGAUAAAGGAAAUUCAGUUAUUGCCAUCCGAGGGUUAAACCUUUUCAUGAAUAUAAAAGAGACGUUCAUAUCAAUUUGACUAGUGACGGUUUAAUUUUUAAAUUCCCUUCCAAAGUAUUGGUUUUGCUAUAAUUGUAGUUUGGGGUUCCUGUGAAGACGUUAUUCUUUUUCUUGUUAUUUCAUUGACAAGAAAUGCACUAAGCAUCUAUGCACACAACUUCUUGUAAUUGAUGAAUGACGUAUGAAUCCAAAAUGCACUUAAGCUUCAUCUACAAGGAUCUGAAAGCAAACCAUUUGUAGUUGGAGACGACACAGAUAUCACAUAAUGUAGCUCCUUCGUUGAAAUUGGUGCAGAUUUCUAAGAUUAAACAAUUUGGACUGUUUGUUCAGUUAUUUUGGCAAAAAAAUUGUGUCUCAUAGAUCUUUUCGGUUGUUAUUAGUUGUUAUGUCAUCAUAACAUCAUUUAGACUAAUUGUAGUCUCCAAACCUCUUAAAGUGAUGGAUAAUGUGUAGAUAUCACGAGCGUUUGCGAAGUUUUAGCAGUAGAUUUUCCAGUUAUGCCGCAAUUUAAAUCCUGACUUUUUUCUUGUUGUUUUUGUGGAAUUGCAUUGUGUCAGAUGUGGCUUGUCCAGUCCCCAAGAAUCACAACAAUUUUGCGGGUUCAUCAUUGGAUCCACUAGGGAGUGGGAGAGAGUCGAAUUGUGAGCAGAAAACUAAUGCUCAAAGAAGUCUAUAACUCGAGCUUCUCUUCGGAGCAAUUUAUGAGGUUACUUAUUAUUUUUUUUCUUUGGCUUGCCUCACACAUAAAUCUUUUCAUUCUCUAUUAGCAAACACAGAGCGGAUGUUUGUAUAAGGCUAUCCUCUGUCUUCAAAGGCUGGUACCUUACUAGUCUUGUAUACUACUUUGUCCCAAAAUAGGGAAUUAAAAAAUCCUUACUUCUUCAUCUAACAGCUUGACAAGCAUUGAACCUUUCAUGUUGAUGCUGCUCUAAUAGUGUAGGGAGUCAAGCAAUCAGUUAAGCUAAUAAUAUAACUCAAUGUGUAGAUUGAUUUAUUCCAUGUAAGAAUUGAAAAGCACUUGCUUCUUUUGCAAGAUAUCAAGGCGUGCCUUGUGAGCCCCAUUUUCAUUCAAAUGGUGAUCCAACAUGUGGGAGGGCAUAAUUGCUAAAUGAUAUGGGAGAAUGCAGACAUCACGAGAACUUUAAUGCAAUAAAAGCAUCUUCGGCUUGGCCUACGCUGUGAUGUUCCGUGGAUGUCUAGGCCCGUAAGUGGACUUUUCCCAUCAUGUGCCGUAGUUGAACGGGCUUGGUCAACCUGCUUCUUCAUUGUCAUUGAUAGGGUGGUCUAUAAGAGCCAGGAGACCAAACCUAGGUCCCUUACAUGAGAUAAGUGUACCUAGCCAGUAAUUCAGCGUCUAGUAUAAUAGACUUCCUUUGUUUCUCUGCCAAAGAAAAACACUUCGAUAAAGUUCUGAUUUUCAAUCAUUGAUCUAGUUGUUAGCCAUGUAUUUAAGUUCUAUCUUGCGGUUAUGUUCAACCAUUUUGUAUUAUGAAUUUAGAAGAACUUUGACAGGUAAAUACAUGAUGCAUUGUAUUCAAAUUUCUGGUCCAUUGAUUUUGCAGGUUGGCUCCACCGGGUUCAUUCCAAUCAGAGUAAAAAAGGGCCAAUAUUAGAUCAAUGAUAGUUUAGUUGGAAUAUCGAAGAGUGCUAACAAAGUUUAGAAUCACCACAAGGAGAGUUGUGUCAUAUAAAGGCCAAGGUCAUGAUGUUGUAUCACGUGGAAGGGAGGUGUCGUGCAACAAGAAAAUCAAUUUCAAUAAGUAAGUGUCAAAGUAAAGUGAUCGGCAUUUCAUAUGACCAGUUNNNNNNNNNNNNNNNNNNNNNNNNNNNNNNNNNNNNNNNNNNNNNNNNNNNNNNNNNNNNNNNNNNNNNNNNNNNNNNNNNNNNNNNNNNNNNNNNNNNNNNNNNNNNNNNNNNNNNNNNNNNNNNNNNNNNNNNNNNNNNNNNNNNNNNNNNNNNNNNNNNNNNNNNNNNNNNNNNNNNNNNNNNNNNNNNNNNNNNNNNNNNNNNNNNNNNNNNNNNNNNNNNNNNNNNNNNNNGAAAUUUAGAUGUCAAGUAAAACAAUCAACAUUUCAUAUGAUCAAUUUAAUUGAUCAGUCACAUCAUGUCAGUCAUCAUCGAUUUGACUACCGAAUAAAAUAUCUUUUUCAAAUGAGGGGAUAGUCCCUCAAAAGUUUUGAAAUGCUAGAAAUUCAAAACUCAUAAGAACAUUAGGAAAUCUACUCCCUUUCAAGAAAUGCUAAUCAUCACCCAAAUUUGCGAGGACUUCCAAGAUGUACCACUGUUGAUAUACUCUUACUAGUUGCUAAAUAGACAUUCCGUCACUUAAGAAUUCAUGGAAGGAAUUUACUGUGCUAUCCGAUGAUUACUAAGUGAUAGGAUCAUCGAGACAUAAACUCUACAAUCAAAUUGCUAGCCUUAAAAAAAGUUAGCUUACUACAGGCGUAGCGAUGAUCAUGAGGACUCCACGGAACUUACAACUGUCGGAAAAAUAGUUUACGAUGCACAAAUGCUAUCAAUUACAAAUAAAGAGGGAAAGUACUGUAUGAAUGGAGAAUUGCAAAAUGACAGCACCGUCAACUUAAGAAUAACGAAGAGAUGUUCGCGAUGGAAAGUUAUUAAUCAUUGGCGCAAUAUAACUUUUUCAGGAUUUCAUGUGAGUGACAAUUGUUCUGGAAUAUUUACUAAGAAAUUUCAUUAUUUGUUACGACUGAUGAAAUUAACUAAAUUAAUUUAAGUCUACUAACGACUAAGAUUGACAUACGGGUAUAACAAUGAUUGUUUUUUGGCGAUGAGUAAAGAUUAAAAUACAGCCACAAUAGGAAUUUGUAGAAACACAUCAGUAGUGCCGUAAACCUUUUAUGCUUCAUCUAUAAACCGCGUGAAAAAAAUUAGAAAUUGCCCAAGCAAAUGGAAAUGAUUCUGGGAAAAAAAAAUAUGAAUAGUGUUUUUUAAGGGAAAGAGCACAUCAUAAGUCCUAAAACUUGUUAUAAAAAUACAAUCAAGUCCUAAAACUAAAAAAAAGAAAAAAAAAGAAAAGAAAUUCAAUCAAUUUUAAAACUUAUUCAAUUAAUAUAAUCAAGAACUUCCAUCAGUCCUGUCCAAUUUGAGUCUCAGAAUAUACUGGCAUCGUCAUCUUUUGAUAUGUUUUGAGCACACAUCCCGAAGAUACUCCGGCCAUACAUGAUGCCUAGUUCUAAUGAACUGAAGUGUCUCGUGUGCCAAGUCACCUUCUAUCUCUUCACAUAUGUUUGAAUAGGACAAGAGAGAUUGAAUUGAAUGCCAUCUGUUACUCCAUCAACAAGAUAGAUGCCCGGGGCAUCAAGAGACGUAUUGCCAAUCCUAUCUUGUUUCGCUGGCUUCUCAAUGACAGCAUCCUUAAGAGCUGCAACCCAGUACUACUCGACUAGCCUCUGUUGAGUUGAUCUUUCAUAUUCUUCCACUUCCUUCAUAAGGUGUGGGAGAAAUUUGCGCAAGAACUCUCUAUGCUCUUUUUCACGAAGUGAAGUUGGAUCCACUAAUUGAUUGUCUUCAAGCACAACCUUCAGAUCAUCAUCUAGUUGCUGGCAUAUUAGCACAUAUCCUAACUUUUCCACGGUUCCACUCGACAGUGUGAGUGUAAGGCUAAAUUGUAAGUAAUCCUCAUCAAAUUCAAGAAAAUCAAUUGCUCCUUCCAACACUCCCCAUAGCACAUUUGGUUCGAUAUACUGAAUCCACAUGUGAUCCAAAUGAAAUGAACCGAGAGCUCCUGAUAGCGCAUUCCGUCUUUGGCCAUUAACGUGGGGCACGAUGUCGAAAAAUAUUUCCUUUUCUCCAUCUUCUACAUUGAAAACAACACAAAGAGCUAAUCCCAGGAACUUAUCAUAAAAGUCCUGUGAAAUCAUGAAAGAUAUGGUACCGCCUUCAACGGGGACGAACUCCUCUGGCAUAUCUACUCCGGGGAGAAUAUUUAUGUAGGAACGAGAAAUUCUGGAAUAGUAAUGCUUCUGUUAUACCAGUAAAUUGUUAGACAUGCUCAAGUUGAUAAUUAGUUCAAAUAGAAGAGUUUGAUAUCUGAAUUUUUUUUAUAAUUUAACCAAAGCUAGAGUUUAUAAUAAUUAAACAUAUCGAUCUUUCGUUGCCUUAUACAUAAUACUCAUGAAAUCAUUCACUUGUGAGUGUUGUAGCACAUGUAAGUGCAGAAUCACUUUAUGUUAAAUUUGCUUAUUUGUAUAGAAUUUUCAGUUUUUGCAUUAUACAAACACAGUGCGCCCGACAUACACCAACAAAUAAACACAUGCACUUAUGAAUGCGCGUGCAUCGAGAGAGANNNNNNNNNNNNNNNNNNNNNNNNNNNNNNNNNNNNNNNNNNNNNNNNNNNNNNNNNNNNNNNNNNNNNNNNNNNNNNNNNNNNNNNNNNNNNNNNNNNNNNNNNNNNNNNNNNNNNNNNNNNNNNNNNNNNNNNNNNNNNNNNNNNNNNNNNNNNNNNNNNNNNNNNNNNNNNNNNNNNNNNNNNNNNNNNNNNNNNNNNNNNNNNNNNNNNNNNNNNNNNNNNNNNNNNNNNNNNNNNNNNNNNNNNNNNNNNNNNNNNNNNNNNNNNNNNNNNNNNNNNNNNNNNNNNNNNNNNNNNNNNNNNNNNNNNNNNNNNNNNNNNNNNNNNNNNNNNNNNNNNNNNNNNNNNNNNNNNNNNNNNNNNNNNNNNNNNNNNNNNNNNNNNNNNNNNNNNNNNNNNNNNNNNNNNNNNNNNNNNNNNNNNNNNNNNNNNNNNNNNNNNNNNNNNNNNNNNNNNNNNNNNNNNNNNNNNNNNNNNNNNNNNNNNNNNNNNNNNNNNNNNNNNNNNNNNNNNNNNNNNNNNNNNNNNNNNNNNNNNNNNNNNNNNNNNNNNNNNNNNNNNNNNNNNNNNNNNNNNNNNNNNNNNNNNNNNNNNNNNNNNNNNNNNNNNNNNNNNNNNNNNNNNNNNNNNNNNNNNNNNNNNNNNNNNNNNNNNNNNNNNNNNNNNNNNNNNNNNNNNNNNNNNNNNNNNNNNNNNNNNNNNNNNNNNNNNNNNNNNNNNNNNNNNNNNNNNNNNNNNNNNNNNNNNNNNNNNNNNNNNNNNNNNNNNNNNNNNNNNNNNNNNNNNNNNNNNNNNNNNNNNNNNNNNNNNNNNNNNNNNNNNNNNNNNNNNNNNNNNNNNNNNNNNNNNNNNNNNNNNNNNNNNNNNNNNNNNNNNNNNNNNNNNNNNNNNNNNNNNNNNNNNNNNNNNNNNNNNNNNNNNNNNNNNNNNNNNNNNNNNNNNNNNNNNNNNNNNNNNNNNNNNNNNNNNNNNNNNNNNNNNNNNNNNNNNNNNNNNNNNNNNNNNNNNNNNNNNNNNNNNNNNNNNNNNNNNNNNNNNNNNNNNNNNNNNNNNNNNNNNNNNNNNNNNNNNNNNNNNNNNNNNNNNNNNNNNNNNNNNNNNNNNNNNNNNNNNNNNNNNNNNNNNNNNNNNNNNNNNNNNNNNNNNNNNNNNNNNNNNNNNNNNNNNNNNNNNNNNNNNNNNNNNNNNNNNNNNNNNNNNNNNNNNNNNNNNNNNNNNNNNNNNNNNNNNNNNNNNNNNNNNNNNNNNNNNNNNNNNNNNNNNNNNNNNNNNNNNNNNNNNNNNNNNNNNNNNNNNNNNNNNNNNNNNNNNNNNNNNNNNNNNNNNNNNNNNNNNNNNNNNNNNNNNNNNNNNNNNNNNNNNNNNNNNNNNNNNNNNNNNNNNNNNNNNNNNNNNNNNNNNNNNNNNNNNNNNNNNNNNNNNNNNNNNNNNNNNNNNNNNNNNNNNNNNNNNNNNNNNNNNNNNNNNNNNNNNNNNNNNNNNNNNNNNNNNNNNNNNNNNNNNNNNNNNNNNNNNNNNNNNNNNNNNNNNNNNNNNNNNNNNNNNNNNNNNNNNNNNNNNNNNNNNNNNNNNNNNNNNNNNNNNNNNNNNNNNNNNNNNNNNNNNNNNNNNNNNNNNNNNNNNNNNNNNNNNNNNNNNNNNNNNNNNNNNNNNNNNNNNNNNNNNNNNNNNNNNNNNNNNNNNNNNNNNNNNNNNNNNNNNNNNNNNNNNNNNNNNNNNNNNNNNNNNNNNNNNNNNNNNNNNNNNNNNNNNNNNNNNNNNNNNNNNNNNNNNNNNNNNNNNNNNNNNNNNNNNNNNNNNNNNNNNNNNNNNNNNNNNNNNNNNNNNNNNNNNNNNNNNNNNNNNNNNNNNNNNNNNNNNNNNNNNNNNNNNNNNNNNNNNNNNNNNNNNNNNNNNNNNNNNNNNNNNNNNNNNNNNNNNNNNNNNNNNNNNNNNNNNNNNNNNNNNNNNNNNNNNNNNNNNNNNNNNNNNNNNNNNNNNNNNNNNNNNNNNNNNNNNNNNNNNNNNNNNNNNNNNNNNNNNNNNNNNNNNNNNNNNNNNNNNNNNNNNNNNNNNNNNNNNNNNNNNNNNNNNNNNNNNNNNNNNNNNNNNNNNNNNNNNNNNNNNNNNNNNNNNNNNNNNNNNNNNNNNNNNNNNNNNNNNNNNNNNNNNNNNNNNNNNNNNNNNNNNNNNNNNNNNNNNNNNNNNNNNNNNNNNNNNNNNNNNNNNNNNNNNNNNNNNNNNNNNNNNNNNNNNNNNNNNNNNNNNNNNNNNNNNNNNNNNNNNNNNNNNNNNNNNNNNNNNNNNNNNNNNNNNNNNNNNNNNNNNNNNNNNNNNNNNNNNNNNNNNNNNNNNNNNNNNNNNNNNNNNNNNNNNNNNNNNNNNNNNNNNNNNNNNNNNNNNNNNNNNNNNNNNNNNNNNNNNNNNNNNNNNNNNNNNNNNNNNNNNNNNNNNNNNNNNNNNNNNNNNNNNNNNNNNNNNNNNNNNNNNNNNNNNNNNNNNNNNNNNNNNNNNNNNNNNNNNNNNNNNNNNNNNNNNNNNNNNNNNNNNNNNNNNNNNNNNNNNNNNNNNNNNNNNNNNNNNNNNNNNNNNNNNNNNNNNNNNNNNNNNNNNNNNNNNNNNNNNNNNNNNNNNNNNNNNNNNNNNNNNNNNNNNNNNNNNNNNNNNNNNNNNNNNNNNNNNNNNNNNNNNNNNNNNNNNNNNNNNNNNNNNNNNNNNNNNNNNNNNNNNNNNNNNNNNNNNNNNNNNNNNNNNNNNNNNNNNNNNNNNNNNNNNNNNNNNNNNNNNNNNNNNNNNNNNNNNNNNNNNNNNNNNNNNNNNNNNNNNNNNNNNNNNNNNNNNNNNNNNNNNNNNNNNNNNNNNNNNNNNNNNNNNNNNNNNNNNNNNNNNNNNNNNNNNNNNNNNNNNNNNNNNNNNNNNNNNNNNNNNNNNNNNNNNNNNNNNNNNNNNNNNNNNNNNNNNNNNNNNNNNNNNNNNNNNNNNNNNNNNNNNNNNNNNNNNNNNNNNNNNNNNNNNNNNNNNNNNNNNNNNNNNNNNNNNNNNNNNNNNNNNNNNNNNNNNNNNNNNNNNNNNNNNNNNNNNNNNNNNNNNNNNNNNNNNNNNNNNNNNNNNNNNNNNNNNNNNNNNNNNNNNNNNNNNNNNNNNNNNNNNNNNNNNNNNNNNNNNNNNNNNNNNNNNNNNNNNNNNNNNNNNNNNNNNNNNNNNNNNNNNNNNNNNNNNNNNNNNNNNNNNNNNNNNNNNNNNNNNNNNNNNNNNNNNNNNNNNNNNNNNNNNNNNNNNNNNNNNNNNNNNNNNNNNNNNNNNNNNNNNNNNNNNNNNNNNNNNNNNNNNNNNNNNNNNNNNNNNNNNNNNNNNNNNNNNNNNNNNNNNNNNNNNNNNNNNNNNNNNNNNNNNNNNNNNNNNAGCUUCAUGUACAAGGAUCUGAAAGCUAAUCAUUUGUAGUUGAAACCGACACACCUUUCCCAUCAUGUGGGGCGUGGGGGGGGGGAGGGGGAGAGACCUUAUCCAAAUCUGAGAAAGCGGCCGAAAUUUCUUCCUCUGUGGUCAUUUCUUCAUCGUCAUGCCAAAUCUCAUAGAACAAACUUGGAUCUAGCAACUUGUCAUCUUGAUUAAAAGCCUCCAAAUCGUCCUCUAGUGGCUUGCAUAUUAAUCGAAAUCCGCACUUUUUUACAAUUGCACCAUUCGAUGCUCUAAUGCCUAAUUGGAAAGAACUCAAGUCAUUUGGACCAAAAGGGUCUUCUCCCCAUAGGUCCUCCAUAGCAACACACGAAAGCCACACAUGAUCUGAAUGCGAUGGACAUAAUAGGAGUCCGUGCCUACGCUCUGAUCUGCCAUUACUGUAUGGAUGAACAAUAAACCUGACAUUUUCUUUCCCUUCCUUUACUCGAAAUACAACGCACAUAGCUAAUCCUAACAACUUCUUAUACAAAUCCUUUGAAGCCAUGAAAGAUAUAUAACCCUCUUUAUUCGGGAGCAACCAUUUUGGCAUCUCUCCUCCAAGUAGAAGAAUAUUGCAAAAAUAUGUAUUAGCAAAUUCCUGUCAUAGAUGUAAAUUGUUAAGAGAGAGAGAGAGAGAGAGAGAGAGAGAGAGAGAGAGAGAGAGAGAGAGAGAGAGAGUCUAACCUCAUUAGAGACCAGUGUUUGAAAUAAUACGUAAAUGUCGAAGGGAAUUUUACAUAGAGAUUCACAAUUUGUUGCCAAUAAACCCCGCAAUCGGUCUGAAAUCUUGCCUAUCUCUUGUAGCCGUUGGCAUUUCGAAACAUCCAAAUAGAGUAGCUUAGGAAAACAUGAACGAUUCUCUAGGAACUCCACUUCUAGUAGAUCGCAUCCCCCAAGCCCUAACAUCAGGAGCUUAGGAAAUCCCAUCUUCCCAUGCAGAUCACUCAAAUCCUCUUCCUUUGGAAACUUGAUUAGUUUUGGACGACCAUUAAGUACCAAGUUCUUAAGAUUUGGCAAAUUGUAAAUGCUAGAUGGGAGGUUUUCCAGUUUAUUACAAUAAAAUAAAUACAAAUUCUCUAAAGAGACAAGAUUUUCUAUGGAUGUAGGUAGUUCCCUAAUUGAAGUUCCUUGUAAAUAAAGUUUUUUCAAGCCCUUUAUUUUAUUCGGAAUAUCAGGGAAUCUUUGCAACUUUGAGCAACCAGCAAGAUCGAGAAGUUGAAGAUUCUUGGAUUGGAGCACAUUAGGGAAAUGAUGAAGGUUGGAGCACCAUUGUAGAUUCAAAUAUCGUAAUUUGGCGUGAUAUGCAAUUGAUUCGUGAGCAUGCUCUAAAUUUUUGCACCCAUGGAGAUCCAAUUCCUCGAGAUGUGGAGUCAAAUCAAGGUUCGGCAUACAAACCACCAACGGACAAUUACUGAAGUUAAGGAACUUCAAAUUUUCAAAGUCCUGCAAGAAACAUCCAUACAGACAAAAAAAUGAAGAUAAAAAUGUUUAAUGAAAAAUACUUGAUCAUCAUUCAAGCCCCAUGUGAUCAUAAAUUAGUUGAUCAUAUGGUGUAUGUAGAGCACUCCUCUCCCUUUCCAAAUAUGAGUUUAUUGAGCGAUCCUUGGCCAAAAGAGAAGAUUAAAAAAAAAAGAAUAAUACUCGUAAUUCCGACACGCGCUAGAUCUCUAUCAAGCGCAUACAAGAGAAAUCAUUCCAAUGCUAAGUGGCGUGGCCACUUCUCCUAUGUGUACGUUCAGAAACAAUACAUGUAAAGAGAGAGAGGGUAAAUUCAAGUGGAAGCACAUGAGCCAACGUCAAAUCCUUUGCCAACUAACUCAUGACAUGAAUUUAAGCUAACAUAGGAGGCACUUGAUGGAUCUACAAUCUUAUGCAGAGAUAAGCAAAAUUUCCAUAAAGGUGGUGGAAGCUCGGGAAUCUCGUGUCAUCUCUUAUUAGGUCAUGGUGGAUGGUUGAUUGAUCUUUGAGAAUCACACAUUUUGUAUCAGGUUGUAGACCCUUGAUGGUAUUUGAGAAUCACACGUUGCUGAACUUUGUAUUAGUAAAAUUGUGCGCCUACAUAGUAUUUCAAAGACAACGCCUUAUGUCAAGUUUAUCAGUCACCUUUGGCAUACAUAACGAAAAAUGGGGACUCAAGUCUCAGUUUAGUUCUGCUAGACAUCUUUAUAAGGAGUUUUAGUAGAAAACAUGUAAAACAUUGGGAUAUGCUAUUGGUUCAAGCCAAAUUUUCAUAUAAUAAUUGGAUGAGUCAAACUAUUGGAAAAUGUCAAUUUGAUGUUGUGUAGCGAAAGCAUCUUCUAAGCCCUUUGGAUUUUACACCGUUAUCCACCACUAGUACGAAGAAAGAGCUAAGACAAUCACUAAGUUACAUGAGGAAAUGAGGAAGAGAAAUUUGAAGCAAACUGUCAGAUAUCCGAAUCAAGCGAAAAAACAUAGAAAAGCCUGCUGUUUUCAAAGAAGGUGAUCUUGUCUGGAUUCAUUUAAGAAGAGCGCUUUCCACCUAGUCGUCGUGCUACAAAUGGUUGUUUUCUAGUUUUGGAACGCAUCGACGAUAAUGCUCACAAAAGUGAACUUUGUGGAGAGAAUGGUGUCUCCACUGGUUUCGAUGUCGCUGAUCUAUCUCUGUGAAGUUGUCCUUGAGGAGUAGUCUUUUCGAGAUUUCAAGAUUCUCUCUGGUGAAUAGAAUAAUAGGGAUAGAAUAUAUUUUCUUUAUCUGUGAGUGUUUAUACUGUUUAGGAUUGCUUUAGUCUCGAUUACAAUGUGAUAAUAUUGUAGCCUGUUCGAAUUUCGUAUUUUAGGUUUAAUUUUUCUUUUUGACUUGGAGGUUGUUCAAAAAUAUCUUAGGCUCCACUUAUAAGUGUCCUCUCGGUCUCUCACAGUCAACACAAUUAAUUUAUUAAAUUUAGUUUCAUUCUAUCCUUUUCUGUCUUUCUCUCUGUCCUUUUGGGGGAUUCAUGAGUGAUUAAGAGAGUGCUGCAUCCUUGGAGUGGCCUACUAAGGUGGAAAUUUGGCUAAGGGAGACCUAGGGCCUAUUUGUUAAAAAAAAUUUCUAUUCCCCAGAACACAAGUUUCUAUUCUUCUGUUCUUGUUCCAGAGAACGAAAAAAGAAUAGAAACGUGUUUGGUAAAACUUUUGUUCCCGAAAACAAAAAAAACUAUUUUUUUGUUCCUGAAAAUAGAUUUGGAACAGAAACAAAAAGUAGAAAAAAGUAGCUUCUUAUUCUCGAAAACAAUUUCUAGAAUUAAUUUCUCUUCCUUUUUCUUCUCUUUCUUUUCUUAUUCUUCUUCUUCCUUUUGGCUAGUCGCCUGAACCGGCGACUGGCUAGACGAGGAUUGGUGACCUUGCUGGAGCGUCACUGACCCCCAUAGAUGCCGAGUAACGACAAGGCACGGCGAAGCUCGACCUCCCCAGGUGGUGCGAGGCUAGGCCUCACCAGGCUAGGGCAAGGCCAACCUCUUGUCGCCUGGGCCUAGCGAGGCCAAGGCUCACUGGGCCUCGCCCUGGCCUGGUGAGGCUUCGACGAGCUCACUGGACAUCGCCCAGCCUAUUGUUGGCCAUUGGCCAAAGUGAAAAAGAAAAAGGAAAAAGAAAAAAGGAAAACAUAAUAAAAAAUAAUAAAACAAUAAAAAAUUAAAAAAAAUCUAAUAAUCUUACCAAACGUAUUUUUAUCUCGGGAAUAGAAAUUUUGGGAAGUUAUCAAACUCGUUCUUUUGCUCAGAAAUUGUUCCCCGAAACAGAAUCGUUGCGAAACGCGCUCCUAAUAUAUCUAGUCUCUUCCUAUCCUCCAUAGUGCGGUUUUUCCACUUCAUUAAGAUUGAGAACCCCUUUUAUGUAUUUGUUUGUUCAACACAUUCCGACAUCAAUGUGGCCGACGAGCAUGACGGCAAACUUGAAAGGCCACAAAGUUUGUCUCAUAAGAUGCAUAGGAAGAGAAAAAUAUAAGAGUAUGCACAAGAGUUGAAAAAACAGAUAAUUGAAAAAUUGAGCAAACUCACCAAAUUAGAAAUUAUUUGAUGGAAAGAAAUUCUCGGUAAAUACACAAUACACAAACAUAGAAUACAUGUAAGAUAUUUCUAGAUUAAAUUUUGCAUAGAAAUUCGUUGUAGGAUAGAAAAGAUUAAAAUUUAGAUUGAAAAACAUGUGAGAGUUCAAAUAAAUUAAUAGUAUACGCACCUCUCUAUGAAUACAAUAUUUGUAAAAUAAGUAAUCGAGACAUUUUGGGGAAGAAAUUAAAUAGAAAUCUUGUGGAAGGUCAACUUUAUUUUGUACUGUAGUAUUUAUAUGAAUAUAAAUAUAUUACAUACAUACAUAAAUUAAGAUUAGAUUUAGGUUUAAAUAUAUUCAAAUUAGCAAAGCGAGCCUCCUACUUCUCUUUAGAAAGCCUUACUAGUCAUGCGUGAAAGCCAUUGCGUGCUACCAGCGUACUAGAUGUGGUGCGCUAGCGCGUCUAUAAAGUAAGACUCUUCCAUGGAAUUGUACUCCACAAGCCUUUAUUUAAAAUGGCGGGAGAAGGAAUGGUUGGCCAAUCUAUCACCCCUGAGAGUUGCUUUUCGUCCUGUGAUUUCUUACUUAGGAAUAAAUGGAGUAAGGGCACAACCGAAUGGCCCGAUUGAAGGGAAAGGAGGGGAACGUGUUACGUACUUGGAAGGAGAAGGAGAAAGUCCCACUUAUAUUUAAAAUUGAAUAUUUUAUCCAUAAAGAUGAAGAUAACUUUAUUGGAGUUCCGCUUAUUCCUCCUCCUAAAGAUAAAGAAGUACUUGCCAGAAAUCUCUGAUUAGGUCGGUACAAUAAAAAUAGACGGGACUUUUGGGGCUGACUUACAGUAAAGAUUUAACUCCUUUAAAGAUCUUUUACUGCAUGAUUUCUAUAUAUCUCUUUUCAUUAUCGGUUGCAUUCUAUCAUAGAAACAACAACGGGAGCUUCAAUCAAAAGUAUUUAGCGAGCAUCCGCUUCAAUGAUAAAGCAAAUAAGCAAGAAAAAUCUCAUUCUAUUUUCAUGUGCAAUUUCGAAAAGAAUCUAGUAAACUUGUCUCUUAAAUAAAAUAUAGAAUCUUUGAUAGCAUUUUCAGUAUCUAUCAUUUCAAAGGCACACAAAUUGAAUCCUCAGUUCAUGUUCAUUAAAAUACUAAGCACGUUCACCAUUCAAUUGUUAAAUUAUGUCACCAAUAAGUUCUUGUUUCAAUUUUCGGUAUUAAAGUUACUGACCGUAAAAGUCCAUUCUUCUUAUAAUUUCAGUGUUUCAAACAUUUGAAAAUGAGAUUGAACUUUUUUAGUAUCUUUUGUUCGAAUUGACAUUAAAAUUCACAUAGGAAAGUGUUCAAUACUCCCCUAAAACUGGAAGAAUCCACUUAUGUUGGUUCAUGCAGGAGAUUGACAUCUCGUUUUUAAUGCUUUAAUCAAAUAUAAACAAUUUAAUAGAUGCAAAUGUUUCUCAAGCACAAUUAACGAGCAUCAUUAGAGUUAGUAAUUGUUGCAUCCAAAGUUUUCAAUAAGACAUAUGCAUAUAUAAUCAUAAUCAUAUGCAUAUGGAUAUAGAUAUAUAAGAGAUAAGUAAGUAAGGACAAUUCAUUUGAAUGCGCACCUUAAAGGGAAAUUUGAUCACCCAAGAAGGACGUUCAGGCCAUCUCAGUUUGUCAGGAAGAUAGAUGGGAUCUUGGAAAGAAUUAUGCACAUUAAUCAUGAUGACCAACCUCAACCUUCUGAUGUUUGUGAAAGGACUGGGAUCUAUGUACAUUACUUCCGCCUUGGGUAAAAUCAAAACUAUGGCUUUUACUUCAUUUGUUCCCUGCAUUUAUAGAACUUGCAUUGCAAUUAAUAUAUGAAAUCAGAGAAAAAGAGAGUAAAAUCAGUGUUUAAACCACCAAAACUUACCAUAUCCCCUGAUAGAACACCACGGACAUCUUCACAAAGCCAUAACCUGCUGUGCCUUCUAGGAUCAUCGCAACAUUCUUGUUUAACAAUAUCCAUGACCAUCAACUGAAUCAAGUCAUGCAUAUGUAUUGUCUUGCAAUCUUCAAUCAUUAAGGACGUAUCAUCAAGAGUUGUUGUCUUGCAUUCUUCAGUUAUUAAGGCCUUAACAACAACAACUUGUACUCCAAUAGUUGUGUCAAAGUCGCAACUGUUAAGGACAUUCAGGACGUACUCUAUAGAUCGUCCCUUGAAGAAAUGUGUGAUAUCAACGAAUAUCUCAUUUGCAUAGUCCUGUAGUGCAUCAUAAGAUGACUUGAGAACAUCAUCGAUGUCGAUGUUUUCAUUAGGACUUUUAGCAAGUUCAUUCAAUGUGCUUUCCCACUCCUGUUCUUUUCUUCCACAUAGACAAGAGCCCAAUAUCUCAAGUGCUAAAGGAAGUCCAUUAGCAUAAUGCAAAGCACUAUCCACAAGAUCCCUCCUUAUCACUAUUUCCUUACUUCCAAGAAAAGCAUGUUUAUCGAAAAGUUCAAGAGCUUCCAAAUCAUCUAGAGUUUCAACUUCAUAGAUAUGAUCUUCAUCUAUCCCAUGGACAGUUAAUAGAUGGUAAUCUCUUGUCGUGAUGAUGAUUCUGCUUCCUUUACCAAACCAUUCGCACUUUCCAGCUAAAACAUCUAACUGUUUCACAUCAUUGACAUCAUCGAGAACAAGGAGAACUUUUUUGUGGCAAAGUCUAUCUUGGAUCAAAUUGAUACCUCCAUCAACAUUAAAAACUGUUAAUCCUUUUCCUAGUAAUAACUCAGACAACAAUUUUUCUUGCAAAUGAACUAAAUCCUCGGAAUCUUUUGAAGUUUCCCGAACAUUUGCCAAAAAACAAGAAGCCUUAAAUCGUCUAAAAUGAUCAUUAUAAAGGGCUUUGGCUAAUGUUGUUUUUCCUAUGCCUCCUUGUCCCCAUAAUCCUAUCAUGAGAACAUCAUCUUCAGACUCAAGAUUUAACAUUGAUUCCAGCUUUACCACUUGUCGAUGUAUUCCAACCGGAUGCUUGGCAACGUGUAACAGUUUUCGGUCCAGCUGCAUAGAGAUCUCCCGCACAAUUCUGUUGAUAAGAUCUGCUUCAUCUCUGACAAAAUCCAGAAAGGUACUAGAUACAUCAAUUUCCAAAGAUAAUUAACUUUCAUGGAAAAAGAAGAAGAGAUUCAGCAUAUAAAAAAGAAAAAAACAGAGCAGUGUUACAUCAAUCACUACUUAGUACUUACUUAUCCUUCAAAUCCCACCCAGACAAUCUACCCGCAUCAAGGAGAGCCUUUUUCCAUCUCUUCACUUUCUCCGAAUAUUUCCCAAACUUGCUCUCAUGCUUUUUCAUAGCUUCUCGGUAUCUGUUUCUUGGUGUUCUCAUUUCUCUAGGAUCCACUUUGUAAAACACCGGAAAUACCGUGAGUCCUCUUUGCUCCUUGCACUCCAUGAUUUUCUCCACCUCUUCCAAACACCACGGUGAGGAAGCAUAGUCCUCGGAGAAAAUGAUGAUUGCAAUGUGUGAGUCCUCGAUUGCCUUAAUAAGUGCCGGUGUUAUUUGUUCGCCUUUCCGAAGCUCCUCGCUAUCAAUGUAAGUGUAGAUUCCUUUCUGAUCAAGAGCUGCAUAGAGAUGACCGAGAAAGUUGUUUCGAACGUCCGUACCUCGGAAACUCAGGAAGACGUGGUAAUUUGCUUUCAGAUUCGAAGAAGCGGCCUUUAGAGAAGAUGAAGGUUGAUGUGCUUCCUCAGAAUGCUUAGUGUCUGGUCGGGUUGCAGCUUUAUCUCUCAUGUGGAUAUCACUUUGUACUAAUAAAGAAAUAGAAACGAAAACCAAGAUCAUUUAUGAUGCUCCGAGUCGAUAAGCACGGUCUCCAACAACUAAUUUAACAAAAAGCAGCAUUUUGCAUAAGGUGCACUGAACCAUCUUAUAUAGGUGCUUCUUGACUUGACUUUUCCAUUAAUAAAAGAAACAGAAAAGAAAACUAGCAACACUCCCAUGCUCCUAGUGCUAAUAUAAAUGAGUCAAUCGCAAAACACCGCCUGUUGGAAUAUUAUUUAUAAUGAACAAUCUGACUUUUUUUCUUUCAAAAGGGAUUCUAGAAAAGCAAAUCCCAAAAUAAAUUUUCCUCACUUCUCAAACUAAAAUUUUCCAUCCCAUGUCUUGCAUUGGACAGAACAAAUUCGAAUCUGGUCAGGCAUUUCUUCAAAGACGUAGUGGGCAGCGAGUUGGAGAGCGAAUAUGGACCUACUCGGAGAUCGAGCUCACACUUAAACUCAAGAGAAAUCAGCGAGCAGUGUUCAAACUUAAGAAAAACCGACUCAUUUAGAUCCGACGCGAGUGAGGACUAAAGAAAUCGAGCUUGCUUUGCUCUUUUAAAAUCAAGCAGGAGGAGGCAAAAAAAAAGAAGAAGAAGGAAGGAACGAGAACUCAAUCGCAGGGGCCCUACCUGGCUUAGCUUCCCCGGGCAUCGUUGGCGGCGAAGGUUGAGAAUAGCGACUCCAAACUCGUGUCAGGCUUCAGUCGACUCCAUCGAGGUCAGGGACGGCGACGACGAAUGGCAGCGGGCGGACGAUGCUCUGGAGGUGGCGGACGACGUAGAUCGGCUGUGGCUCUGAGGUUUUGUGUGGGGCUUCAAAGGCAAUCGUUCACGGAGUAGAGAAAGACCAAAAUGCUUCUUCUUUUUUCUCCCUUUUUCGUGAGAGAAAAGAAGUAGGUGACAGUGAAGGAAGGAGUGAGGUAGGAAUCCGGGAAUGGGAUGCGAGAGGUGUCGCCGGCGGGAGGUAGUCGGACGGAGAUGGUGGAGGUGGCUGGUCAGGUAAGCUCAGGAGAAAGGGUGGGGAACGCUUUUUUUUUUUUUUUCCUUUCCAGAAAAAUCUCCCUGAAGAUGGUGGUCUCCGCUUCCUCCCUUUUCGAGAACGCCCUGCUUUAUAUAUAUAUAUGGGAAAUUGUGUCUCUUUUAAGAGAGAGCGGGAGAGAUCCCUAGAAAGAACUUCCCUUUCAGAUUCGAAGAAGCAGCUACUAGAGUAGAUGAAAGUCGAUAUGCUUCCGCAGAAUGCUUGCCGUCUGGUUGGGUUGCAGCUUUAUCUCUCUCGUGUAUAUCACUUUGUUCUUUUUGACCAUGACUUUCUUGAAUCACGCGGCAGUGAUAAUCAAAGAAAGCCAUAGAAAAGAAAGUAAAGGUGAAUUAUUGCCAGCAUAAUUUCCACGGAAGGUUUACGUGUGUCCUUUCUUUCUUUUCCUCUGUUUACUUGACUUGCUUUUUCUAUUAAUAAAAAAAUAGAAACAAAAAUCAACGAAUCAUUUUUGACGUUUCAAGUCAGUAAGAACGUAUUUAGUAAUGAUUCUAUUCCCGAAAACAUAUUCUGAUAAAAAAAUGAUUCUUUUUUAUUAUGUUUUCAGAAACAAUUUCUAAGCAUUUUAAGCCAUUUGGUAACUGUCCAAAAUUUAUGAUUCUGAAAUAGAAUUGCAUUUAGUGCCGUGCUUAUUGAUUCUGUUUUAAAUCAACUUUCUUUUAAUUUUUAAAUAUUUUUUAUAACUUUUUUACUUUUUUUUCUUUUAUUUUUUCCUUUUGUUCUUUUUUUUUUGUUUUUUCCUUUUUCUCCUAUUCUUCUUCUUCUUGUAGCCAGUGGCCGGAUUGGCGACCGGUUAGACGAGGGUCGGCAACCUCACCGAAGCGUCGCCGGCCCUCGGCGAGGCGAGCCGGGGCUAGGCGUCGUGAGGCUUGCCCAGCCUCGCCGACGAGCCUUACCAGGGCUAGGCAAGGCCCGCCUAGCCACCGGCGAGGUCGAGCCUGGCUAGUGGCUGGACUUGCCUCCGGCGAGCUCGCUAGACCUCGCCCUGGCCUAGCAAGCCUCCGCGAGCUCGCCGGACCAGUUGCUGGUGACUGGCGGCGACAGCGGACAGCGGCAGCGGGAUAGCGGUCGAUGAAGAAGAAGAGUUGGUUUUGAUUCUUUUUUUUGUUCCCGAAACAAAAAUCAUUUUUUUAUUCUUAAUUCUAUUCCAAAUCUGUUCCCGGAAACAAAAAUUUUAACAAACGCGAUUCUGUUCCAAAAUUACUCCCAAGAACAAAAAAAAUCAAAAUUGAGUACUAUUUGGCACGUUGCCAAACAGGCCCUAAAGCAUAUAGUCCACCAACUAAUUUAUUAAAAAGCAACAUUUUGCAUAAGCGGCAUGGAACCAUCCUAUUUAGUGCUUCUCGACUUAGACUUGGCUUUUUCAUAAAUUAAAGAAAUAUUAAAGAAAGCUAGCUAUACUCUCGUGCCCUUGGUGCUAAUAUACAUUAGUCAAUCGCAAAAAUAUCGCCUGUUGGAAUAUUAUUUAUAAUGAACAAUCUGACUUCAAAUUUCAAAAUAAAUUUUCCUCAAUUUUCAUACUAAAUUUUUCCAUAUCAUAUCUUGCCUAAAAAUUAUUGAGUCAUCACCCCCUCAGCCUAGUCACUUUGAUCUCACUCCUUUUCAACAUUUUACAUUUAUUUCAUACUUUUAAUGUCACAUUUAGAAUUUCUUAUCUAACAGGUUAGGAAAAUGCUUGUGUGACCAUCUAUUGCAGAAUAACGGUGGAACUAUCAAAGGCUAGUCACACAUCCUUUUAUUAGGAAACUAGUGGAUUUACUCAACCGGUUUAAUCAUUGACUCCUUGUUUUGUUCUUCUUCAUUUUUUUUUACCUCUAUGUCCCUUACGACAACCUCAAAUUUCAAAGACAAAAUUAGAAGGCCAUGUUGAAUCUUUUUUUUUUUUUCAAGAUUAUGACUUUCAUUUGUUUCUUUAAAUGAGGCAAGAAAAUCGUUCUCUUCUUAUGGCUUUUUCAUAUGGCGAAUGCAUUUUUUUCUCUACUAAUUGUUUUUGGAAUUCUCUACUAACUCAUUAUUCUUAUUUUGAUCUUUUCUUUACUUCAUUUUUCUAUGCAUAAUUGAUAUCAAUUGUAUAAAUUUUAGUUCAUCUGAGAGUCCUUCAAAAGCAUUUUGGUUUGAGCAAAGGAAUGAUGAGCAAUUUCAUUGCACAAUAAUUUUGUUAUGAGUUGCGAAGUCAAUGUUUUAAGUGUUUUUUCAUUUUUUUUUAAAUUUAAUGUAUUCAUAAUGACAUUAAUUAUUAUUUUAGUAAGCUAUAGUUUUUUUACUUAUAAUUAUUUAUAUUUCCUUCUUUAUUUUAUUUUUUCUUUCUUCAUAUUCAAGAAAAUUGAUUUCGUGGGUCUUCUUCUGAUUUUGUCUCUAAAUUUGAGCUUGUUGUCGGUAUUUAAGUAUUUGGCAUAGAAGAAGAAAAAAACCAAAAAAUGAAAUAUGGGGUCACAAAUUAAAACUGGUUAUUGGUUUCCUCCAAAGGAUUUGCCGUUGACUGUUCCACCGUUAUUCUGAAGCGGACGGUCAUGCUGGCCACUCCCAGAAUGCUUGCCGUCUGGUUGGAUUGCAGCUUUAUCUCUCAUGUAUAUAUCAUGUAUAUAUCACUUUGUUCUUUUGACCAUGACCUUCUCAAAUCACGCGGCAGUGAUAAUCAAAGAAAACCAUCAAAAAGAGAAGUAAAGGUGAAUUAUUGCACGCGAAAUUUCCGUGGAAGGUGCAUAAAAUUUUCGCGGGCCCUUUCUUUCUUUUUCUUUGUUGACUUGACUUUGCCUUUUCCACUAACGAAGAAACAAAAGCGAAAACCAACCAUCAUUUCUAAUGUUCAGACCAAAAAAAAAAAAUGUUUAGAGUCGAUUAGCAUAUUUUCUACCAUUUAAUUUAAUAAAAAGCAGAUAGCCAAUAAAAAGAAAAUUAAAGGACAAUCAAUGCAAGUGUCACUUCCAGGGCAUUUUAUAUAAGGUAUGUGGAAUCAUCCUAUGUGGUGCUUUUUGACUUGAUUUGACUUGCCUUUAACAUUAAUAAGAGAAAUAGAAAAGAAAACUAACAAUACUCCCUAAGGGUAAGGUAUGCAAUGGGAAUCGCUCCAAUCAGGAUUGGAUCAGAGCGAUCAGUUCUGGACAAUCUUAAAGGGUGCCGAUCCGAUCCCCAAUUUCUAUUUUUGGAAUCGGUGGCUGAUAAGUUCCGUUCCUGUUUCCAAGGUAGGAAUUGAACUAAUAGGACCGGACCAACCAUUCAUGCAUCAUUUUAAUUUUUAAAAAAUUUCUGAAUGACCAUUCUACCAUUGGCCCAAUUAGGGCGCAUUUGUUUAAAAUUGUUUCUAUUCCCCGGAAUACAAUUUUUUGUUAUUUUGUUCCGAGGAACAAAAAAAGAACAGAAAUACGUUUGUUUAUACUUUUGUUAUUUUUGGUAACUCAAGAAAUCCCGUAAGCCGACAACCGGCGAGCAAACCCUGGGAAGCAACUGUAGGACCCACCACCAUAGUACUCAAAGUAAGAAUCUCUAACGACGCCUCUAGGAUUCGAACUUCUCCCCUUCAUGAGGGGGAGAGAGCCCGAACCAGUUGCGUCGCUAAGGGUGGUGGUUGUUUACACUUUUGUUCCCGGAAACAAAAAAAUUAUUUUUUUAUUCCUAAGGAACAGAAACAAGAAGUAGAAAAAACUUAUUUCUUGUUCUCGGGAACACUUCUGAGAAACAUUUUUUUUUCUUCUUCUUUUUUCUCUUUCUUUUAUUCUUCUUCUUCUUCCUUUUGCCGGUCACUGGCCUUGGCCAUGGCCGGCGACCUCACCUGAGCGUCGCCAAGCAACGGUGAGGCUCAACCUCUUCAGCUGGCGCAAGGCCGGGCCUUGCUAGGCCAAGGCGAGGCCAACCUCACACCACCUGGGCGAGGCCAAGCCUCGCCGGUGGCCUGGCGAGGCUCGCUUGGCUAGCGGCAAUCUCGCCAGGCCACCGGCAAGAGCGAGGCUCGACUUCGCCCAGAUUUGAUGAGGCUCGCCAGACGUUGCCCAGCUGGUCACCGGUCAUGGUUGUGGUCGGCCAAAGAGAAAAAGAAAAAAAAGAAAAAUAUAAUACAAGUAUUGAAAAAUUUUAAAAAAAUAAAAAAAUAUACAAAUUUACCAAAUAUUUUUGUGUUUCUAUUCUUUUUAUAUUCCAGGAACAUAAAUUUUGUGCAGUUACCAAACGCGUUCUUCUGUUAAAAAAUUAUUCCCCGAAACAGAAAUAGUUUUUUAUUUUAUUUCUGUUCCCGGGAACAAUUUUUGAACUGAAACGUUAUUAAAAUGCGCUCUUACUUUCCCAACUCUUUCCCAUUAUGCCAUCACUUUCCCAUGUCUUUCCCUUCUGCCAUUACUUUCCCCAUUUCUUUCUCUUCCACUUCUCUUUUGCUAACCCAAACCGUGUGAAAUCAGCCCUUUCAUAGUUUCCCUUUUGCAAGCACAGCCACACCUCACGCCUUGGUUCGAGUGAGUUGCUCGACUCUCGCAGCCUCACCUCCCUAUCGCUCGACAUCCUCUCACGGCCUCACCUUAGGCCUCCUUUCCUUCUUGUGGCCUCGCCUUCCGCCUCACUCAAUGUCCUCUCAAGGCCUCACCUCAUGCCUUGCUCGUCGAGCUUUCCCUCUCACCUCACAGCUUGAUUGUCAAUAUAAUGACAACAAGUGAUUUGGUCCAUUGGAAUUGAUCCGGUCCGGUUCUUAGUUCUCGGACCCAUUGGUCCUGUCCAUGGUCCCAAAAAAUGGGAACCGGUCCUCUCGGUCCAAUUCUCGAUUCUUGGAUGGGACUGGAUUGGACCAUUAACCAAUCACUUCUUAUACUCACAUGCUCCUAGUGCUAAUAUACGUGAGUCAAUCACAAAAACAUCAGCCGUUGGAUAAUUAUUUAUAAUGAACAAUUUGACUUUUUCUGUUUCAUAAGGGAUCCUAGAUAAGCAAAUCCCAAAAUAAAUCUUCCUUACUUUUCAAAUUAAAUUUUUCCAAGCCAUAUCUUGCCUAAAAAUUAUCAAGUCAUUACCCCCUCAUCAAGUCACUUUGAUCUCACUCCUUAAAUUAUUUUUGUUUUUGACAUUUUACAUUUAUUUUAUACUUUUAAUGUCACAUUUAGAAGUUCUCAGCUAAUGGGUUAUCCACGUCGAAUAACUAUUUAGGGAAUACUUUUUUACUUUUAUCUCAUUCUUGUCGACCCUUUUAUUCCAUCUCAACACUUUCGGUUUUCUUAACCUCUCAGUUAAAAUUAUCACUUAUUCAUCUGAAGGUGUUUGUCAUUAGUGAUCGAAUAUUAUAAACCAACUAUAUUUAUGUAUUAGUCUUAUCUUCUAGUAAAAAUUGGAGCUUUACGACUUUGAAUAGCAAUGACGUAUAGAGGAUUCAUGAAAUGGGAUUUUCUAUUUCAAUGUCUCAGUGACAUUAUUUAGUGUAUGUACAACUACUUUUCCGCGACGUUCUUAUGUAGGAGCUUUUGGACACUUCUUGCUGAUAAAAGGAUCGCGAAAGGUGGAGAUUUUUAUUUUGCAUGGGUUAUAGUUUGAUUAGGGAAAAAGUAUCAAAAAAGUCAUAAAUCUAUGACAUUGACAUCAAUUCAGUCCUAAACAUUUCAAUUGGACCAUUGUAGUUAUAAACAUUUUCACAUUGGUAUCAUUUCAAUCAUCUGGCUAAUUUUGGCUUGCAUGUAAAUGCCAACCAGUGCUAGCCAGCCAGCAAACACUAAUGUGGCAAUUUUUAAAUAUUUUUAUUGUUAUUUUUUCCCAUUUUUUAUAUAAAAAAUUCAUCUUUUUCCUUUUCCUUUUCUUUUUCCUCUCCUUCCUCUUGGCCUUCUUCUCCCGCAAUGGUUGAUAAGCCUUCAAGCGAGGGCUGUGAAGCCCUUGCCGCCCGUUAGUAAGAGUCGAGGGCCUCGCCUAGGGCCGUGGGCGAGGCUACCUCUCUUGCGGCCUCGCCCACGGCUAGGCCAUGGCAAGGCUGGCCUCGCUUGCGGCUUUGGGUGAGGUUGGGUGAGGGUUACGAAGCCCUUGCCAACAACUAGCAAGUCACUGGAGGCUCGCCGGCCGCUGCGAGAGAAGAAGGCCAAGAGGAAAAAGAGGAAAAAAAAAAAAAGAGGCAAAAAAAGGAAAAAAAGGAAAAAAAUUGAAAAGAUAAAAAAUUAUUAAAAAGUUGCCACAUUAGCAUUCACUAGUCGGCUGGCAUCCACAUUAGCGUCAGCCAAUUAAAAUUGACUAGAUGGACUGAGUUGGUACGAAUGUGAAAAUGUUUAAGAUUAAAUUAGUCCAAUUAACAUGUUUAAGACUGAAUUGAUACCAAUACUAUAUGACUUUUUUUGUACUUUUCCCGUUUGACUAGUGGAUGAUGUUGUGAGAACUUGCGAUUUGAGUCAUUUCGAUUGUUUUUUUUCUCCUUUCAUAUCAAAUGAUAAUUACUGAAUCAUUUGAUAUAAAGUUUUUGUGUUCUAUCUUGGGUUGAAUUAUUGAAUUCACCUAGUACUAUAAUAGUAUUUUGGAGCUUCGUACAGAGCAUUAUGGAGAGUUCGCAUGUGGCUCAUUUGAUGGUUGCCAACUCACUUUCGUUUGCUUUAAUUUGUUCAUCCUUUUUUCUCUUCAUUCCAAGAAAUAACUUAUUAACUAUAAAGAGUACUUUAUCUGAACGUGAAUGUUCAAUGCAUGUAGGGAAAAGUAUCAAAAAAGUCAUAAACCUAUUGUAUUGAUACCGGUUUAGUUUUAAUAUUUUCAAUUUGACUAAUUUAGUAUAAACAUUUUCACAUUGGUACAAAUUUAGUUCAUUUGGCCAAUUUAGGUAGACAAUUGCUGACUUAAAUGCCGAAAGUCCUACUUGGUAGGGUGGUAUUGAUGUGGACACUUUAAAAAAAAAAUGUUUUUCAAUUUUUUUAUUAAUUUUUCUUCUCUUUUCAUUUUUUUUCCAAUCCUUUCUCUUUUUUUCUUUUUCCUUAUUUCCCUCCAUUGCUAGUCCCCACCUCCAUGAGGGUUGCUAGAGAUUGCCAACGGCCAAGGAGGGCAAGGGCCGAGACACCUUGCGAGCCUUUUGGCAAGGGCCAGUGAGGGCCGGCGACACCAUCAUAGGCCUUGCUUGGGUGAGAGCCUUUGCCACUGCCAAAGGCCUACAAGGUUGCCCCUUGGCAGCCUCUAGUGAUGGUCAAGCGAGGCUCUCUUCGCCAAAUUUGGUGUAGGAUAGCUUCCCCAACCUUAGCCAAAGGCCGACGAGGGCAUCUUAGCCCUUGCUCUCGUCAACGAUCAGGGAUCUCCACUGGCACCAUGGAGGUGGCGAUUGGCGGCGGAGGAAAAUAAGAGAAAAAGAAAAAAGAGAAAGGAAAGCAUAAAAAAAAAGGAAAAGAAAAGAAAAUUGGGAAAAAAUAAAAAAAUAUAUGAAAAAACAUAAUAAUUGUCCAUGUUAACAUCCGCUGUACCAUAUAGGAUAACUGGCAUCCAGGACAAUAAUUUCUGGCCUAAAUUGGCCGGAUGAAUUUAAUUGGUACCGAUAUGAAAAGGUUUAUGAUCGAAUUGAUCCAAUCAAAAAGUUUAAGAGUGAAUUGAUAUAAAUACAAUAAGUUUAUGACUUUUUUAGUAUUUUUCCCCCUUUGAAGAUUUGUGUAUUGAAUCCUAAACCUAUUAUUUGGAUAAUUAGUCAAAAGAAUUACAUUAGCAAAUUGUCAAAAGAUUUAGAACUAGGCAAAUUGUUAAAGAUUUUUUUACUAAAUUGACAUAAUUGAAAGGUUUGGAACUAAAUUAACAAAUGUCAAAAGGUUUAGGAUUAAAUUGAUGCAAUUGAAAUUAGAACUGAAUUGGUCCCUGUACAAUAAGUUCAACACUUUGUGGACAAUUUUCUUGAUAUGGAACAUUGAUGUCACUUUUAUAAUGUAUCUUUGCCUUAAAGAAGCACCCAUGCAACGAUGAUAAAUUUACGUACAACACUCAUUUCAUCAGUAAUUUAGAAGCCCUUAAAAAAGUUCAUGUGUCUUUUUGUUGAAAACAAAACCAUUUCAUUUCACCAAGGUUAAGCUCGGUGACAACUAAAGGGCUUCGGCACAUACAAGAUUCCAAAGGGUUUCGGGAGGGUUAAAGACCCAAUUGUAGGGCAAAGAUUUGCAUCUUUAGGCCUUAACAAUCUGGUGCCACUUGAUUUACAUUCGUAUUACAAUGGGCCAAAAGAACAUUAAGAAAAUGGGCCAGCGGACGCUGCAUUCAGUAAUAAGCGAAGUGGCUUCCCACGGAAAAGUAUCUAAGACAAUUUAUCGAGGUCAGGUCAAGUUGUCGGAUUAUAGCAAAGUACUUCACUUUGUCUUCUUCCCUUCGAGCAUAAAGUAGCUUCAGAGUUUCGAGGCAAGCCAGGGUUUCAACAUUCAUAGCUGAACUUUCCUUCACCAAUUUAACGAACCCAUCCGAUCUUGCCUGAGAAGUUGCGGCAAACACCGGCGAUGGAACCUUUUGUCAAGCCUUUAGCUGAUCAAAGAGUCUUUACAUGUUACAGUCUUACAGAGACCCUCCUAAACCAAGUUUAUAGCUAGUUACGCAUGAUAGCUAUCAUAUGUCACAUAUGUGGAUUUGGAAGCAAUGUGCCCAACCCUUCCCAUGAUAUAUUCGCCAUAUUUUAUUAAUAGAGAAGCCAACAAACUUUAGUAUAAUUCAUUACUAUUUUAGAAAUGGAUAUAAUAAUAUUGAAAUUUUUUUUAUCCAAAAGGAACUUUGCUUAGAGCGGCCUGGAUCUUAUUGUGAUGGCUGAAUAGCAUCCUUCAGGAUCAACGUCUUUUUUUUUUUCUUUUCAAUAUCUACGGUCUUUUUUCCCUGGAAAAGAUCUUCUGCCAACUUUAUCCAAGUCACCAUCAAAAUUUAUUUAAUUCAUAUCAAAGAUACACUGAUGCCACACCCUUAUUUCGUGCAAUAAAGCAAGAUUUGCGCUCCACCCACUGCACAUCUCAAAUUUUAUCUCCUCCCAAAUAUUCUCCCCCAAUUAGAAGCUUACUUUUAGGCCAAUGAUAAAUCCUAGAUAGAUCAAGUAAAGAACAUGGGAAUUUCACUUUAAAAAAAAAUCAUAUUUGCCAAGGUUGAAUAAAGAACAGAAAAAUUAAAGCAAAUAUCGUUGGUGUAAAUUUUGUUCACAAAUGGUCUCACCCAACGCCAUCCCAUCCAAAGAGAACCCAUGGAAAAGAAAGAUUUUACCUGAUCCGAUAUGUGACCUUUGCCGAGAUAAAAUGGAAACGGCCGAACAUAUCCAUCUUCUUUGCCCCUGGACUGCAAGGGUAUGGAGCCACUUGGAAAUCAACCUACAAGUGAAUGCAUAGGAGGUUACACAAAUUGAUGAGUGCCUGGCGCGAUUUAUAAGGAAAGACACGCACCUACCGUCCUUGGAAACGAUCUCAAACAUCCUAUGGCGGGUAUGGAAGGAGCGAAACAACUAUAUAUUUCGAGGUACUAAGUCGGAUGCCUACAAAGUGGUAAAUUUGGCCCGAUUUCAGCAAGAUAGCUACAAAAAAUGGGGCUUUAUGCAUCUUCAAGCAGGAAAGGAAGAGGAAAUUGAGACAUCUCCAAUCUAGAUAGCUCCGGCAGCAAAAUCCUUGAAGCUUUAUGUCGACGGGUCGAUCUGCGAGGGGUCGACAGAAGGAGCUGUCGCCUGCAUCAUCCGGGAUUCCUCCGGUAGCCUUGUGGAUCGCUUCACCAAACCAGUUUGGGCGGUAUCGAUUUUUCAGCUGGAAACCCUAGUAGUGCUCGAAGCUUUGAAGUACAUAAAACAGAAGCAGCUGGGGGUGGCUUUGAUGGAGUCUGAUAGCAGAAGUCUCGUGAAGUCCCUCAAGUACAUUGAUGAGUUCAACUGGGAAGCACAUGCGACGUGGACAGAAUGCAAGCAGCUUCUUCAACAAUUGUCGCUAGUGGGCCUACACUCCUAUCCUCGAUCUGCUGGCACUGUGGCAGACUGGGCCGCGCAACAACAAAGGAAAAAUACACUUCCUCCCAACUGGCUGGCUUCUCCACCUCUAGGCCUUCGGGCCUUAUUAUGUAAUGAUGCCCCAUCUAUUGGGUAUGCUGGUUUAGUUAUAAUAUAAAUAAUAUGCCUCAUUUCGACCCAAAAAAAAAAAACUACCACUAAUCUGAGGAGGAUUAGUGAAAUAAUGAAAAAUUACAAUCCCCAAAUUAAUGAUGAAUAAAAUCAUCUAUUGAAGUAUUUUUUAACACCGAUGAGGUAUGUUAUGAUUAACCAUCGGGCCUUAUUAAUUCUACGAAAAAGUUUGUGCAUACAUAUACACAAUGAUUGGACAAAAACUUGCAAUAAAACCAUAAACACGCUCCAUCCUUGAGCCAUAAGGACUACCGACACGAACAAAUAUCAUCAAUGUCAAUCGUUGGAUUUUUAAACUCGAUUACAUGCAUGAAAAUCGCUUUCAUUCAUCGAUUUUUUGCUUUUUUUUUCCUCUCAAUUUCUCUUAGCUUGAGGAAUUCCUCGACUCACAAAUUAUUCGAUUUUAUCAGCUUAAUGACUUAUUUUUGCUCUCGUCUGUCAUCUUUUUCUCUACUCCCAUUGUCUAUGAAAUGGAUUUAACUUUGAUUGCCCCGAAUCAACUCCCUCCAGAAAGCAAAACCUUGAAACUUCGAGGAUAGAAGUCCACGCGGCGCCACGCAAUUGGCACUGGGAAUCACACAGAGAAAAGGUUGGAAGUUAAGACCCUUUUCUCUUUCAUGCACGCAAGAAAUGUCAGAUGAGAAAAAACGUGAGUGGCCGUAGUCAAAGCCAACAAGGUGAACGACAGAGAGAAGAGAAAGGGUUGUCGUUUUGCAGCGGUUUGCGGUCGUAUGUUGAAUGAGAGAGAGAGAGAGAGAAGGGGGUGUUGGUUUGUUUUUGCAGGGGGUUUGGUGGGUGGUAACUUCAACCGGCAUGUUAAAGAAGACCGGAGAGAGACUGGUCAAAUCCCCGGUCAGAACUUACAUUUUCUUCUCUUCUUGAAAGGAGCCCAUCACGAUGUUAAUAGUGUUAGCUAGGUUUACUCCUAUGUGGAGGAUGCCCAAUGAGUUGCAAGCCUAAAAAGGGCUUGAGCCCAUAUAAUAAGUUAUAUGAGGAAAUAGAGUUUUUCACUAUCUAUAUAAAGAGGUAUUCGCAGAAAAUGAAACAGCAAUAAGAGAAAAAGAGAAAGCAGAAAAUCUUGGGUUUGGGGCAAUAUCUAAUUUACAUCAAGCUGGCGUCGGAGGUUGAUUCGUGAUCCGAUUGAGCUGAAAUUUUGUCAGCAUGUUCGUGGCGCAAUUUUAUCGAAUCUGAACGAUUUGAUUUUCGUUUGAAGCUCCCUACAUUAGGUUUUUCAUGGAUUGAUUAAAACCUGCGUUUUUGGUCAGAUUUAUCUUUGAUCUCUUGUGAAGUUCAUGUGUAUUGCCAAGAAUUAUAUUCUUGAGGUGUUUGCUGCUAUGUACCUCUAGUAUUUGCUAGAAAAGAACAAUUUUGUUGAUAGUGAAGAAUUUCGGGUGGACUCCGAUCCCGUGAUUUUUUAUCUACUCACAUCGAGGAGGUUUUCCACGUAAAAAUCAUCUUGUGUUCGUGUGCUUGGUAUUUAUUUUACUCUACUAUAUCGAUUCCUAUUAGGUUUACACAAGAGGGGAGAUUAUUUUAUUCCGCUGCGUUGAUUCGAUAUUGUUCGAAUUAUUACCAUUCUCCCAUCAAAGUGGUAUCAGAGCAACAAGUUAUUGCUUGAUUUUUCUGCCUUGUGUUAAACAAUGGAAACGAAUACAAGUAGAAUGGUUACAUUGAAUGGUUCGAAUUAUCAUAUUUGGAAAGGAAAGAUGGAAAAUCUUUUAUAUGUGAAAGAUUUUUAUUUGCCUGUAUUUGCUGAGGAGAAACCAGAGAAUAAAACUGAUGUUGAAUGGCCUAUAUUUCAUCGUCAAGUGUGUGGUUAUAUCAGGCAGUGGGUAGAUGAUAAUGUUUUGAACCAUAUUAUUGAGGAAACACAUGCACGUAGUUUAUGGGAUAAGCUCGAACAGUUAUAUGCUCGAAAGACUGGGAAUAAUAAGUUGUUUUUGAUAAAACAAAUGAUGGCUCUGAGAUAUCAUGAUGGUACUCGUUUGACUGAUCAUUUAAAUUCUUUUCAAAAAAUUAUAAAUCAGUUAGCUGCGAUAGGAAUCAAGUUUGAUGAUGAGAUACAAGCACUAUGGUUGCUUAGUACUUUGCCAGACUCAUAGGAGACGUUCCGAACAUAUUUGUUUAAUUUUGCCCUAGAUGGUACGAUUAUCAUGGAUUUGGCCAAGAGUAGUAUUUUGAAUGAAGAGAUGAGAAGGAAGAUACAUGGAUCGUCUUCUUCACAUUCUAAUGCCUUGGUUGUUGAGAAAAGGGGAAGAGUGAGUCUCGAGGUCCGAGAAAUAGAGAUAAAAUUCGAGACAAAAGCAGAGGUAAGUAUAAUAAAUUUGCUAAUGUUGAGUGCCAUUAUUGUCAUCAGAAAGGACAUAUUCAGAGGUUUUGUCGCCAGUUAAAAAGGGAGAAACAAAAGGAGAAAAGUAAAGAGAAGAAAAGUGAUAAUGACAAUGAUGACAAUCAUGUCACUGCACUUAAAGAAGAUUUUCUUACUAUUUUUUAUGGUGAUGUGGUGAAUUUUGUAUCUCAUGAGACUAGUUGGGUAAUUGAUAGUGGUACAUCCGUUCAUGCUACGUCUCGUAGGGAUUUCUUUACAUCAUACAGGUCAGGUGAUUUCGGAUCUGUGAAGAUGGGAAACAAUGGACUAGCUCAAGCUGUAGGCAUCGGUGAUGUGUGCCUAGAAACCAGCAAUGGCACGAGGUUAGUAUUGAAUAAUGUUAAACAUAUACUUGAUAUCUGCUUGAAUUUGAUUUCUACAGGCAAGUUGAAUGAUGAGGGGUAUUGCAGCACUUUCAAUAAUGAUCAAUGGAAGCUCACCAAAGGUUCUCUUGUUAUGGCUAGAGGUGAAAAAUAUUCUUCGUUGUACAUUAUGCAGGCAAAGUUGUCCACAGACAAAAUUAAUGCAGUAGACAGCGAAGAUGCAGCUGAAUUAUGGUAUAAGAGGCUCAGUCACAUCAGUGAGAAGGGUUUGUCAAUAUUGGCCAAGAAGAAACUCCUUUCAGGAUUGAAAAGUUCAGCGCUAAAGAAGUGUGCUCACUGUUUAGCAGAAAAACAAAACCGAGUUGCAUUUAAAAGCUUCCCUCCUUCAAGAAAGUCAGGUAUACUGAAUUUAGUGCAUUAUGAUGUUUGCGAUCCUAUGAAAACAAAAUCACUUGGUGGCUUUCUUUAUUUUGUUACCUUCAUAGAUGAUUUUUCAAGGAAAAUUUGGAUUUAUAUCUUGAAAACUAAAAAUCAAGUGUUAGAUGCUUUUAAGCAAUUUCAGGCUUCAGUUGAGAGACAGACUAGAAAGAAAUUGAAAUACAUCAUAACUGAUAACGAGGGAGAGUAUAUUGGACCUUUUGAUGAAUACUGCAGACAACAAGGUAUUCGACAUCAAAAGACACCUCCCAAGACGCCUAAGUUAAAUGGCUUAGCUGAGAGAAUGAACAGAACGUUGGUUGAAAGGGUAAGAUGCUUACUUUCACAGUCAAAGUUACCUGGAUCCUUUUGGGGUGAGGCUUUAAGUACAGUUGUGCAUAUAUUAAAUCUUACUCCAUGCGUUCCUUUAGAGUUUGAUGUUCCUAACAAAGUUUGGACAAGCAAAGAUAUUUCUUAUGAUUAUUUGCGUGUUUUUGGGUGCAAAGCAUUUGUGCAUAUUCCCAAAUAUGAGAAGUCUAAACUUGAUGUGAAAAUACGAUAGUGCAUAUUUAUUGGUUAUGGACAAGAUAUACUUUGCUACAGAUUUUAUGAUCCACUUGAAAAGAAAAUUGUAAGAAGCAGAGACGUGUUUAUGGAAGAUCAAACAAUAGAGGAUAUUGAGAAAUCGAAAAUGAUUUCAGCACCACAGGUUAGUGAUAAUCCAGUUGAUUUAGAUCCAGUUCCUCUUACAAAUAUUCCUACAUAGGUUGAUGAAGAGCAGCAGGAAGUCAAUGUUCUAAAUAACACAAAUGUUCCUCAACAUGUUGAAACAUAUAAUAAUAUUCCAGAACCAGAGGCUCAAUUAGAUGUUUCACUGGAUGUUCUAGUCCGGAGAUCCGUUAAAGACCGAUGACCUUCCACCAGGUAUUCUGAAGAUGAGUAUGUAUUAUUGACUAAUGCAGGUGAACCAGAGUGCUAUACAGAAGCAAUAGAAGAUGUGUAUAAAAGCAAUUGGUUCGAUGCUAUGCGAGAUGAGAUGCAAUCAUUUUAUGAUAAUCAUACUUUUGAGUUGGUGAAGUUACCUAAAGGUAAAAGAGCUUCGAAGAACAAGUGGGUAUAUAGGUUGAAGCAAGAUGAACAUACUUUACAACCACGGUACAAAGCUAGAUUGGUUGUUAAGGGAUUCGGUCAGAGAAAGGGUAUUGAUUUUGAUGAUAUAUUUUCUCCGGUAGUAAAAAUGUCUUCUAUCCAUGUGUACUAGGCUUGGCAGCUAGCCUGGAUUUGGAAAUUGAGCAAAUGGAUGUUAAAACAGCCUUUCUACAUGGUGACUUGGAGGAAGAGAUAUACAUAGAACAACCUGAGGAUUUCAAAGUGAAAGGAAAAGAGGAUUAUGUGUGCAAAUUGAAGAAAAGUCUCUAUGGCCUAAAACAAGCACCGAGGCAAUGGUAUAAGAAAUUUGCGUCAGUUAUGAUAGAACAAGGCUAUAGGAAGACUUCCUCGGAUAACUGUGUAUUUGUCCAAAAAUUUUAUGAUGAUGACUUUAUUAUUCUCUUGCUUUAUGUUGAUAAUAUGUUGAUUGUUAGCAAGAAUGCUUUAAGAAUUGAGUUAUUAAAGAAGCAGUUGAGCAAGUCUUUUGCCAUGAAAGACUUGGGCUCGGCGAAGCAGAUUCUUGGCAUUAGAAUUACUCGAGACAGAGAUGCUAAGAAGUUAUUUUUGUCGCAAGAGAAAUAUAUCGAGAAGAUCCUUAAGAAAUUUUACAUGGACAAGGUUAAAGUGGUUAGUACUCCUCUUGCUGCCCACUUUAAGUUAAAUGUGAUGCAAAGUCCUACAACUGAUAAAGAAAAGAAAGAUAUGGAAAGUGUUCCAUAUGCUUCAGUUGUAGGAAGCUUAAUGUAUGCGAUGGUAUGUACACGUCCAAACUUGGCGCACGCAGUUGGCGUUGUUAGUCGCUAUUUGUCAAAUCCAGGCAGAGAGCACUGGAAUGCAGUGAAGUGGAUUAUGAGGUAUCUUCGGGGAACUUCAAAUUUGAAACUCAGUUUCGGGACUGGGAAACUUGAGUUAGUUGGAUACACAGAUUCCGACUUGGCAGGAGAUAUUGAUACUCGUAAAUUACUUCUGGUUAUUUGAUUUCUUUUGCGGAUGGAGCUGUGUUAUGGAAGUCAAGAUUGCAAAAAUGUGUUGCACUUUCUACAACCGAAGCUGAAUUUAUUGCAGCGACUGAAGCUAGUAAAGAGAUGCUAUGGAUGAAGAAGUUCUUAGAAGAACUUGGGUUCAAGCAAAAGAUUUAUGUGCUAUUUUGUGAUAAUCAAAGCGCAAUUCAUCUUGGUAAGAAUUCAUCUUUUCAUUCUAGAUCAAAACAUAUUGAUGUUAGAUAUCAUUGGAUAAGGGAUGUUCUAGAUGAAAAGUUGUUGGAACUUGAGAAAAUUCAUACAUAUUAUAAUAGCUCUGAUAUGAUGACGAAGACUCUACCAAGAGAGAAGCUUGAACAUUGCCGAUUGAUAGUAGGGAUGAUGAAUCCCUCCACAUUCUCGUGAGGGGGAGAUUUGUUAACUAGAUUCACUCCUAUGUGGAGAAGGCCCAAUGAGUUGCAAGCCCAAAAAGGGCUUGAGCCUAUAUAAUAAGUUAUAUGAGGAAAUGGGGUUUCUCACUAUUUAUAUAAAGAGGUAGCCGCAGAAAAGGAAACAGUAACAAGAGAAAAAGAGAAAGCAGAAAAUAUGGGGUUUGGGGCAAUAUCUGAUUUACAUCAAGCUGGCGUCGGAGGUCGAUUCGUGGUCCGAUUGAGCUAAAAAAAUUUCAGCAUGUUCAUGGCGCAAUUUUAUCGAAUCUGAACGGUUUGAUUUUCCUUUGAAGCUCCCUACAUCAGGUUUUUCGUGGAUUGAUCAAAACCUGCGUUUUUGGUCAGAUUUAUCCUUGAUCUCUUGUGAAGUUCAUGUGUAUUGCCAAGAAUUAUAUUCUUAAGGUGUUUGCUGCUAUGUAUCUUUAGUAUUUGCUAGAGAAGAACAAUUUUGUUGAUAGUGAAGAAUUUCGGGUGGACUCCGGUCCCGUGAUUUUUUAUCUUCUCACAUCGAGGAGGUUUUCCACGUAAAAAUCGUCUUAUGUUCAUGUGUUUGGUAUUUAUUUUACUCUACUAUAUCGAUUCCUAUUAGGUUUACACAAGAGGGGAGAUUAUUUUAUUCCGCUGCGUUGAUUUGAUAUUGUUUGAAUUAUUACCGUUCUCCUAUCAAAUAGUACAUAAACCUUUAUUACGCUGCUUGUUAAUGCGAUAGCCGAGAGAGAGAUAGAAGUAAAUGUUUGUCGAGCGACUUCUUACAGCCAUCUUUCAUCAUUCUCAUCUCUCUUUUCAUUGCCUCUCUCAUGGGAUGGUGAAUAUAAAAAAAUUGUGCGCUCUUCCUAGUUCCCACGCAUCUCCUGUCUUCUUGACCAGUCCAGUGCAUACAUCACUUCUCAACACAUCUCUUCCCGACCCCUAUGUAGCCAGUGCCCGCCUCUCCUAAGGUUUGAAGCCUUCUGCAUGGCGUGGAAGAAUGGAAUAGAAACGAAUAUAGACUAACAAUCACAUGAGUAUUGCAAUUUCUUUCUGAAAAUCUUUUUAAAAAAGCAGUUUUUGUAAUUGGUACAUGCUUUUUUAAACCUCCCAUAAGAACCAUAUUCUGACUUUUAUCUGGAGAAUAUCCAACAAUAGCUUCCAUUGAAUGAAUAAUUGAUCUCAUCUAUUUUUCUUAAUCCAAAUAAUUGAAUUGGGUUUCUUUUGGAAAGUUCUUUUAUUAUUCCUUUUAAAAAUAGAAUGGUUUUCAUGACCGAUUUUUUUCUUUCUUUUGAAAGGUUUAAAAAAAGAUUUAUUCUUUCUUUUAAAACCUGUAUAACUAAAAAAGGAUUCUUUUGUAAUUUUAUAAUUUUUUUUCUGAGUUCUUUAAAACAGUUUCAAAACACGCUAGAGGCAGCCCGAAAUGAUCUCGAUGAGAUCAUAGUUUUAAUUAAGUUGCUUGAAGUUUUGGUGCUGAAUACAUUAGGUGAAGCAGAGAUAUUCUCAUGGUUAAUGCUGACAAGCUUUAAUGAUAGUGGUAACCUCAACCACGAUGAAAUCAGCAACGUUGGCUGCCGGAAGGGGCUGAACUCCUCGCUCGUGGAGGCCAACUAAGGGUGCGCAUGGAUUUGUUUCUGUUCUUUUUUUGUUCCUGGGAACAGAAACAAAAAAAGUGUUUCUGUUCCGGGGAACAGUUUUUGAACAAAAGAACAUGUUUGGUAACGUUUGGUCCGGGAAUAAAAAAUGAACAGAAACACGUUUGGUAAAUUUUAUUAUUUUUUUGUUUCUUUUAAUUUUUUAAACAUUUUUUUUAUUUUUUUAUUUUUCCUUUCUUUUUAUUUUUUCUUUUCUUCGGCCUGUCACCGGCCUCCGGCGACCGGCCGACAGGGCCGGCAGCCUCGCCCAGCCACGGCGAGGCUCGCUGGCCCUCGGCGAGGCCGAGCCUCUCUGUGGUUGGGCGAGGCUGACGGUCCUGUGGGCUGGGCGACGCCGACCGCUCCCCGGCCGAGCGAGGUUUGGCCUCGCCCGUGCCGGCGACGCCGAGCCUCGCCGGAUUUGGGCGAGGCCGAGCCUCGACGGCCGGUCGCCGGCCAUGGCCGAGGCCGGCGACCGGCCAAAAUGAAAAAGAAGAAAAAAAAAAAAGAAAAGAAGAAGAGAAGAAGAAGAGAGAGAAGAGUGGUUUUUGUUCUUUUGUUCCUUUCGAGAAGUGUUUCUUUCAGGAGAAACAACUUUUUUUUGUUUCUUUUUUCUGUUUCUAUUUCGUUCCAGAAACAAAAAAACAAAAAAAGAACAGAAACGCAACCAAACGCGUUUCUGUUCCUUUUUUGUUCCCGGGAACACUUUCCGUACAGAAGUGUGCCGGAAACACUUUUUUGGAGUGUUUCCAUGCACACCCUAAGCUUCCGCUUCUCAGCCUAAUCAUAUUUCUUUUGGUCAUAUCGGUCUAGUUAGGCAAAGGCAUAUUUUUCUUUUAAGAAAAGAGAUCAGUCUAUAUUAGUUUCUAUUCCAAUCCUUCAACACCAUGUGGAAGGCUUUGAACCUUUGGCGGAGGUGGGCAACCCGCUCCAUAGGUGUUGGAGAAGAGAUGUGUUGAGAAAAGAAGUAUGCACCGAUGUGUUGAGACCUUGUUUGUCCAGUAUUAAAGCUAUCAAUCUACGCAGUUUGCUAAAUCCGAAUUACCUGGUCAGACGUUUCUUCACUCGCAUUUCAUUUUAAAUUGUAGUAUUUUUUUCCGUCUCAAUAUUCGUUACUAAUGCAAUUUUCUUUUUCUUUAAGGAGAGGGGAGGGGGGUUGAAGGCGGUUUGGUUUGCUUGCCCAUGCAAGAGCUCCUUUUCUGCGUAAACAGAAUCUGCACGAACAAGACUCAGUUGUUCACCAAAUUUACGAAAUUAUUGUACAAGUUAUGCUCUUCAGUUAAGUAUACUGCCAUUAUUCCAUUAUUUCUGUUUACUGGGCCAAGAUCUUUACAAAUCGAACCGAGGGGUGAACAAAUUGCUCACCCUUCUGGGGAAGGUUUGCUCUCAGUUUCCUAUUUUGGCUUCUCUUGGCCUUCUAUAGCUUCUCUUUUAACCGUCUUUAAUGCUGCAUAUGAAAGCCUCAGCCUCAGCCUGAGUUUCAGUGGCUCUAAGAUUCACUCCUUUAUUGUUUGGAUUCUGAUGGAACAUAUUCUGUGAAUGCAGGCACCCACUAUCGCAGCUGCUGCAAACUUGAGAAUGGCAAGAAGGUCUCCAGUUCUCCCAUCUACCAGAUGGCAUCUAGUGAUCUUUCUCAUGCAGAGAAAUUUUCUACACAUGCUGGAUCCAUUGCAAGUGUUUUCCAUGUCUUAUGCUUCUGUCUAAUUAAUGUUUCUUAUCGGAGGUGAAGAUAGAAGAAGGGAAAAUUAUUGAUCGGAGGCACGAACCCCAACCCUUGGUUGGCAGGGGUGCUAGACAUCCUCUUCAUAUUGCAUGCUGAACAUGAAAUGAAUUGCUCAACCGUGCUGCUAGGCAUCUUGCAUUGAGGAAUUCCACUUCCAAUGCCGUAGGUGACAAGCCCUACAAGCGAAGCGCCGACGCAUUUUGCUGACAUAACCAACGACGAGUUCAAGGACCGCUAAGACUGGUAAAAAUGCUUUGUUCAGGUACGAGAAUGCGAAUAUGGUGCCCGCGGCUCUGGAAUGGAGGAAGAAAAGAGCUGUCAUGGGCAUCAAGGACCGAGGAAGUUGUUGUAAGGAAAAUAAAAUUGAUGUUUCGAUCCUGCAGAUAUUCACGUUUAGGUGCGUAAUCAAUGCAUAUUGCUAUUAUGUUCUAGGUCCAACACACAUGAUCGAAUGAUCAUAGCUACAUGUACUUAGUACAUUACAAAUUUUCCAAUAGCAUUUAGGCUUUGUUUAUUUUGCGAAAAAUAAAUAAUUAGGAAAAAAAAUUUUAAAAAAUGUAUCGCUUGAAAUGAUGAGUUAAUGCAAAAAGUAUUCUUAUGCACAACAAUUCAUGUCUAAACAUUUUUAUGAACGGUAAAAAAUUUCUUCCCUUUUUCAUUUAUAUAGGCGUUACAAAUUAUCAUUUUUAGGAAAAUAUUUUAUAAAUCAUUUAUUUUUCGCUAAAUAAAUGAAUCUCGGAUUAGUUGACUUUUAUGGCAUGUGUGAUUAUGCUGCCUCUCGAUUAAUCAAAUAGGAACUUGUUGGCCUUUCUCAACCGUGGCAGCCACCGAGGGCAUCCACCAGCUACAAAGGGGGCAAGCUAACCUCGAGCAAGAACUCGUAGAUUACGAUGUUAACGGCGAGGACCAAGGUUGCGAAGGUGGUCUCACGCAAUAUGGUUUUUAAUUCAUCAUAAACAGUGGAGGCCUUACUAUUGAGGCUAAUUAUUUACGACGGGAUAGACGGAACGUUGCAAGACCGCAAAAGAAGCCUCCCACAUGGCUGAAAGCCGCGGGCAACAAAGUCAUGCCUGCCAACAACGAGGCCACGCUGUUGAAGCCCGUGGCAGAUCAUCCGGUGUUGGUGUCCAUUGACGUCGGAGGGUGGAAUUUCCGAUUCUACUCCAUCGCCGUCUCAAGACAGCGAGAUCAAUUUAAAUCACGCCGUAAUGGUGGUCGGCUAUGGUAUGACAAGGCUGGUGAAGAACUAGCAUAAUUAAGUUGGUGAUGUGUUUUUUGGGCUAAGCCAUGUUGUGACAUAGUUGCCUAGUAAGUAAAAUCUAUGGAGGCAUAGUAAGUAAAAUCUGUCAAGGCCCAAGCUGGUGAUGUAUUUUAUGGGCCAAGCCAUGUUGUGUUAUAUGGGUCGAGGCCCAUACCUCUGUUUUGUGUUUUUGUAGCCCAAGGCCAUCGUUUCUACGCAAUUCGACUGUCUAUUUCUAGUCCCCCCCCCCACCCCCAAAAAAAAUUGUUUCUUCGGGAGAAAACUAGAGUGAAGGUGCGCAUUGUGGUGUAAUAAACGUGGCUCUAUGUCACCUUUUGUGGUUCAAAUUCAAGGAAAUAAUUGGAGGAUUUAAGUUUGAGUUAUUUCGAAGCAGAAAAAUAUCUAAUUAAAAGAGAGUGACCUGAUAUUAAGCUCACAUGUGAAAGGACGAAAUGCCGUUAGAUCUAAAAGAAAGUAGCAGCACUGACAAACGUCUUUCAGCCUGGGCUGCACAAGUUGAUGGUUUUCCUUCGGUUCAACUUCACGACCAAUCUACACGUCUAUGACACUACACAGAUUAGUGUCUCAUGACCUAAAAGACCUUUUCUUCAACAGGGGUUUAGUGCAAUCAGCCUGUGAUUCAGUCCAAUGUGGCUAGGACCCUUAUGAGGCAAAUACUAUACAAAUUGUUUAACAUGAAUAAAACUGGCCCUGUACUGCAAACUUUGCCAUCAUCAGAAGGGAAUUGGAGAAUACUCAAUUCAUUUAAACAAAGAAUAAAACUCGACCUACCAAUUAUCUCAGAUUUUAGAUAAAUACAUAUAAUGUUUAUUCAUAAUUGUCGUUCUGUGCUAAUUCUCGCAGAGAGACUACAAGAGCCAUCUUUGGCAGUCUUGAAACAACCAUCCACCUAAUUUAAGCUCGGUAUGCUUGGGCUUACACUAUAUAAAGGGGAAGAAGGGAUGCGUCCUCUGAGAAUUGUUGCCGCCAACAUUUUCUCUCGAUGAACUUGUGCCAUGUCAGUAGCAUGAUAAGGUAGCCUGCAUUUCACAGUGAUUUUUACUUGGUGUCAAAUGAUGCAAGCAUGCAACGACUCGAAAGUUCAACCAGAAAUGAGGGCAAAAGAUGAACGGAAAAGGAAGGCAUGGUGAGUAAAAUCUACUGGUCAGCAGACCUCAUAGUUGCUCCCUCAGUUAAGUUGUGAUUAAUUCGACAGCAAGAGUUGCAAGCUGACACUGGCAUAGUUUUUGGUGCCAUAGAACUCGGGGCCACGGGAGUCAUGGUUCCGACGCCUUCUAGGAGCGUGAGCUUAUAAUUUUCCUUUCAUAGUGUUUGACUAUCGGUGACUCUAGCCAUCUGACCAUCUUGCUGUACAAGCUGAUCAUCUUGAUCCAGAUCUGUUUGACUUGGACCAUCUUCUUGUGUAAGUGUAUUCUCUUCCUCUGCAUCUGUUUGAUCAUCUUCCUCUGAGUUUGUGCUAGUUCAAGACAAUCCUGAUAAACCAAAUUUAACACUAGUGACUGAUUGUCAUGAAGCAAAGACCCUCGGAUCAUCCUCUCGUUGCUUGCAUACUAGUCCUAACCCACUGUUUCUUACUGUUCAAUUUGACGCUUCAAGAUGACCCGAAAAUGACUCCGAUCAUUUCACAGGAGCUUUGUACUUCCCACAGCGUACUACGUGGGGGAUGCUUGAGCCGCACAUGGUCCAUUCCUAAUGAAUAGAAGCAUCCUAUGUACCAAAUCACCUUUCCACAGACCUUGCAAGAGAGGCUGAGCUCAACUCCCCCCUCCAAUCCAAAAACAAGAUGGACCGCUAAUCCCAGCAUUCUUCGCAUAUGUCCUGGGGUAUCAUGAAAGAUAUCGAAUCCUCUUUACCAUGGAGCCAUCAUUCCGGCAUCUAUCUUCCAGCAAUUACAAUGCACGCUUUUCCCAUGUUAUGGAAUUCCUGGUUUGCUGGUAACAUCCAUAUCAAGAUAAAAAGAAGGUGGAGGGAGGGAGGUGUGGAGGGAGAGACUAACCUUAUGUAACACAUCUUCCGCGUUCAACCCUAUGUGGAGUGGCUUGAUAAAUCCGGGACUUUUUUGGCAGAGAUUCGCAGCUAGCUGCUUUUAGGAUACAUGUACUUGAUGGAAGCUGUAGGAUUUCCAGUAGUUGCUCGCGUUUUCACACUCGCGAUUCCUAUAAAUAAUCAUGCUCACUGUCGCACGUUGGAAAGCUAGUAAGAUUGUUUCCACUUCCCAGACACAUAUGAACAUUCCUAGUUGGAGAUAACAGGAAAGGUUCUGGAGGAACCUUAAUCCAGACAUAACACAGCCCCGGGUCCAACCAAUUCAAAUUCUAAUGUCCAAUGUCCAUAUGUGGUCAGUUAAAUCCCCCUGCUUGCUAUGGAAACUCGAAAGGAUUAGAGCAACCUUGUGGAGUCGGGUACUUGAUGUAUCGCAACUUACGAACUCGUGCAUUUGUAGCCCUUUCUCUUCACCUGUCAAGGACUUAUUGACAACAAGAACAUGUACUUCAAUGACCGUAUGAAUAUUGCAGCAAUUAAGAACUUUCUUAAUGUAAUCAAUAGUCUGCCCCUCGAGGAAACUGACUAUAUCGAGAAAAAUCUCCUUUGCGUAUUCCUCCAGCCAGGCCAUCUUAAGCGCAUCAUUGAUGCUUUUUUUUAAGGAGUUUUGAUAAGUUUAUUCAGUGCACGUCCCAUUCACCUCCUCUUCUACUGCACAAAAUGGAACCCAGACACCUCGAGUGCAAAAGGAAGGCUUUUAGCAUUAUCAUUAUGCAAAAUGGUAUCCCUUAAGAUUCCUCUUUAUUUCUAAGUUCUCGCCCCUUCGAAAAGCUACUUACUGAAAGGUUCAAGGGCCUAUCAUCUAUAAGAGCUUCAACCAAAUAGAUUCAUCCCAACCUGUAAGUAAGAUGAUCCUUUUUCCCUCUACCAAACCACUCACAUCCUCCGACUAAAUCAUUUCAUCGUGUCAUGCUAUCGACAUAGGGAAGAGUAUACAUCUAAAAAAUAUGCCUACGUGGAGUAUAGAUUAUUUCACCAGUGUGUGUCUAAAAAAUUCAAUUAAUGUUUGAUAACAUCACUGAAUCCAUCAUCUGUCCUAAUUUUGUACAUAAUCAGUUACUUAUUUGAUUGGAAAAUCACUGAUAAAAAAAGAGAUAAGUUGAAAAUAUUUUCUUUACACUUGCCAUUCUAUAAAUUAAUUGAUAAAAAAACAAAAACUGAUCCUAGAUCAAUAUCGUAAAAUUUCACAUAAAAAAAACUAAAUAACUAAACGAAUUAUCUUUAAUAUCACAUCUAGGAACCAUCUAAUUUGAAAAUAUGAUUCGUACAAUUAUAGUAAAUUUUCAAUAAGUAACGAUAAUUAUGUGUGAUAAUCGUGGCGCAACCGAUUGAUAAAACUUGGAUAUACAUCGGGUCCUAAAAUUGGCGGCAGCAUUGACGCCGUCGCCACCGCAGGGUCGGCCGCUAAAAUAUCUGUUUUCUCGAGCAAACAGAUAAAAGAAGAGUAUAAGAUCAUCUUCCUUCGUGUGUGCUGUCCGCUCUCGACGGUUUCUCCAAUCUCCGGCGGAAAAUAGAGAACCUCUCUCUCUCUCUCUCUCUCUCUCUCUCUCUCUCUCUCUCUCUCUCUCUCUCACUUAGAGCAGAGUUGCCUGCGAGCGAUGGACGCGCUCCUCUCUCCGCCGCUCUCGGCGCCUCUCUCACGCCUCCGCUCCGCCGCUUGUCCGGUUCACUGGCCACCACCGUCCGCCAGGCUCGGCCUCCUUCUCAAUCCGGCUUCAGUUCCGCGAANNNNNNNNNNNNNNNNNNNNNNNNNNNNNNNNNNNNNNNNNNNNNNNNNNNNNNNNNNNNNNNNNNNNNNNNNNNNNNNNNNNNNNNNNNNNNNNNNNNNNNNNNNNNNNNNNNNNNNNNNNNNNNNNNNNNNNNNNNNNNNNNNNNNNNNNNNNNNNNNNNNNNNNNNNNNNNNNNNNNNNNNNNNNNNNNNNNNNNNNNNNNNNNNNNNNNNNNNNNNNNNNNNNNNNNNNNNNNNNNNNNNNNNNNNNNNNNNNNNNNNNNNNNNNNNNNNNNNNNNNNNNNNNNNNNNNNNNNNNNNNNNNNNNNNNNNNNNNNNNNNNNNNNNNNNNNNNNNNNNNNNNNNNNNNNNNNNNNNNNNNNNNNNNNNNNNNNNNNNNNNNNNNNNNNNNNNNNNNNNNNNNNNNNNNNNNNNNNNNNNNNNNNNNNNNNNNNNNNNNNNNNNNNNNNNNNNNNNNNNNNNNNNNNNNNNNNNNNNNNNNNNNNNNNNNNNNNNNNNNNNNNNNNNNNNNNNNNNNNNNNNNNNNNNNNNNCCACCAUCCCGUGACAGCCGCCCAUUGCUGUCAGUUGCCGCCCGCCAUCAUCUGCCGUCGUCGAUCGCCGCCGGUUGCCGGCAACUGGUCCGACGAGCUCGCCGGAGGCUCUCGUCUGGCCUAAAUAAAAAAAGAAAAAAAAGGAAUAGGAGAAAAAAAAAAGAAGAAGAAUAGGAGAAGAAGAAGAAAAAGAAUAAAAAGAAUAAAAAUAAAAAAUAAAAAAAGGGAAAAAAAGAGAAAAGGAAAAAAAGAAAAGGAAAAAUAAAAAAAUAAAAAAAGAAAACAAAAGAAAAAAAAAGAAAAAAAAGAAAAAAAGGAAAAAAAGGAAAAAAAGAAAAGGAAAAAAGGAAAAAUUAUAAAAAUUAAAAUAAAUUGAUUUGGAACAGAAUCAAUGAACACGGUACCAAACGCAAUUUUAUUCCAAAAUUAGAAAUUUUGUACGGUUACCAAACACGUUCUUUUACUGAUCUCUUUCUAUAAUUUGCUAGGAUUGCAAGCUUUUCACUUUGAAAUAUGGUCAGCUUUCAUGGAUGAGCGCCACCCCCUCCCGCUCUCUUUUAGAGCUGAUUUAGGCCCUGUUUGGCAACACUCCAAACAGUGAUUAUUUCUGAUUUUUUGUUCCCAUAAUCAGUUUGGGACGAGAAUCGCGUUUGGUAAAAAUUUUGUUCCCGGGAACAAAUUUGUUCCCAGAAUCAGUUUUGGAGUAGAUUUGAGAAUAAAAAAAAAAUUGAUUCUACGUCCGAGAAUCAAAAAAAGAAUCAACACGAUAAAACUCUUCUUCUUUCCUUCCGCCAUCACGCGACCGUCGCCCACCGCCGUCCGCCGCCGCUCACCACCGCCCGCCGUCGCCGGCCGCCGGUCCGGCGAGCUCGCCGAAGGCUCGCCUGGCCAGGGCGAGGUCCGGCGAUCUCGCCGGAGGCUCAUCGGCCGCCGGACCGGCGAGCUCGCCGGAGGCUCGCCCAGCCACUGGCGAGGUUCGGCGAGCUCGCCAGAGGCUCGCCCAGCCAUUGGCGAGCCUCGCCGGGGCUGGGCGAGGCCCGCCUGGCCACUGGUCGAGCUCGCCUAGCCUGACCGGGGCUAGGCAAGGCCCGCCUAGCCACCGGCCGGGCUCGCCUAGCCUGACUGGUGGCUAGGCGGGCCUCGCCCAGCCCCGGCGAGCCUCGCCCAGCCCCGGCAAGGCCCACCUGUCCACCGGCGACGCUCGGCCUCGCCAGAUCUAGCGAGGCCGAGCCUCGGCGAGGCUGGGCGAGCGUCGCCGGCAGCUGGGCGAGGUUGCCGGCGACCUCGGCCGACGAGGGCCAGCCUCGCCGAGGGCCGGCGACGCUCUGGUGAGGUCGCCGGCCCUCAUUCCGGCCGGUCGCGGACCCGGCGACUCUGCCACAGGAAGAAAAUAAAAUACGGAGAAAAAGGAAAAAAAAAUGAAAGAAGACUUGCAGAGACGCGAAGGAGAUGUAACAAGGUUAUAUACUAAGGAAAAAANNNNNNNNNNNNNNNNNNNNNNNNNNNNNNNNNNNNNNNNNNNNNNNNNNNNNNNNNNNNNNNNNNNNNNNNNNNNNNNNNNNNNNNNNNNNNNNNNNNNACAGAAUCAAUGGACACGUAUCAAACGCAUUCUAUUCAGAAUCAAAAAUUUUAUACAGUUACCAAACACGUUUUUUACUCAGAAUCAGUUUCCAGGAACAGAAUCGUUGCCAAACGCGCCCUAAGUGGCUAUAUCAAGAUGUUCUCCUCCUCUGGUAAAUGUUGUCUUCAGUUGCUGGGUCGGGAUGGCUUUAGCAGCUAGGGGGCAGGCAUAUUCAUAUGUUGUGGAUUGGAGCACAAAUAGAACAAUAAGCUACAUUUGAUUAAUGUAUACUUUGUGAUCAACUCUGGAGCUUUUUGCAGCAUGUUUUGAUACAGCACCAGAGUUUAUGCCUAUUUUUUCUUGGAAAAGGAACUGAAUCAGUUGAACACGAGUAUAUAAGUAGCAGAAUUUCGGACUAUCCCCAAGCAGAUCUUGAGAAUGAUUGAGCUGCCUAGCUUGCACAUUUUUGCUAGAAAUCAGUUAUUGGAUGCUUUGGGCCAGGGAUUCAAUCGAUCAUGUACAUAACACGCUUGGAUUAGGUGUUCCUUUUUUUCGGUUCAUGUAUCAAGAUUGAGGAUGUUGUGUCUGCCUUUCUUUUACCAUAUUACCCCUGAGAUUCUUCAAGGUAUACAAUUGUUCUGCUUGUACCAUCUUUGGAAACAUAGAUUGUGCAUGACAUCAUGUUACCGAGAAAUCUACUUCUGAUUGGUUUGUUAUUUUAGAGCCCCAUUGCUCUUAACUUUGGCUUAUUAACUGGAGUCGUAUCUACAAACCUGCCAGGCAUCAGUCAAGUUGGGUUUCUAUUCCUUUGGCUGUGGGAACUCGGUAGAACUACUAUAGCACCCUGCAAAGAGGAUCAAUGCAGAACUUAAAAAAGUUGAAAAAAAAAAUUGGAAUAUAGUUUUCAAAACACACAGUUACCUAUUAAAGAAAGAAAGUUUUCGAAAGCACACAUCUUCCAAAGGGGCAUGUUGGAUUAUAUAUCUUUAGCUUUCCCAUAAUGACCUUCAGAGUUUCAUAGAACUAGUUCAUUUAUGCCGUUCUGUGGUGGGAGAAACUAUGAAAACAGGAGAGAUAGAGAAAUCUUCCAGCUUCCUAUAGCUUUUAACAUUUGCUAAUCUUCUGUAUCAUAAUUCCAUUUUCAUCUUUGAUGGUUACUAAUGUAUGAUUAAAGGCACUACCGUGCCUGUCAAUCUACCUUGUGAGUUGUGACAUGGGAACAGAAGUUCCACGAGUAGAUGAACAUAGUGAACGAGCCUUUACCUGUUCUUAGUCAGGACCCUGAUCGCUUUUGUCGGUUGCCCCAUUUGUCUGGAGUUUUCACUGUUGCUUCGGCUUGGGAAGUUAUUCGGCCCGAGAGGUCAAUCCAUGGUUUUGGCCCCUCUUAUUUGGAAUAGCUCAAUAAUUCCCCGGCACCGAUUCCUUUUGUGGCUGAUUUCCAGAAAUAGACUGCCCACUCAAGUUUCGCUUCUUGCUUAUGGUAGGAUUUCCGAUGCUAAAUGUGCUUUUUGCUCUUGUCAUCCUAAUUCUGUAGAUCACCUUUUCUUUGGGUGUCGUAUUACUGGGGCUUUGGCUCUUUUUAGGGCAGCUAGAAGCAAUCUUCCUUGGCGAAACAACUUGUGGAGGGAUAACCUCCAAUGGGCCAUCAAGUAUUUAUUUGGUGAUUCCUUUCACAUUAUCAUCCCUCGGUUCGCUUUUGCAGCUUUAUGUGAUAUUAUUUGGAAUGAAAGGAAUAAUAUCCUUUUCUGUGAUCGGACUCUCUACGUGCCUACUAUGAAGAAACGGCUUGAUAAGGUUGUUAGGGAUAAGGCUUUGAAGAUUACAGCAGAGCUGGAGCCUCAAUCCGUCUAUCUUCUCGGAUUGAUCUGUUUCCUUCUUUGUGCUUUGUCUUUGUUUUGCGGAGGGUGUUUCCCUUCUUUUGUGCUUCAUUGGGUUACCAUGACACCCUUACACCCCUCUUGACGACCCUUUUGUCAUAUUGGGUGCAAGGCCUCCUUGGGUCUCCUUUCUUUUGUAUAUUCCCACUUUGGGUGAAAGUUAAUAUACACGUUACCUUUACCAAAAAUAAAAAAUAAAAAAUUUAAGGGUUUCUAAAUUAUUGAUGAAAUUAGCGCUAUACGUAAUUUCAUCAUCGUUGCAUGGGUGUUUCUUCAAGGCAAAGAUACAUUAUUAAUUUAACAAUCAGUGUUCCAUAUCGAGAAAAUUAUCUAAAAAGAUUUGAACUUAUUGUACAGCGAUUAAUUCGAUUUUAAAUCUUUCAAUUGUACCAAUUUAAUCCUAAAUUUAAACCUUUUGAUAUUUGCUAGUUUAGUUCUAAACCUUUUAAUUAUGUUAAUUUAGUAAAAAAAAUUACAACAAUUUGCUAGCCCUAAAUCUUUUGACGAUUUGCCAAUGUAAUCCUUCCAACCAAUUCUAUAAAUAAUAGGUUUAGGAUUGAAUAGACAAAUCUUCAAAAGGGGGAAAAGUACCAAAAAAAGCUCUAAAUCUAUUACAUUGGUACCAAUUCACUCUUAUAUCUUUCGAUUGGAAUAAUUUAGCUUUAAACAUUUUCGUAUCGAUACCAAUUGAAUUCAUCCAGUCAAUUUAGGCUGGUAAUUAUUGACUUGGACGUCGGUUGUUCUAUAUAGUUGUCCUAUAUGGCACGGCUGAUGUUAAUAUGGAUAAUUUUUUUAUUUACUUUUUCAUAUCUUUUAUUAAUGUUUUUUUUUCUUUUUUAUUCUAUUUUCUUCUUUUUUUCUUCCAUUUCCUUUUUCUUUUUUCUGUUUCCCUUAUUUUUUGCUCCACUAGUGGCCAAUGGAAAUCCCUAACUAUCAACAAGGGCAAGGGUCGAGAUGCCCUUGCCAGCCAACCUUUGGCCAAGGCUGGAGAAGCUAUCUUUGGCCAAGGCUGGAGAAGCUAUCUCACACCAAAUCUAGAGAAGGGGACCUUGUUUGACCAUCGUUAGAGGCUGGCGAGGGGCAACCUUGCAGUCCUCUGGCGAUGGCGAGGGCUCUCACCCAGGCAAGGCCUAUGAUGGUGUCUUAGCCCUCGGCGACCCUCAUUGAAAGGCCUGCGAGGUGUCUUGGCCCUUGCCCUCCCCAGUGUCUGGCUUUCUUCGUUAACCCUCAUGCUUGAGGCUCUAUAGCCUCUACCCCACCUGUUUUGUAGACCUUGUGUAUAGUUGACUAGUAUUGUAUAUGACUGGGUUUGAUAUGUAUAAAGGUGUGAUGUGGUUUUUGAAAAAUUAUGGCCUUACUUUUCUAUCCCAUCUUUGUGUUGUUUGGGGAUUAAUUAUUCGCUUCCGCAUGCGAAUUAAAAUGAAUGGGUUGGCGACGCGUCCUGGGACGUCGCUAUUUAAUUGACCACAGAGAGAUGGGCAUGCGCUCGGAGGAUCGGGGCAUGACAAUUCCCCUCUGCUUCUGCCAAAUAAAAAGGGACCAAAGACCACAAUCGCUAAGGGAAGGCCAUUAGCAUAGCCAAAAUACAUCUAUGAGAUCCCUGCUUAUGUCUUGUAUUUGGCUUUUUGGAAAAGCAUAUGAACUUAGAAGUUCAAAAGCUUCACCUUGAUCUAACGCUUUAAACUUCAUAUACCUUAUCUAACCCGUGAGAAGUUAGUACAUGUUUAUCUCUAAUCGUAAUAAUGAUCCCGCUAUCUUUUCCAAACCAUUUACAUUCUCUAGCUAAUGCAUUUAACUGGACGCCAUGAUCCGCAUCAUCAAGCACAAGCAUAAUCUUCCUGUAGCAAAGUCUAUCUCAUAUCAGGUUAACGCCUCCAUCCACACUUAAGACCACUAAAUUUUCUUUCAACAAUAUCUCAGAUACGAGUGUUUUUUGCAAAUGAACCAGGCCAUCAGGUCUACUGGAAGCUUCUCUAACAUUUGCAAGAAAGCUGCACUCAUCAAACUGACUAGUGAUACAUACUGUCAUGGACAGCUUUAGCGAUGGUGGUCUUCCCUAUACCUCCUGCUUCCCUUAUUCCUAUCAUCCGAACCUCAUCCAAGCAUGUACUUAACAAUGAUAUGACUUUCUCUACCCGGCAGCCUACACCGAGUGGGAUGCUUGGCAACACUCAAGGGUACUUGUCCUACUAUAAUGGAGAUCUUUGUGAUGAUGCUCAAGACCUCGUUGUUGAUGUAGGCGUUGAUGCCGCUGUGAAGCAGAGUCCAGUGUAGGUCAGCGAGGAAGCCGUGGCAGACGUCCCCGCCUCUGAAGUUGAGGAAGAUGUCCAACGGCCAUUUUGCUUUGGAAGAAGGAGGAGAAGGAGAAGGAGAAGACGACAUGGGAAGACAUAAUCGAACAGUCCGUUUCUUUUAACUUUAUUCAGCUUUUAAUUUUGGAUAAUAACCACAAAAUAAAAAAUCGACACGUUUAUUCCAAUUUUUUUUUUUAUGAUAUCAAAAAUCUCCUAAAAACAACGUACAUUUGUCAUCCUUUAAAAUUAUUUUUCCUUUUAUCCCUCCUCUUCCAUCUUUACCGCUGCCAUUUCCGUCAUCAUUGCCACUAUCAUCAUCUUGCCAAACCCAAGAAGAAAACAAAGGAGGAAAUUUAAUAAAAGAAAAAAAGAAAACGAAAAAAAAUACAUACAGAGGAGAUUUCACAUGAUUUUGACUAGUGGUGGUUUAAUUUAUAAAUUUCCUCCCUAAGUAUUGGUUUUGUUGUAACUGUAGUUUGGGGCUCCUGUGAAGAGGUUAUUCUUUUUCCUUUCAUCUUUUUGACAAGAAAUGCACUAAGCAUUUACGCACACAACUUCUUGCAAUUGAUGAAAGACAUGUAAGGUCCAAAAUGUAUCUAAGCUCCAUCUACAAGGAUCAGAAUGCAAUCCACUUGCUGUUGGAGAUGACCCAGAAAUUACUUAUGCUAGCUCUUCCAUUCCAAUUGAUGCAGAUUUCUAAGAUUAAACAACUUUGACUAACAAUUAUCUUUGGUUAUUUUGGCAAAAAAAACAUGUCAUAGAUAUCUUUUGUUGAUUGUCAUUAAUUGUUAUAUCAUCGUAACAUUGGGAGAAAUAUCAGAAAUUUUUUAAAUAUAUUGCAAUUGUAUUAAUUCCGUCUUAAACUUUUUUCUCAAUUCAAACCUAAAACUUUUGCAUUUACACUUGUUCAGUCCAUUUGGUCAAUUUUGCCCAACUGGCAUCAACUUGGUACUUUUUAAAUAAUAUUUUAAUAAUAUUUUGAAAUUUUUUGUAAUUUUCUUUUUCUUUUCUUUUCUUUAAUGUUGUCCUCUUCUCCUUUACUUAGGGCCUUGCUGCCUUGCUUGCCCAAAUCAAGUGAGGUUGUUGCAGCCCUCGCCUUGUUUGGGUGAGGGCCGUAGUGUCCUCGCUAGGCCAAAUCUAGCGAGGGUGUCAUGGCCCUUGCUAGAUCUAAGCAAGGGACAGCACACUCACGCCCUAGCUAGCGAGGGUUGGUUGGCGACCCUCACUGACCCUAAGAGAAGGGGAAGGGGAGAUUUAAAAAAAUAAAUAAAUAAAAGAUAAAAAUUAAAAGAAUUCAAAAAUUAUCUAAAAAGUGUCAUGUUAGUGCCGAUUGGCUAAAAUUGGUAGAAUGGACUAAAUCGACACAAAUGAAAAAGAUCUAGGACUGAAUUAAUAAAAAAAAAGUUUAGGGUUAAACUUGCAUAAUUAUAAUAAAUUUAUGACUUUUUUAGUAAUUUUCCCUCGUAACAUCAUUCAGACGAAUUAUAGUCUCCAAAGCUCUUAAGGGAUGGAUAAUUUGUAGACAGGAUGAGCAUCUAUGAAGUUUUAGCAGUAGAUUUUCCAGUUCUCCUGCAAUUUAAAUCCCGAAUUUUUCCUCAUUGUCUUUGGGGAAUUGCAUCGUGUGAGAUGCAGCUUGUCCAGUCCUCAAGAGUCACAACAAUCUUUAUGGCUUCAUCAUUGCAUACAUGAGGGAGAGGGGAGGAAGUCUAUAACUCGGGCUUCGCUCUAGAGCAAUUUAUGAGGUUACUUAUUAUUAUUAUUUUUUUGGCUUGCCUCAAACAUAAAUCCUUUUAUUCUCUAUUAGCAAAAACCAUAGAGCGGAUGUUAGUAUAAGGCUAUCCUUUGUCUUCAAAGACUGGUACCUUAUUAAGUGCCGAAUUGGGCUCCUAACGGGGAAGUCCAUGGGCCAUUCGGCAUUCGUCUCCAUCUUCUUCGCUGGCCAAUCCUCGCUCCGGUUCGAAUCGCCGCAACUCUCUGGCGCUCGAGCACCGUCUCGCAGCGGCAAAUCUCUACCUCGCUCGAUCAUCUCCGGCGGCAUUGAUUGUCUUUUGGCUAAAUUCUUGGUCGGAGUGUUCGUCAGUGGUUGUUUGCAGAAUCAGAGUAGACGUGAAUGUGGUAUGCGUUGAUGAACAGGUCAAAAAGCAAGGGAAGCAAGCGGAUGACAUGCAGUAUCGAGCUCAGCGUGAUGCUCUAAGCCUGAAAAUUGUCCAGAUGACUGCAGAAGAUAAUUGCUUUUUCGGGUCUGUGUUCCUUGUUAGAAAAAAAUCGCCGAAUUGUUUUCGUGAUUUUUUUUUUUUUUUUUUUGGAAUGUUUCCGGGAAUAGGUUUGUCUUGAAUGGUGUGCUCAUCGCAUUACCACUCUGUCGUCAGAACACAACACGCAUUGCAUUUUAUGGUACACCGGUUCUGGAAUACUAUCAUCGAUGUACUAGAAAUUCCUCUGCUGGGAAAACUAUUGCGUUUUCGUAUCAUGUAUCAUUCUGCCUGAGACACUGCAUCUGGAAUUGGAAACAUAUCUUGAAGAAGAGUUCUCUUUGUCGGGGCUUAGUCUCGAGGAUAUUAGAUUGACCCUUCUAAGAUCCAACUAAGUUACUUUGUAAAAUUUCAUGCCUAUUGUACAACGUCCUAGACAAACAAACCAUCUUCCUCAUUCCUGUUUUCAUUCCACGUAUUUGAAUUAUCCAUCCUCCAGGUAAUCUUGCUGCCUUGUAUGGAGCUUUUGGUUAUAGAAAUGCCUUUGCUAUAGUUGGAAUUUUCAUAGUUGUCAGCCCUUGUUAAUCAGGGCCCUUGCAGAUCAGUUGGAAGGCAAUGAAGAUGAACAUGGAAAGUACCGGAGUAUGGUUGUUAAGUACAUAUUGGUAUGUGGAGUGCUGAUUUCUCUUUUUCAAGUUGUAGAAAUUAUGUUUGUAAGGGUUUUUUUUUUUUUUUUUUACAUGGUGAUGUUGUCCUCAUUUGUAUUAGGGCUCAGCAAUCCGAAUCAAAACUUUUAUUCGGUGCAUUUUGUUCUUGAACCUUUUUGUAAGUAUUGAUGGAUUUCUCACUUAUAUAGACACCGAAAUAGCAUGCCUUUUGACGAAAAAAACAAGUUAAAAUGGGUACUUUAUAUUGAAGCUUACAAUUCUGCUGCCAAUGGUUAUUUCUGAUGAUUUUCAGUUCACAGUCACAGUUGCAUUGAGCUAUACCAACACAAGGAUCACCUGAGCAAUUUGACAUUCUUAUUUUACUAGGGAGGAAAACCUGUUAAGUGUUAACUGUGAUUUGGAUGGUCUAUCUUGGCCUAAACUAACAGGUGUAGGAGGAAGCUGGACUCUGUAGUUAUCCGCAUUGUUGUCGCCUACAGGAACGUGUGAUUGCUACUUUAGGGUGGCAAUAUUAUGCAAAUCGACAUAUUUUUCGAAGGAGAUUUGACAAAAUCAAAAAAAUGAGAGAAUUAAUACUAACGUAAUCGACUUUUUAGCAUGCAUGAUAAAACUGUAAUGUUUUGCAAUGCCACAAAUUUCUAUUUCUACAAGAGUUUCUAAACAAAAAUAUUUAUUUGAUAACGACACAAAAUUUUUACCAUAAAAAUAGAAAUUCACUUGAUGAUGACACAAAAUUUCUCCCUUUUGGAUGGUGGCUACUGGCAGCGGUGGCCGGCGAUCGGCAGACGGCAACAGUAGCAACACACGGCCAACGGACAUCGGCUAGCUGAUCGGCUGCCGUCUGGCAACUGGUGGCGACCGGCGAACAGUGGUCGGCAGCGACGGAUGGACGACCGACCAGCGACGGAUGGACGACCAGUUCGUCGUAAAAACGAACGAUGCGAAAAAAAUUUAUUUCUUAUUUCUGGAACAGAAAUAGAAAAGUAAAAAAAAAUUUGCUUCUGAUUUCUAUUCCAAAUCUAUUUCUGGAACAAAAUCUAUUUCAGAAAUAGAAAAAUAAAAUAAUUUUAUCAAACGGAUUUCUAUUUCAGAAACAAGUCUGGAAUAAAAAAAUUGUUUCUGAAACAGAAAAAUUUUGAUUUAUCAUGCACCCCCUUCUUGAUUACCAUGUGGGGUUGGAAAGCAAGUGGAUACCUAUAUAAUGCAAAUCUGCUUUAAAAUCAUUAUUCAUUGUGUGAGAUAUUGAGCAUGAGAUACAUGGAUGGAUGACAUCAUGUAUUUGCAUUGAAUAUGGACUGACAUUUGCGUACAAUGCAAACCCAAUGCCACACGUGACAAAGUGUUACGUCGUGGAAGCCACCUCUUGAACCUCGUUGGGAUAAUUUGUCACAUGGUUUGAGCCACCUCUAACUUUAGAAUCCUAUUAUAGUGUCAUCACUUGCAUACAUCAACAUGUUUAGCUAUAUAAUAUUGUUGUAGCAAAUUCGCUCAAUGUAAGUUGAUUUGACUGUCAAGCGACUGGGAAAACAAAUAACAAGCUUACUUUCUGAUUCUAGCUUGGCUCUAUGAAGUGAUUAAACUAUCCAUAAAGUAUUUUUCCAAAGAUGGCUUUGAUGGUGUGCUUGGAUGCGUGGAUGUGUGGAUGCGUGCUAGCUCUUGGAAGCAAUGGAUGAAAUGGUUUGACAGAGACCGAUCUAAAUGAAAGGAAUCGCAAAUUGCUUAGAAAUUAAAGUCGAAGUGCUGCAAGGAAUAAAGGAAAGCAAAGCAAAGAACACUAAACUCAAAGCCGACUGAAAUAAACUGAAAACGAGAUUACUAAUUUACUAGGACAUUAACAUUGCUGGAAUUGAAAUUAAUCACAGUUUGUACAAAUGACGUUCGAAUGGAGACAAUGACAUGAACGUUACAACGAUACUCGAAGGGAAAUCAGCAGUAAUUUUGGCGGGGUUUUGGUGUAAUUUGAACAUAUCUUCUUCCUCUGCAUCUCUUUUUUUUUUUUUUUUCGUAAGUCUUAAAUUCCCUUUGAUUAUUACUAGGUCGAUGAUCAUUUCUUAACUAAACUGCUUUCAUAUAUCCAUGAUUUCCUACCUCAACUGCCUUCAUGUAUCCAUAAUUUCCCGACCUAACUAAAUUUCCGAUUCCUCAGCAUUUCUCAGCAGCUACUUUGUCUUGUUCUAGCUUGGUGAAGUUUAUAACUGCUUCUGCUUCUUUUGAAUUCAAAGUAGGUUGAAGACUCUCUUUCUCAAACUUCGGCGGAAUGGUCUUUCAUGAGCAUAAAAACGAAAUUGAAUUUGAUACAGCUUGGCUUGUGAUUUUUUACUACCAACAUAUUGUUGACUUAUUGUUAUUAUUAGACGACAAUUCAGUCACACAACCAAAGCACAAAGUAAACCGAAGCACCAAGGGAGAAAAGAAAUCUCUGUCGUCAAAGGAUGAACCAUCAAUUCAGCUAUAUAUGAUCAGCAGUCCAGCACGUUGAACGACAACAUCCAUAUCACUCCAUCCGAUCUCAAAUUGAUCAACGACAAAGACAAAUUCGUCAUUAUCAUCUGUGAGGCAAAACGUCGAACAUGCGGUGAUCACUAAGGGCGAGGUGUUCUGCAAAUAGGAAUUCCCAUCAAUUGGCAAGGAAUAUAACAUGAGAAAUCCCUCCAAAAAAAAAAAAAAAUGCUAGAGCGGAAUCGACGAAUUCGAGACCAAAUAAUGGACAAGAAUUCGACAUAACAAUUUGAAGCUCUCGGCAAAAGGGCAAUACAGAACAAUCGUAUGAUUGAAUUUCGAUGAAUCGACCGCGUCCUACCUUGGGGGAGACCCGAUCCGAAUGGUUACCUGCUAAUAAAUGAAAGACACUCAAAAGACUUGGAGAAUCUCACGAAGACGAAGCUAAGGCGACGAAUCGAUUCAGCGACGAAAUUGCUCGACGAAGAUAUUCAGCUGCAACUAGCUUCAACCGCGGGCGCGAACACUGGAUUCGGUCCAGAGCGCUUAAGAUAUUUUUCUCGGUCUGGGCGUGUGUUCUUGCUUCACUUGGUUCCUCAGCCUCUCCAGCACGCACCAAGCGAGGGAGAAAGAGCACGAGAGAAGUUUCGAUUGGUUGUGAUGAGCGCCCGUUCUCUGCUCCGUCACGGCCGAGGUUGCGGUUACCGGCGAGGGAGAUUUGACGGCGGCCGUCACCGAUCGGAGAUGGCGUAGACGAUCGAUUGAGGGUGAUGGAGCUCAAAGGAAGAGGCGAUUGCUCCGAAUAGCUAGCCGGAAGAAUGGAAUGAGUCUCCGAAGCGCCACCGAAUCGGAGCGAGGCCUUUUUUUUUUUUUUACAUACGUCACAAAAAAUGCACGUUCGGUUUGUCGGGCGAAAUUUUAGACAUCAACAAUUAGUAACAUUUUAAAGUAGCUAACUUUAUUAAUUUAAAAUAAGAGUUUACCAUUGAUAUUUGAUAGCGAUCGUGUUUUUAGCUUAAUAAACUCUACAUAAUCCAAUUAUGAGGUUGGCAGUAUUGUGAAAUUAAUUGAUAGAUAAUCAAGUACAUGAAGUUCUGUAUAUUAUAUCACUUGAGAGUUAGUUCUAUAUGAGCUUCAUACAUUUUUUUUUGCUAGCUAACUAGGUGAUAAGUUGUCGUAGUUAUAGUUUCUUCUAUACUUUUUACAAUUAGUUUUGUUGUCGGAAGUAGUAAUGAACCAUGCUGGUCGUUGCAUCCUCAAUCACAUCCUUCAUGUUGUGUAUUUUACCAACCAUUUCUUUUCAUGAUUUAAUGAUUUAAAUAAUAUAAAAUAAGAUAAUCUUGACUAUAACAUGACUAUUUCACCGGUUUUAGAUUUUGCAACGAAAUAUCUUUCACUAAAUUUUAUAUUUUGCUUUUUAUUAAAAGAGACUUAGGUUCUAUGCUAGUAUUGGAUAGAGAGAGUCAAAUACUAAUGGAGCUAUAUAUGAUAUGGUUUCGAAUCUUAUAAAGUUGCUUAAUAUGAGGUCAAAAUCAAUCAUAGCCAAUGUCGAAAUCCAAUCAACAGUUUGAUCCAAACUCACUUUAACAUACUAAUGAAAACCCAUUAAAAUCAAAGUGGUUUGUACAAUGUUGAAGCCAAUUUGACAACAAUGGAUAUUAACAAAAGCACCUAAAAAGCACUACUUUCAAAUGAGUUUGAGGACACAACAUUAGAAUCUAAUUAACGAUGUUGGAUGGUGGGAAUAACACAUAGUAAACACCACUUCUAGAAAAAUAUGAGAAUACAACGUUAGAAUCUAAUCGACGAUACUGGACGAUGUUAAUAAUACCUAAUAGACACUACUUCUAGAUGGAUAUGAGGACAUAAUAUCGAAAUCUAAUUGACGACGUUGGACGGUGAUAAUAACACCUAGUGGCACUACUCCUAGAUGGAUAUAAGGACAUAACAUCGAAAUUUAAUCGAUGACAUUGGAUGGUAGGUUAAUACUGGAAUUUUAUCAAUAGUACUACCUAGGAUAUAGACACUCACCGGAAUUGAAUCUACGACGGGAAUCUUAAAUUACAGCUAAACUAGACUAGGUUAAGAUAAAAAGGUAAGAUAAAGUAGUUUUGUGUGUUGUUCGAGGAACUUCUCUAUUGGAUUGUUUGCGGUAUUUAUAGGCCAAUUUGAUAACCAUUAGUGAUUGAUUGCUUCCUUCUUAAACAUCGCUCACGUUCUAUGCUAAACCGUUUUAUCCAUAUCUGGUUGCUUUCUAAUAUGUUUGAUGAUGUUCUCAUGGCUUGUUUAGCAAAUAAUAAUCGCUCCUUUGAUUUUGGCGCCUUUUUAAGCAUCAACCGUUCUUGUUCAAACUUUGCCAUCAAUUCCAUCUAAAUGCUAUGUCUUCAACAGGGUUUCUUGGCUUGGACACGUGGCAACCAAUUGCUUUAUCAUCGAAUCACGUAUCUCUACUUGUAAGCUCAUCGAAAUCUAGUCCAAAUGCUCUUGAAAUCCUUGGCUAUCAUUCGUUUCUAUGACAACCAUGGACUGGGCUGAUGUAAAUCACGACCCGCAAAUGACAGCGAGGAUGAUUUCAAAGGCUUUUAUCCCUUGUGAUCAGCACGUGAUAGUAGGGAUAUUUUUGGAUGUCAACAGUGACAAUAUAAUUCAAUCCAUCACUUGACAUCACAUACAACUUUUACAGUAGAUUUGAUCAUAUAAUUCUUUCAUUUGUUUGGGAUCACACAUAUUACAAACAAAGCAAGCAUGUAAAAGCAUUUCACAUUAUUUUUAAUUACUAGAACUUCGUAUAAAUUUCUUAAAAUUUGUAGCAUUUUGUAUUAAAUGCUAAAUAAUUUUGGGAUCAAAAGCUAAGGUAUAAUGCAACAAGACAAGAAGUAUAGCAAAAUGGUAUUGUCGUAUUCACUACAUGCAAAUAGUAUCUUCACUAUCUUGAACUUUCAAAUAUCAAUUUCUUGCAUACAUGCAAUGCUUUGAUAUUUGCCAUGCUGGAGAAAUUUGAGCCAAUUAUGAUUCCCUCUUCUAACUCUAAGGCUAAAUAGUAGGUAACUCUCGUCAAAUUGACCAAAAUAAACUCUUCCCUCCAACACUCCCCAUAGUGCAUUUGGUUUGAGAAUCUAAAUCCAUACAUGAUUCGAGUCAAAUGAACUAAGAGGCUCCUAAUAUCUCAUCCGCCUUUGGCAGUGAACAUGUGGCAUGAUGUCAAAAGAUAAUUUCCUCUUCUUCUUCUUCUUCUUCUUCUUUUCCAUCUUUUACACUGCAAACACUACAGUUCUUACCAAAAAAAAAAAAAAAACAAUACAGAGAACCACCGCCACAACUCUCAGAGCAGUUCCGUGACUUAAGCAGGGGGACCCAGCUAGUGGGUUACUAGGCUAGUCUCUCUCGAGGUAUAGUCGAUGCUGUGCUCCCGUAAGGUGAGCUAGGCCAGAUCCCCGGCAUAAAAAAAUAAUAAUAAUAAUACAGAGAACCAAUGUUGUAAACUUGUAGUGCAAGUCAUGUGAAGCCAAAAAUGGUACCGUCUUCAACAAGGAUGAACUCCUUUGGUAUCUCUCCUCUGGGGCAAACAUUUUGGUAAUAAGGAGGAAUUUGGGAAUAAUGAUGCUUUUGUUAUAUAGGCAUACUGUAAAAUGUAUGUGAAUUUCUAAUUAGUUCAAGAAGAAGAGUUUAAUUUUGAGUAAACUAGUUGGCUGGCAUACGUAUCCUAUCAUAUUAGGAUGAUGGUAGUGAUCGAAAAUGGGAAAGCCUACACAAUUUGAUUUAUUAUGUGUCUAGCAUAGCUCCUUUGGGAACUCCUAGUAAUUCAACCACAACUAGAGCUCUAUAAUAAUUAGACAUAUUGAUCCUUUGUUGCAUUAUAUACAUUACUCAUGUAAUAUAAAUCAUUCCCUUAUCAGUUUUGUAGCCACCCCUAAUAUUACAUUAGACAUACUGAUCCUUGGUUCCAUGAGAUAAGUGCACCUAGCCACUCACUCAGUGUCUAGUAUAACAAACUUUCUUAUUAAAUACUUCGAUAAAGUUCUAAUUUACAAUAAUUGAUAUACUUGUUAGCCAUGUAUUUAAGGUUUAUCUUAUGGUUAUGUUCAACCAUUUUAUAUUAUGAAUUUAGAAGAAUUUUAACAGGAAAUACACGAUGCAUGUUUUCAAAUAUUUUAUGAAUUAUUUUAAAUUUUUAUGAAUUUUCUGGAUUUUUAAUUUUUUAAUUAUUUUUAGUUUAUUAUUAUUAUUACUUUUAAAUUUUUUUUACUUGUUAAAUACAGACAACGACUUCGGGCUGGCUCUGGUCUCGUGGGUCUGGGCCAUGGACACAAAUGGGCUAAUUCAAAAAAAGCCCAUUCGAAUAGAAUAUCACCAAGUCCAUUUCGUUGAAAUUAAAAAGCACUAAGCUCAUCUUGCUAAAAAAACUCAGCCCAAGCACCUCUAAGACUAAGACCAGCCCGAAUCUACUAAAACCACUUAGGCCCAAGAUCCAUCAAAUAACCCACGCCGAGCCUAAAUCCACGCAACCCAUUCACGCUUCCUUCCUCCUUUCUCAUCUAAUUUUCUUCCUUUUUAUUUUUUUCAUUUUUUCUCUCCCUUUUUUAUUUUUAUUUUUAUUUUUAUUUUUCUAUUUUCCAUUUCUCUUCCCUUCCCCUGUGCACCACCUUCUUCCCGUGAACGACUUCUUCCUUGCGACCUUCUUUUCAACCUAAUCCCACCAUUUUCCGAUGAGCCCUCGCCGGCGCUCAGGCCACCGCCGAGCCACCACUCGGCGUCGGUCGUUCAGUCCGACAACGCCAGUCACUGCCAGCCAUCACUUGGUCGCCGGUCGCCCGUCCCUCGCGGGCCAUAACCGAACCUCAACGGCAACUUUAAUGUCACCGAAACACGUAAUUCAAAACGGCAUCCAUUUCAACAGAACAAGCACACAAAUGGAGGGAAUAACAAACUAACUACGGCGUCCUCUAAUUGCGGGCUUCUCCAGCUAAAGGAAUGGCAAUCUCCGGCGAAGCGUUCACGGCCAGACUCGGACGAUGAGAAAUAUGCCACCAAAAGAAUCAAAGAAAACGCCGAUUCAGUCUCCCGUUUAAUGAUUCCAUAACGAAUAGAGCACGGAAAAAUAACAUUUCGAGCAUCUCGCUAAAAUUGAAUUCGAUUUUUCAUUGAGACAUUCCGUCGAACGGUCCAUGUGCAGUUCUGAAUACCACCUGUAGGUUCGAGAGCUUGCUGCGAUAGACGAUGACAAGCGAGUCGGCUUCCCCGGGAGGUCGCGAGGGUGAUUGAGACGGACCACCGACGAGAUGAAAGAAUUCUCUCCUCUCGGUUUCCGAUUUCUCUUCGAAACACCUCCGGCUCCACCACUCCGAGCCGAUCCCCUCUCUCUCUCUCCCCGCUCUUUCGUUUCUGCCCCAUCCUUACCUUUACAAGAAGAAGGAAUGGGGCUCCUAACGGGAAAGCUCAUGGCCCUUCCGGCAUCUGUCUCCAUGUUCUUCGCUGGGCAAUCCUCGCUAUGGUUUGAAUCGCCGCGACUGCGGUGUUCGAGCGCCGUCUCCCGGUGGCAAAUCUCGACCUCGCUCAAUCAUCACCGGCAGCAUUGGUCGUCUUCUCUCCGCAGCGAUGGUACAGAAGCAGCACCGCAAGUCCAACGCUAAGAAACAGCCUCACGUAAGCGAUUUCCUUCGCUACUUAUGGUUGCAAUUUCCAUCUAUUUAGGCAUCUGUGACUAUUGCUUGCUCUUCGAAGAGGCCGCAUAUCUUGUCUCCAAAGAAAUUCAAAAGUUUCAAUUGCCGUGAUAAUCCGUUUGUUGCGCCGACGCCUCUGAAUUGAGCUUUGGUGGACGUGCGUUUGGCUAAAUUCUUGGUUGAAGUGUUCGUAGGUGGUUGUUUUCGGAUUCUGAGUAGACGUGAAUGUAGUAUGCGUUGAUGAACAGGUCAAAAAGCAGGGGAAGCAAGCGGAUGACACGCAGUUCCGAGCUCAGCUUGAUGCUCUGGGCUGAAAAUUGUCCAGGUGACUGCAGAUAAUAAUUGCUUUUGCAGGUCUGUGUUCCUUGUUAGAAAAGAUCACCGACUUGUUCAUGAUUUUUUAUUGAAUGUUUUCAGGAAUUGGUUUGUUUUGUAAGAUAUUAGUAAUCCUCUCUGCUGUAGAAGUUUAGUAGUAUGCUCAUCGCAUUACCACUCUGUCGUCAGAGCAUAACACGCAUUGCAUUUUAUGGUAUACUGGUUCUGGAAUACUAUCAUCGAUGUCCUAGAAAUUCCUCUGUUGGAAAAACUAUUGCAUUUUAGUAUGAUGUAUCAUUCUGCCCGAGACACUGCAUCUGGAAACAUAUCUUGAAGAAGAGUUCUAUUUGUUGGGGAACACAGCUCUCUUACCUUAGUCUCGAGGAUAUUAGAUUGACUCUUCUGAGAUCCAAGUCAGUUACUUUGUAAAAUUUCAUAACUAUUCUACAACUCCUAGACAAACAAAACAUCUUCCUCAUUCCCGUUUUCAUUCCAUGUAUUUGAAUUAUCCAUCCGCCAGGUAAUCUUGCUGCCUUGUAUGGAGCUUUUGGUUAUAGAAAUGCCUUUGCUAUGGUUGGAAUUUUCUUAGUUGUCCACCCUUGUUAAUCAGUGCCCUUGCAGAUCAGUUGGAAGGCAACGAAGAUGAACAUGGAAAGUACCGGAGUAUGGUUGUUCAGUACAUAUUGGUAUGUGGAGUGCUGAUUUCUCUUUUUCAAGCCAUAGAAAUUAUGCUCGUAAGGGUUUUUUUACAUGGUGAUGUUAUCCUCAUUUGUAUUAGUGCUUAGCAAUCCAAAUCAGAACUUUUAUUCGGUGCAUUUUGUUCUUGAACUCUUUUUGUAAGUAUUGAUGGAUUUCUCACUUAUAUAGACAUUGAAAUAGCAUGCCUUUGGAAGAAAAAACCAAGUUAAAAUGGGUAUUAUAUAUUGAAGCUUACAUUUCUUCUGCCAAUGGUUAUUCCUGAUGAUAUUCAGUUGGCAGUCACAGUUGCAUAGAGCUAUACCAACACAAGGAUCACCUGAGCAAUUUGACAUUCUUAUUUUACUAGAGAGGAAAAGCUAUUGUGUUAACUGUGAUUUGGAUGGAGUAUCUUGGCCUAAACUGACAGGUGCAGGAGGAAACUGGACUCUAUAGUUAUCCGCAUUGUUCUAGCUUACAGGAACGUGCGAUUACUACUUUAGGGUGGCAAUAUUAUGUAAACCGACAUUUUUUCGAAGGAGAUUUGACAAAAUCAAAAAAUGAGAGAAUUGAUAAUAACGUAAAAUAAAUAAACUAUUUAGCUUGCAUCAUAGAACUGUAAUGUUUUGCAAUGCCACAAAUUGAUAGUUUUGCUUUUUUUCAAGUUUCAACAGGAUCCUUCAUUUUCAUUGGUUUUACUUAUAGUGAUGUGUUUAAGGAAAAAAAAAAAAAACUUGUUUGAAGAAUGGACCUGAUAUAUGCAUCUAAGCUGGGAAUUGUUAAUGACAGAACAAUCGUGAAAUGUUGAACCAUUUAUUGAGGAUGAUGUGCCAUUUGAGGAGUAUUGCAAAACCAUGGACAAUGAUGGCACGUGGCUGGUCAUAUGGAAUUGCAAGCAGCUUCUCUUGUUACACGGAGUAACAUUUGCAUUCACUGGGUAAGACUGACAAUGAUGUCAUCAAUUAUUCACCUACAUUGAGUUUUUGGGUUACAUUAUUUUCAUUCCUUCAGGGGAAACAUCUAGACUAAAUAAGGAUGUCAUUAGACUCGUCAAUCGUUAACCUUGAAUUGAAGUUUCCCUGUUUAAGCAUGCAUCCUAGAAUUCGAUGACCAUUGAAGAACCCAUGAUUAUCGGUUUCCAGACUCAUUCACUUAUUGAUAUAACGGCUUUCUUCCCCAAUAUGGCCCUCCUUUAUCCAAGAAGUUAUUUCCCAUCAUUGUUUAGAUCAAAAGACCACGUAGGAUGUUGUUUUAGUAAUCGUUAUAGCUUGUUAUUUUCUGUUUGGUUAUAAUUUGUUACUCUUUAGACUGAAAAGUUGACUCAUCUGAGGCGCAAUGUUAUCCGGCAUGCCUCAUGAUGUCUAUUGUGGCAAAAGCAUGUAGAAAGACCAUUGGUGAUGAUGUGCAAAAGAUUUUAUUCAGAGAUGGAUUGCACCGUGAGUCCCAACGGGUGCAUAUAAUCCUAAUUCAAAGAAGACUUGAUAUAUCAAAUUUGUUACAACAUUGCUGGCUCAUCGAAUGUUCUGUAUGUCCUCGAUGAAUCUACACAUUAGCAACAAUAAAUUUUGAUGCAUGCCGUGCACGCAUAUAUUUUUCGUUGACUCCAGAUGGAAUCACUCGUUACUUGAUGCAGAACAUGUCGCCUUGGUGGUACAUACGCAAUUUUGAUCAGCCUGAUGCUCGUAUGAUCCAUUUGCGAGUGUUCUGAAUCUAGGGCCUGAUGUUGCUUUUUGCCAAGCAAGUGCUCAAAUGCUGGGAUGAGAUCUGGCUCUGUUUGUAUACACUUAAAUAAAUUACCAUACCUUACAUUUCAAUUUCCCUCAAAAGAUAUGAAAAAAAAAUGUUUUAAUUUGCAAGAGAUUAUGAAAAGAUUAUAUGUUUCUCCUGGUCAAUUUUGUUUGUUUUUAAAAGGUUUUAGGUGUCGAGUUCUAUAAAGUCAAAUUGCGAGAGCUGCAAGAUUUGAAAAAAUAACCAAAAAAAAACUAUAGGUACAAUUCGUCCAAACAAACCGGCUCAUUACAUCAAAGAAGGUAGUGCAGCUUUUUUGAGGGAGACUGCUGAUUUUUGAAAUUAUUUUGGCAUGCAAGGACAGCAUAAGUUGCAGAUAUGAGUGUUGUUGCGGUGUUUGUUAGAUCAAACCAUGGAAGCUCUUUUGCUAGUUUGAGAGAUGUUUUGACGUGGUCACAGGGGGAUAAAUUACUGGCUAAGCAUAUGUGAUAGGAGACCAAAUGUCACUUUAGCUUUUGUUUCUUCAGUAAAUUUUUUAUUGAAUAUAGAUAUACUUCAAUGAAUGGCAUGCCAGGAUACUCUAAGAUAAGAUUGAUUGGCUCUGUUGAGGGAGUCAUCGUGACUUGGAUUGUCAUGAGGGUCAUGAAAUCUAGGGGAUAUAUGACAUUCCACACUUUACUAUCGUAGAUGAAUGUCAUCAUGCGAAGCAAGUAAGCAUAAAAAAUGUGCGUUGUGCCCUUAUUGUUUUGUGGACAGGGAAAAUCUUUUAGUCUUUUUGUACUGAUUGGUGUUUGUAUGUGCAUUAUUCUAACUUAUAGAUUUUGCUUUGUUUUAUUAGAUCUUAUCAUGAUGAGGAACAUUACAACAGUGUGAGGUUGAAGGAAGACUCCGGAGAUGGGCCAGCUAGGCCAAUCACAAUCAAGGUCGCUACUGGAAUUUAAUUUUAGUUUACUAAGUCAGUACAGAAGUUGGAAAAAUUUGUGAAUUGAAGUAUGUGAUUUGAUAAUUUCUUUUGCUGAAAGGCUGAUUCUAAUCUCUCAUCGUGGUCUGGCCAAGCAAAAGCUGGGUCAAACAAGUCUAAAUCAGGAGCUGGUAAGGAUACGACUGACGCAGGAUCCAUCAAGCUAGUCAUGGCAGGAAGUGGUUGUAAGAACAUUGAGAAAGUUGAGCAGGUUAUGUUCUCUCUUCUUCUGCUUGCAUGUUUGCAUUAAUUGUUUACCUCUCAUUUGCUAGGUGAUACUAGAAUUAGAAUGCAAUGUUUUGGACCUUUUUCUGGUUUCUGUGUGACAUGUGAUACUUCUACACACAUUGCUGCAAAUGUAGGUGGAUGUUGAUGCUGCCAUAGAGCAUUUGAUAGCAGAAUGAGGCAUUGAAGAUUUUUCAGAGGAAACUCUUUGGCCUCCCUGCAAUGCAGAUGCUUCUUAUGGUAAUGGCUGGUCAGUAAUUCUCUCUCUAGAUUUUCUUUAAUAAUUUAACUUCGCAGUUUCAGAGAUACUGUGUUAAGCUUCAUUAGAAGCUUUCUUGGAGUCAUUUUGAUGUGACUGGUGGGAUUAGCAUACUUUGUCUUGUCACCCAUGGAUUUUUGGGGUCGUCAAACAUGCUAUACCCAAAACUAUUUCAUAAUUUUGUUGUAUUUAGGUGAUGAUGCCAAUGGAAAUUCGGAGGAACAGAGAAAGGAACCUGUGGAAGAGACCUAUAAAGAGAAUCCACCUAGCAAUAGUGCUAAACGGACUCAUGAUGAUGGCAGUGCCCAGCAAGAAGACAAGGUUUCCGCAAAUAAUGAUUGUGUUAUAUCUUUUACCAUUUUAGUUUAAGCUCAAACAUGAGAACUGUUGAUCAUGCGUCUCUUCAUUUUUAUUUGCUUGUUUUAUUUUGAAAUGGAGAAAAUCCCAAGAAACAAGACUUGUCCGUGUGGUUCAAAAAAGAAAUAUGAGUCCUGUUGCGGGUCAGGGACGGCGAAAGUCUCUGCAAUUGCCAAGUAUUUCUCGUUCUAUCUGUGCUUUCGAUGUCAAGUUAUAGUUUAAGCUCGUCUUUUGUUGAAGUAUUUUUCCUGUUUCCCUGUGAUUGGAGUUGAUACUUAUCUUGAAAUUAUGGCUUAUGUAUCCAACACGGUAUCAAUUACGUUCCUUAAAAUCAUGUCUGCAAUAUUUUCUCACUCCUACGCUUUGUCGAAUAAUGUGUACUUACAAAAACAAAGAGAUUUCAUUUUUUUUAUGUCUAAAUGUUGUUUUGCAGUGAUCAAGCUUUUGAAUCCAGGAAAAGUAAAAAGGAAAAGAAGCGAGGCAAGAGAGGGUCUUGACACAUCUGCACUUUCUAGCGGAUCUUAUGAAGGGCCACCUGAUAUGGGGACUCUUUGCAUCUGACCUUUUCCCAAAGUAUGUGCACCAUCAUCUAUUGAAUUUCGGAUAUCGGUAUGUGUGCAGUCUUUCAGAUAUCUGAUUAGACAAUUUUUUUCCUAUCUAUAUUAGCACGUAUUCGAUGUAUGCAUCUCUUCUCUGACCUUUGGGAUAAGUGCACUUUCUAGUUUUUGACCUGUUGCCAAAUUUAGGAAGAUCUAUAGGCGCAAAAUUUUUAAAGGUGUUACUUCUCUUGGAUAGUCUGCUCGUCUGAUGCAUAAUAUGCUGGCAAUUGUGAUUUGGAGAUUCUUUGCACACACAAUUGAUGCGAAUGCAUGUAGUGCCUACCCCGGUAGAUUUGUUGGCAUUGGCGAAGGUGAGUUUGGGAAGCAACCAAAAGGAGAUAAGGAAAUUCAGUAAUUACUGUCCCAGGGCUAAACCUUUUCAUGAAUAUAAAAGAGAUGUUCACGUGAAUUUGACGAGUGAUGGUUUAAUUUAUAGAUUCCCUUCCAAAGUAUUGGUUUUGUUGUAACUGUAGUUUGUGGUUCCCGUGAAGAUGUUAUUAUUUUUCCAUUUAUUUCGUUGACAAGAAAUGCACUAAUCAUUUGCUCACACAACUUCUUGUAAUUGAUGAAAGACACGUAAGAUCCAAAAUGCACUUAAGCUCCAUAUAAGGAUCCGAAUGAAUCCAUUUGCAGUUGGAGAUGACACAGAUAUUACAUAUGCUAGCUCUCCUAUUCAAAUUGGUGUAGAUUUCUAAGAUAAACAACUUUGACUGACAAUUAUCUUUGGUUAUUUUGGCAAAUAAGCAUGUCUUGUAGAUCUUUUGUUGGUUGUCAUUAGUUGUUAGACGAAUUAUGGUCUCCAAAGCUCCUAAGUGAUAGACGGUGUGUAGAUAUGAUGCGCUGUGAAGUUUUAGCAAUAGAUUUUCCAAUUAUCCCACAAUUUAAAUCCCAACUUGUUCUUCUCAUUGUUUUUGUGGAAUUGCAUUGGGUCAGAUGCGGCUUGUCCAGUCCUCAAGAAUCACAACAAUCUUGCGGCUUAAUCAUUGCAUCCACGGGGGAGUAGGGAGAGUGUCGAAUUGUGAGCAAAGAACUGAUGCGGAAAGAAGUCUAUAACUUGAGCUUCCCCCCAAAGCUACUCAUGAGGUUACUUAUUAUUUUUUGUCGGCUUGCCCUCAAAUAUAAAUCCGUUCAUUCUGUACUAACUUCAAUAUGGAGCACAUGUUAGUCUGAGGUUAUCCUCUGUCUUCAAGGGGCGGUACCUAAUUGGUCUUGAAUGCUACUUUGUCCCAAAAUGGGGUUACUUUUUCAUCUACCAGCUUAACAAGCGUUGAACCUGACAUGGUGAUGCUGCUCUAAUAAUGUAGGGAGUUAAGCGAUCUGUUAAACUAAUAAAACUGUAUGUGUAGAUUCAUUUAUUCCAUGUAAGAAGUGAAAAACACUUGAUACUCUUGCAAGAUAGCAAGGUGUGCCUUGUGAGCCCCAUUUUCAUUCAAAUGGCGAUCCAACAUAUAGGAGGGCAUAAUUGCUAAAUGAUAUGCGAGAAUGUAGACAUCACGAGAAACUUCAAUGCGAUAAAAGCAUCUUCGGCUUGGCUGAUGCCGUGAUGCUCCGUGGAUGUCUAGGCCCAUAAAUGGACUUUUCCUGUCACGUGCCGUUGUCAAACCAGUUUAGUCAACCUUCGUCUUUAUUGUCCUUGAGAAGGUGAUCUGUAAAAGUCAAUAGACCAAACCUAGGUCCCUACCAUGAGAUGAGUGUACUUAGCCAUUAACUCAUUUCUAGUAUAAUAGACUUUCUUGUUAAAUACUUCAAUAUGGUUCUGAUUUACAAUAAUUGAUUUAGUUGUUAGCCAUGUAUUUAAGUUAUAUCUUCUGGUUAUGUUCAACCAUUUUGUAUUAUGAAUUGAGAAGAACUUUAACAGGAAAUACAUGAUGCGUUGUUUUCAAAUUUCUGAUCCAUUGAUUUUGUAGAUUUGCUUUGCCGGGUUCAUUCCAAACAGAGCAUAGGAGGGCCAGUAGUAGAUCAACAAUAGCUUAGAGGAAAUAUAGAUAGUGAAAGAGAAUGAUCAUUGAAGAGUGCUAAUCAAGUUUAGAAUCACCACAAAAAGAGGUGUGUCGUACAAGGUCAUGAUGUUAUACAAAGCGAUAGGGAUGUGUGGUGUGAUAAGCAAAUCAAUUUCAAAAUUUAAGCAUUAAGUAAGACGACUGCCAUUUAAUACAAUCAAUUUAAUUAGCUGGUCACAUCAUGUUGAUCAUUAGCGAUCUGAUUGUCGAAUAAAAUAUUUUUCUCAAACAAGGGGAUAGUCCCCCGAAAAGUUUUCGAAUGCUAGAACUCUGAGAUUCGCAAAAAUUUUGAGGAACCUCCCUUUGAAGAAACGCAAGGACUUUCCAAGAAGUGCCACUUUUGAUAUACUCUUAAUAGUUGCUAAAUAGACAUACCAUCACUUACGAGUUCAUCUAAGGAAUUUACUAUGCUAUUGGAUAAUUACUAAAGUGAUAGGAUCAUCGAGAUAUGAACUCCACAAUCAAAUUACUAACCUUAAAAGAAAGUUACUAAAUAUAGGCAUAGCGAUGAUCAUGAGGACUCCAUGGUACUUACAACUGUUGGAAAAAUAAUUUACGAUGUACAAAUACUAUUGUUACAAUAAAGAGGGAAAUUACUGUAUCAAUGGAGAAUUGCAAUAUGACGGUACCCUCAAGUUAGGAAUAACGAAGAGAUGUUUGUGACGGAAAGUUAUCAAUCAUAGGCACAGUACAACUUUUGAGGAUUUCAGUUGAUUUACAAUUGUUCAGGAAUAUUUACUGAGAAAUUUCGUUAUUUAUUAUGACUAUUUGAUGAAAUUUACUAUAUUAAUUUUAAGUUUACUAACGACUAAGAUUUUUGACCAAAAAAAAAAAAAACGACUAAGAUUAACAUACGGGUAUAACAAAGAUUUUUUUUUUUUUUUUUUUUUUGGCAAUGGGGAAGGAUCAACAUACGGGUAUAACAGGAAUAUGUAUAAAAAGACAUAAGUAGUGCCGCAAACCUUUUCUGCUUCUUCUAUAAACUGCAUGAAAAAAAUUUGAAAUUUCCCAAGCGAAGGGAAAUGAUCCUGGGAAAUAAACUACGAAUAUGGUUUUUUAAGGGAUAAAGCAAACCACAAGUCCUAAAACUUGCUGGAAAAAUGCAAUUAAAGUCCUAAUUUAAAAAAAAAAUACAAUCGAGUCAUAAAACUUAUCCAAUUAGUACAAUCAAUAACUUCCGUCAGCCCCGUCCAAUUUGAGUAUUGGAAAAUACUAGCACGUCAUCUUUUGAUAUGUUUUGAGUACACACGCCGGAGAUGCUCCAGCCCAACAUGGUGCCCCGUUAAAAUGAUUUGAAGCGUCUUGUGUGCCCAGUCUCCCACUAUUCCUUCACAUAUAUUUGAAUAGGACAUGAGAGAUUGAAUUGAACGCCAUUUGCUACUCCAUCAACAAGACAGGUGUCCCAGGGUAUCAAGAAAUGUAUGCCAAUCCUAACUUGCUUCGUUGGCUCCUUAAUGAUAGCUUCCUUAGAGCUGCAAGCCAAUACUACUCCACUCCCCUCUUCUUAUUUAAUCUUUCAUAUGCUUCCCGUUCCUCAUCUGCUUCCAAUUCCUCCAGUCGGCGAGGGAGAAAUUUCCGGAAGAACUCUUUAUGCUCUAUUUCACAUAGUGAAGCUAGAUCCACUAAUUGAUUGCCUCCAAGCGCAACCUUCAAAUCAUCAUCCAAUUGCUCACAUAUUAGCACAUAUCCCAACUUUUCCACAGUUCUACCUGACACUAUGAGUGUAAGUUUAAAUUGUAAGUAAUCCUCAUCAAAUUCAAGAAAAUUAACUGCUCCCUCCAGCAAUCCCCAUAGCACAUUUGGUUUGAGAUAUUGAAUCCACAUUUGAUCCGAAUCAAAUGAACCAAGAGAUCCCGACAGCACAUUUCGUCUUUGGCCAUUAACAUGGGGCACGAUGUUGAAAAAUAUUUCCUUUUCUCCAUCUUCUACACUAAAAGCAACACAUAGAGCUAAUCCAAAGAACUUAUCAUAAAAGUCCUGUGAAACCAUAAAAGAUAUGGUACCGCCUUCAAUGGGGACGAACUCCUUUGGCAUAUCUCCUCCGGGGAGAAUAUUUUUGUAUGAAGGACGAAUUUUGGAAUAGCGAUACUUCUGUUAUACCAGUAAAUUGUUAGACAUACUCAAGUUGAUAAUCAGUUCCAAUGCAAAAGUUUGAUUUGAGAAUUUUUCUUGUAAUUCAACAAAAGCUAGAGUUUUAUAAUAAUUAAACAUAUAGAUCCUUCCUUGCCUUAUAUGUAAUACUCAUGAAAUCAUUCACUUGCGAGUGUUGUAGCCACCCCUAUUACAUGUAAGUGCAGAAUCACCUUAUGUUAGAUUUGCUUGUUUGUAUAGAAUUUUGAGUUUUUGCAUUAUACAAACACAAUGCACCCGACAUACACUGCAACAAAUCAAUACAUGCAUGAAUGCGCGCGCCCUCGUGGAGGGAGAGAGAGAGGGAGACAGAGAGAGACCUCAACUGAGAAGUCAGCCAUAAAAUCCCCGCUGUCAAACUUCAUAUCGUGGUAUGUUUCCCAUUUCCUUCUACGGCCUUUAUUAUCUUCAUGUUGUCUCCACCGCUAUUGCAUAUAGGUGCAAAAUCACAAUACAUUAGCUUGUUUUGUUUACUAGCAUUUGCAGCUUUUGCAUUAUAAAAACACAAAGCACCCAUAUCAAUCAAGCACACGCACAUCACAAUGGCGGGGAGGGAGGGAGGGAGGGAGGGAGGGAGACCUUAAAUGAGAGAGAGGCCGAACUUUUUUCCCCUGUGGUUGUUUGUUUAUCAUCAUGCCAAAUCUCAUAGAGCAAACCCAGAUCCAGUGACUGGUCAUCUUGAUACAAAGCCUCCAAAUCGUCCUCUAAUGGCUUGCAUAUUAAUCGAAAUCCACACUUGCUUACAAUUGCAUUAUCGGAUGCUAUAAUGCCAAACUGGAAAGAACAAGAGUCAUCUGGACCAAAAGCGUCUCCUUGCCAUAGCCGCUCCAUUUUAAGAUACAAAAGCCACACAUGAUCCGAACGCCAUGAAAAACGUUGAACGCGGACUUCCGGGUUGGAUAUGCCAUUCAUGCAUGUACGGAGCACCAAUUGGGCAUUUCGUUUACCUUCCUUUGUUCGACAUACAAUGCAGAAAGCUACUGCUAGGAACUUCUUACGCAAGUCCUUUGAAGCUUUGAAAGACAUAAAACCCUCUUUAUUCGGGAGCAACCAUUGCGGCAUCUCUCUUCCAGGCAUUAAAAUAUGGGAAAACGAGGAGGAUAAAAAUCCCUGUCACAGAUGUAAAUUGUCAAGACAGUAUUUCAAAUUUGGCACUUGAAAAGAGGAGUUUAAAGGAAUUAAGUGGGUCGACAAGUUUAGCUAUAGUUAGCAACACAUGUACACUUCGUAUUAAUCGGAAGGGGGGGAGGGGGGUGUGAAGGAAGGAGGGGGAGGGUGUCUAACCUCAUCACGGACCGGUUUGCCCCAGAAUGGUUCAAUAUGGUUAACGGCCCAUAUGUUAGAGGGGAUUUUACUUAGAGAUUCACAAUUCACUGCAGCCAAGUUGUGCAAUUGCCCUGGAAUCUUGCCAAUCUCUUGCAGCUGUCGGCAGUCCGUAACAUCCAAAAAGCGUAAAUUAUGUAGCUGGCCGCACAUUGGAAGCUUAGCAAAAUUGUUUUCGGACAAACACAAUUGUCUUAAGUACGGAAAACAUGAAUGAUUCUCUAGGAACUCUACUUCUAAUAGAUUGCAUCCACUAAGCCCUAAGAUCACUAACUUAUGAAAUCCCGUCUCGCUAUGCAGAUCACUCAAAUUCUCCUCCUUUUUUGGAAACUUGAUUAGUUUUGAACAACCAUCAAGUAUCAAGCUCUCAAGAUCUGGCAACUUGUAAAUGCUAGAUGGGAGGUUUGUCAAUUUCUUGCAAUUAAGUAAACUCAAAUUCUUCAAAGAGACAAGAUUUUCUAUGGACGUAGGAAGUUCCUCAAUUGAAGUCCCUUUUAAAUAAAGUUCUUGCAAGCCUUUGAUUUUAUCAGGAAUAUCAGGGAAUCUUUGCAACUUUGAGCAAUCGGUAAGAUUGAGAAGUUGAAGAUUCUUAGAUUGGAAAACAUCAGGGAGAUGAUGAAGGUUAGAGCACCCCUUUAAAUUCAACAACAGUAUCUUGGUGUGAUAUGCAACUGAUUCGUGAACACGCUCCAAAUUUUUGCACCCAUGGAGAUCCAGUUCCUCAAGAUUUGGAGUCAAAUCAAGGUCCGGCAUACAAACCAUCUACGGACAUUCACUAAGCUUAAGGAACUUCAAAUUUUUAAAGUCCUGCAAGAAAUAUCCAGAUGGAAAAAAAAAAUGAAGAUAAAAAUAUUUGAUGAAAAACACUUGAUCAUAAUUCAAGCCCCGUGUGAUCAGAAAUUAGUUGAUCAUAUGGUGUAUAUAGAGCACUCCCUCUCCCUUUUUAAAUAUGAGUUUAUUGAACGAUCCUUGGCCAAAAGAGAAGAUAAAAAAAGAAUAACACUUUAAUUCCACCACACACUACAGCUCUAUCAAGCGACAUACAAGAGAAAUUAGUCCAACGCUAAGAAGUGUGGCCACUUCUACUAUAUAUAUACGUUCAGAAACAAUACAUGUAAUUCAGAGAGAGAGGGUAACCUCAAGUGGGAGCACAUGGGCCACGGUCAAAUUCUUAGCCAACUAAUUCAUGACAUGAAUUUAAGCUAACAUAGGUAGCACUUGAUGGAUCUAAUUCAUGACACGAAUUUAAGCUAAUAUAGGUGGCACUUGAUGGAUCUAUAACCUUAUGCAGAGAUGCGCAAAACUACCAUAAAGGCAGUGGAAGCUCAGAAAUCUCUCAUGUCAUCACUUAUUAGGUCAUGGAGGUUGGUCGAUCGAUUUUCGAGAAUGGUAUCAUGCAGUAGACCCUUGAUGUGUUACUUGUUGCUGAACUUUAUAUUAAUGAAAUUGUGCCCCUACAUGGCAUUCCAAAGACAACCCCUUCUUAUGUCAAGUUUAUCAGUCACUUUUGGUAUACAUUACGAAAAAUGGGGACUUAGCCUCAGUUUAGUUUUGCUAGCCAUCUUUAUAAGGAGUUCUAGUAGAAAACAUGUAAAACGUUGGGAUAUGUUAUUGGUUCAAGCCGAAUUUGCAUAUAAUAAUUCGAUGAGUCAAACCAUUAGAAAAUGCCAAUUUGAUGUUCUGUAGCGAAAGCAUCUUUUAAGUCCUUUAUAUCUUACAUCAUUUUUUUUUUUUUUGGUAAAGUUUAUAUCUUACACCAUUGUCCAUCACUAAUAUGAAGGAAGAGCUAAGGCAAUCAGUAAGUUACUUGAGGAAGUGAGGAAGAGAAGUUCGAAGCAAACUAUCAGAUAUCCCAGUCAAGUAAACAAACAUAGAAAGCGUGCUGUUCUUAAAGAAGGUGAUCUUGUCUGGAUUCAUUUGAGAAAAGCGCUUUCCACCUAGUCGUCAUACUACGGAUGGUUCUUCUCUAGUUUGGGAACGCAUUGAUAAUAAUGCAUACAAAAGUGAGCUUUGCGGAGAGAAUGGUGUUUCCACUAGUUUCAAUGUUGCUGAUCUAUCACUAUGAAGUUGGCCUCAAGGAGGAGUCUUUUCAAGAUUUCAAGAUUCUCUCUUGUGAAUAGAAUAAUAGGGAUAAAAUAUAUUUUCUUGAUCAGUGAACCUGUUUUAUAUUUUUUAGGAUUGUUUUAGUCUUGAUUACAAUAUGAUAAUAUUGUAGCCUGUUUGAAUUUUGUAGUUUGUGUUCAUUUUUCUUUAUUUGGAGGUUACUCAAAGGUAUCUUAGACUCCUAUUUAUAAGUGCCUUUCGGUCUGUCAUAGUGAACAUGAUGAAUUUAUUAAAUGAAGUUUCAUUCUAUUUUUCUUUCUCUGUGUCCUUUGGGUGGACUAACGAGUGAUCAAGAGAGUGUUGCAUCCUUGGACUGGCCUCCUAAGGUAGUCUCUUCCCAUCCUCCAUUGUGGGGUUUUUCCACUUCAUUAAGAUUGAAAAACCCCUUUUUUAUUUAUUUGUUCGUUCAACACAUUCCGACGUCAGUCUGGCCGACAAGUAUGACAGCAAAAUUGAAAGCCCACGAAGUUUGUCUCAUGUGAGGCAUAGAAGUGAAAACUAUAAGAGUACGCACAAGAUUUGAAAAAAAAUUGAUAUUUGAAAGCAAAACCACCAAAUUAGAAAUAUUCAAAUGGAAAGAAAUUGUUGGUCAAUAAACAACACGCAAACAUAGAAUAUAUGUAGGAUAUUUCAAAAUUGAAAUUUGCAAUAAGAAACUUGUAGGAUUAGAAAAGAUCAAAAUUUAGAUUGUGAAACAUGAGAGAUCAAAUAAUUAAUAGUUUAAGCACCUCUCUAUGAAUAUUAUAUUUGUAAAAUAAGUAAUCGAGAUAUUUUGGGGAAGAAUUUAAAUUGAAAUCCUGUGGAAGGUCACCUUUACCUUGUACAUACAUGACUUUAGAUUAGAUUUAGGUUUAAAUAUACUUAAAUUAGCAAAGCAAGCCCCUUACUUCUCUUUAGAAAGCUUUAUUAGUUAUGCGUGAAAGGCCGGGUUGCACUACUAGCGUCCUCGAUGUGGUGCGCUAGCGCGUCUAUAAAGUAAGACUCUUCCAUGGAAUUGUACUGCACAAGCCUUUAUUUAAAAAAUUGGGAGAAAGAAUGGCUGGUCAAUCUAUCUCCCCUGAGAGUUGCUUUUCGUCCGAUGAUUUCUCACUUAGGAAUAAAUGGAGUAAGGGCGCAAUCGAAUGGCCUGAUUGAAAGGAAAGGAGGGGAACGUGUUACAUACUUGGAAGGAGAAGGAGAAACUCCCGGUUAGAUUUGAAAAUGAAUAUUUUAUCCAUAAAGAUGAAGAUAACUUUCUUGGAGCUCCGCUUAUUCCUCCUCCUAAAAAUAAGGUACUUGCCAGAAAUCUCUGGUUAGGUCGGUACAAUAAAAAGAGACGGCACUUUUGGGGCUAACUUACAGUUAGAGCUGGAAAAAUGAGUCAUAAACCCAUAUUAUAACCAGUUUUUAGUUAAAUGGGUCAUAUAUAGGUCAAGUGAAAGUUAAAUAUGGGUCAAAAAUGGGUUUGAGAAAGUAAAGCACAAAAAAAAAAAGGGGUCUAAAUGGGUUAUAAGUAAUAACCCACUUUGAACCCAUGGGCCAUGGCCUUCUUUAAUUUUAUAAAAUGUUUUUUUUAAUAAAAAAUCGAAAUUAUAAUUAUUUUUUAUAUUUCAAUAUUAUUUUUUUAUUUUUAUUUUUUCUUUCUUUUUCUUCAUUCCUUAGCCGAUGGUCAGCAAGGCGAUGGCCGGCCGCCAACCGGCGACAGGCCAGGCGAGGCUCGAGCUCGCUCGGCGAGCUGAGCCUCCCCCGACGCUGGUGAGCUCGAGACUCGCUGGAUCUGGCGAGAUCGAGCUCGCCAAUGUCAAGCAAGGCCAAGCCUUGCCGAAUAUGGCAAGAUCGAGCUCGCCAGCGUCGAGCAAGGCUCGACCUCUCCAAUCUACAGGGCCAAGGCCCCGCCCGACGCCGAUGAGCUCGAGUCUCGCCACAUAGGACGAGGCUCAGCCUCGCUAGCAUCGGGCGAGGCUCGAGCCUUGCCAGAUAUGGAGAGACUCGAGCUCGCUGGCGUUAGGCAGGGCCUCGACCUCGCCAGAUCGGCGAGGUCGAGCCUCGCCCGACGACUAGCGAGACUCGAGCCCUACCCGACGCCGGCGAGCUCAAUCUUGCCUACGACGGCCGGCGGCCUGCCGAAGAAAAAGAAAAUAGAAAAGAAAAAAUAAUUAUUAAAAAAUAAAAAUUAUAUUUUAAAAAAUAAAAAUUCGAUUUUUUUAAAAAUAUUUUAUAAAGAAUUAUAAAAAAUUUCCAUUAAAUUUGCAUUGCAUAAGUAUUGUUAAAACAUUUUUAUGUAUUAUAAAAAUUUUCCAUUAAAUUUGUAUUGCAUAAAAAUUGUUAAAAAAAUUUGUAUUCAUAAAAAUGUUUUAACAAUACUUUUUUUUUUAUAAAAAAAUCAUAAAAAUGAGCUUUUUUAGAUUUAGUUAAAAAAAACUUUAAUGUUAUAGUUUUUAGUUAUUCAAUGGUAUGUUCACAAUUUUUGGUUAUUCAAUGGUAUGUUCACUUCAAAUAAGAGAAGCAUGUGCAUAGUCUAAUUUUUUUAUAAAUAUUUCAAUUUAUAGGUUUUUUUUAACUUUUUUUGUUUUAUUUACUAUUUUUAAUUUAAUUUAAAGUUUCAAUCCAAUUAGCAUAUAGUAGAAAUGGGUUUUUCUAAAAUAUUAAUAGGUUUUAGCAAUACGGAUCGGGUCGAAUAUAGGUCGGGUAUGGGUCGGGUACGAGUCACUAGAUUUACACUGCAAGAAUAUGGAUCAAAACGGAUUAAAUGGGUCAAAUAUGGAUCGACCCAUUUCGACCCAACCCACCCAUUUGCCACUCUUACUAGUAUAGACUUAACUCCCUUAAAGAUCCUUUAUUGCAUGAUUUCUAUAUAUCUCUUUUCAUUAUCGGCUGCAUUCUAUCAUAGAAACAACAACGUGAGAUUCAAUCAAAAGUACUUAGCAUGCAUUCGCUUCAAUGAUAAAGCAAAUAAGCAAGAAAAAUCUUAUUCUAUUUUCAUAUGCAAUUUAGAAAAGAAUCUAGUAAGCUCGUCUCUUAUAUAAAAUAUAGAAUCUUUGAUGAUAUUUUCAAUAUCUAUCAUUUCAAAGGCAUACAAAUUGAAUCCUCAAUUCAUGUUUAUUAAAGUACGAAGCACAUUUAUCAUUCAAUUGUUAACUUAUGUCAUCAAUAAGUUCUUGUUCCAAUUUUCGGUAUUAAAGUUACUGAUCACAUAUGUUGCAUUCAGAGUUUUCAAUAAUUCAUACACAUAUCCAUAAUCGUAUGCAUACAAAUAUAGAUAUAUAAGAGAUAAGUAAAGAAAGACAAUUAAUUUUAAAUGCGCACCUUGAAUUGCUCCCUCACGACUUGGAUGUUGGUUUUGUGCAGAUCAAGCCCAACCAACUUCUUUGGACAAGAGGAAAAUUCGGGAAACCAAGGACAUUCAGGCCAUUCAAACCAUCUCCGUUCAUUAGGAAGACAGAUAGGACCUUGGAAAGAGUUAUGCACAUUAAUCAUGAUGAGCAACCUCAAUCUUCUCAUGUUUUUGAAAGCAUUGGGACCUAUGUCUAUUGCUUCCGUCUUGGGUAAACCCAAAACUAUGGCUUUUACUGCAUUUGUUCCCUGCAUUUAUAGAACUUGCAUUGCAAUUAGUAUACAAAGUCAGAGAAGAAGAGAGUAAAAUCAGUGUUUAAACCACCAAAACUUACCAUAUCCCCCGAUAGAACAUCAUGAACAUCUUCACAAAGCCAUAACCUGCUGCGUCUUCCAGGAUCAUCGCGACAUUCUUGUUUAACAAUAUCCAUGCCCAUCAACUGAAUCAAGUCAUGCAUUUGUAUUGUCUCCCUCUCUUUCGUUAUUAAGGACUUCUCAACAAGAACUUGUACUCCAAUAGUUGUGUCAAAGUCGCAACUGUUAAGGACUUUCAUGAUGUACUCUAUAGAUCGCCCCUUGAAGAAACAUGCAAUAUCAAGGAAUAUCUCCUUUGCAUAGUCCUCUAGUCCAUCAUAACUUAACUUGAGAACAUCAUUGAUGGUUUUGUCAAGACUUUUAACAAGUUUAUUCAAUGCGCUUUCCCACUCUUGCUCUCUUCUACCGCGUAGGAAAGAGCCCAAUACCUCAAGUGCUAAAGGAAGUCCAUUAGCAUAAUGCAAAGCACUAUCCACAAGAUCCCUCCUUAUUAGUAUUUCCUUACUUCUAAGAAAAGCAUGUUUGUUGAAAAGUUCAAGAGCUUCCCAAUCCACUAGAGUUUUUACUUCAUAGAUAUGAUCUUCACCCAUCUCAUGAAGAGUUAAUAGAUGAUUAUCUCUUGUUGUGAUGAUCAUUCUGCUUCCUUUACCAAACCAUUCACGCUCUCCAGCUAAAGCAUUUAAUCGUUUUACGUCAUUCACAUCGUCAAGAACAAUGAGGAUUCUUUUUCGGCAAAGUCUAUGUUGCAUCAAAUUAAUACCUCCAUCAACACUAGACACUGUUAAUUCUUUUCCCACUAAUAUCUCAGACAACAAUUUUUCUUGCAAAUGAACUAAAUCCUUGGAAUCUUUUGAAGUUUCACGAACGUUUGCCAAAAAACAUGAAGCCUCAAAUCCUCUGAAUAUAUCAUUGUAAAGGGCUUUGGCUAAUGUUGUUUUUCCUAUGCCUCCUUGUCCCCAUAAUCCUAUCAUGAGAACAUCAUCACGAGACUCAAGAUUUAACAUUGAUUUUAGCUUUACCACUUGUCGAGGUAUUCCAACCGGAUGCUUGGCAACGUGUAACGGUGUUCGGUCUAGCUGCAUAGAGAUCUCCUGCACAAUUCUCUUGAUAAGAUCCGCUUCCGCUUCAUCUCUGACAAAAUACGGAAAGGUACUAGAUACAUCAAUUUCCAAAGAUAAUUAACUUUCGUGGAAAAAGAAGAAGAGAUUCAGCAUAUAAAAAAGAAAAAACAAAGCAGUGUCACAUCAAUCACUACUUAGUACUUACUUAUCCUUGAAUUCCCACCCAGACAAGCUACCCGCAUCAAGGAGAGCCUUCUCCCAUCUCUUCACUUUCUCUGAAUCUCUCCCAAACUUGUUCUCAUGCUUAACCAUAGCUUCUCGGUAGUUCCCUCUUGGCGUUCUCACUUCUCUAGGAUCCACUUUGUAAAACACCGGAAAUACCGUGAGUCCUCUUUUCUCCUUGCACUCCAUGAUUUUCUCCACCUCUUCCAAACACCACGGUGAGGAAGCAUAGUCCUUGGAGAAAAUGAUGAUCGCGAUACAUGACUCCUCAAUUGCCUUCAUAAGCGCCGGCUUUAUACAGUCGCCUUUCCGAAGCUCCUCACUAUCAACAUAACUGUAAAUUCCUUUUUGGGCAAGCACUGUGUAGAAAUGACUGAGGAAGCUUUUUCGAACGUCCGUACCUCUGAAACUCAGGAAGAUGUCAUAAUUCCCUUUCAGAUCUGAAGAAGCAGCCAUUAGAGGAGAUGAAGUUUGAUGUGCUUCCUCAGAAUGCUUAGUGUCUGGUCGGGUUGCAGCUCUAUCUCUCAUAUGGAUAUCACCUUGUACUAAUAAAGAAACAGAAACAAAAACCAGAUCAUUUCUGAUGCUCUGAGUCGAUAAGCAUAUACUCCACCAACUAAUUUAACAGAAAGCAGCAUUUUGCAUAAGGUGCACGGAACCAUCCUAUAUAGGUGCUUCUUGACUUGACUUGCCUUUUCCAUUAAUAAAGAAAUAGAAAAGAAAACUAGCAACACUCCCAUGUUCCUGGUGCUAAUAUACAUGAGUCAAUCGCAAAACACCGCCUGUUGGAAUAUUAUUUAUAAUGAACAAUUUGACUUUUUUCUUUCAAAAGGGAUUCUACAAAAGCAAAUCCCAAAAUAAAUUUUUUUUCCAUACCAUGUCCUGCAUUGAACGGAACAAAUUCGAAUAUGUUCAGGCAUUUCUUCAAACACGUAGUGGGCAGCGAGUUGGACAGAGAAUAUGGACCUAUUCGGAGCUUGAGCUCACACUUAAACUCAAGAGAAAUCAGCGAGCAACGUUCAAACUUAGGAAAAACCGACUCAUUCAGAUCCGACGCGAGUGAGGACUAAAGAAAUCGAGCUUGCUUUGCUCUUUUAAAAUCAAGCAGGACGAGGCAAAAAAAUAAAAAAUAAAAAGAAGGAACGAGCAAUACACAGUGCCNNNNNNNNNNNNNNNNNNNNNNNNNNNNNNNNNNNNNNNNNNNNNNNNNNNNNNNNNNNNNNNNNNNNNNNNNNNNNNNNNNNNNNNNNNNNNNNNNNNNUCGCGAAGCCCUGCUUUUUUUUUUUUUUUUUUCCUUUUAAUGGGAAAUUGUCUCUUUUGAGAGAGAGCGUGAGGGAUCCCCAGAAAGUCGAAGAAGUGGCUACUAGAGGAGAUGAAGGUCGAUGUGCUUCCGCAGAAUGCUUACUGUCUGGUUGGGUUGCAGCUUUAUCUCUCUUGUGUAUGGGCUCGUUUAGUUCGGUUUUUGGAAAUGCCCCCCCCCCCCCCUCAAUACCUUUGAAGUUAAAAGGUUUUUCAAAAUGCUAAACUGUUUAGUAAACUAUAACAGAAAAACGCUUUAGGGAAAUGCAAUACUGUUUGGUAAAUAUAUAUUUAAAAAACCUUUUAGUGUGACCAAAUUAUAUUUUUAGUUUUAGUAUUUUUAAAAUUACAAAAAAAUAAUAAUUAUAUAAUAUUUUAUAUUUUUAUAUUGAGAAUAAUGUAAAAGAUAUAUAUUAGUAAAUUUAAUUAAAAAUUAUAUUAAAAGAAAUUAAUUAUAGAUUAAAUGCAAAGCUCAACUUUUGGCUUAGGAUUCUUUUAGGUUUGUUUUCAACUUUGAAUAAUUUUUUGUAAUUAUUGUAGUAUUAAUCAUCUUCGUUAAUUAAUGAUAAUUCUAGUGUAUUGAUAAAAAGUUGGGCUAUUAAUUGUCAAAAAAUAAAAAUGACAAAAAAAAGGUGAACCUAACAUUUGCAAAGGGUUUUUAUUAUUUUUAAAAAAAUAAAAAUAAAAUCCUAUAAAACUUCGUCACUGAUCAAUAGCGAUUGGGGUGUGAAGAAGAUGAUUGGUUUAAAAAACAAAGAAGAAGAAGUCAAUGGAUAAAUAGUAGAUGUGGACUUGCAUUUCCGAAAUGCUGAAAGCCCAAAGCAGGUCUCCACUUACUUUGAGCUUUCAGCAUUUUAAAGGCCAGCAUUUAGUUAAGGACACCUCAAAAUACUGAACCAAACACCUAAAUUUUUUCUUAAUGGGCUUUCGAGGCUAAAUGUCUCUUGGGAAUGCUAAACUAAACGAGGCCUAUAUCACUUUGCUCUUUUUGACCCAGACUUUCUCGAAUCACGCAGCAGUGCUAAUGAAAGAAAGCUAUAGAAAAGAAAGUAAAGGUGCAUUAUUGCAUGCGUAAUUUCCUCUGAAGGUGCAUAAAAUUUACGCGUGUCCUUUCUUUCUUUUCCUUUGUUGACUUGACUUGUUUUUUCUACUAGUAAAUAAAUAGAAACGAAAACCAACGAACAAUUCUAAUGCUCCGAGUCAGUAAAGCAUACUCUCAAUCGAUUAAUUUAAUAAAAAUCAGAUAGUAAUAGAAAAUAAAAUAAAAGGACAAUCAAGGCACACGUAACAUCCGUGGGAGGUGCAUAAAAUUUAUGUCGUAUCCUUAUUUUUUUUUUCUUUUUGUUUUCCUUUCUUGUCUUGACUUUCUUUCUCUACUAAUAAAAAAUUAGAAACGAAAAUCAAUCGAUAAUUCUAAUGGUUGCAUAUUCUCGACCGAACUAAUUUAAUAAAAAGCAUAUAGCGAUAGAAAAGAAAAUGAAAGGACAAUCAAUGCAUGUGUAAUUUCCAUAGCAUUUUGUAGAAGGAGCAUGUAACCCGGUUCUUGACUUGACUUGCAUUUUUCAUUAAUAAAAGAAAUAGAAAAGAAAACUAACAAUACUCCCCUGCCCUUAGGUCCUCGGCAUGACCUUAAACUGCAGCGCUCCGGGGGGGACAACCCCGAUAGCAAGGCCCCUAAGCACGGGUCGGUGCCUCACCCCCGCGCUUCCGUGGGAACCUCGGCGCACAAGGGGGUACUAGCAGCUCCCACGCUAGGAAAAAUAUAGUGGCUGGGAUGAAUAUCCCGUAAGACCCCGAGGGAGACAACCCCAAUAACAAGGCCCCUGGGCAUGGGUCGGUGCCUCCCCCCCGCGCUUCCGCGGGAACCCUGGCGCACAAGGGGGUACAAGCAGCUCCCACGCCUGGAAAAAUAUUGUGGCUGGGCUAACCGUUCGUAAGAUUCAGGACCUGAGCAGGUCCUUAAACUGCUCACGGAGGAAACAGGUGGGAGAACCACCUAGGGAUGGGAGACCCCAUGCUGUCCUCCUAUUUCCUCCCCUUAAGGAAGAAAAGAAUCCAAGGGGAAUUAGGGGGGUCGUAGGUGGUGAGUGUAAACACCACGUCUGGGAAACCAGCCUACGACUGGACUGGCUUGGGGUAACCAACCCCCGACCCUCGCCCGACGUGAUACGGCGUAGGUGCAAUGCCUACAGGACUCUGGACGCCCCUUCGGGGACGGUUCCUCAACCAACCGUUCCAGGGUCUUCCCCCGGUUGAGGAACCGUCCCCUGCCCUUGGCGUGCACACAUAAUUUCCAUUUCCACAGCAUUUUGUAUAGGUUGCAGAGAACUUGCUCCUUGACCUGACUUGCAUUUUCCAUUAAUAAAAGAAAUAGAAAAGAAAACUAGCAAUACUCCCAUGCCCUUAGCGUCAAUAUACAAGGGUCAAUCGCAAAAACAUAGCCCAUUGGAUUAUUAUUUAUAAUGAACGAUUUGACCUAAUUUUUCUCUCGGAAGGGAUUCUAGACAUGCAAACCCUAAAAUAAGUUUCCCCAACUUUUCCCCCACUUUUCAAACUAAAUUUCUCCCUAUCAUAUCUUGCCUAAAGAUUAUCAAGUCAUCACCCCCUUAGCCAAGUCACUUUGAUCUCACUCCUUAAUUAAUUUUGUUUUCUACAUAUUAUAUUUAUUUUAUAUUUUUAAUGUCAUAUUUAGAAUUUCUCAGCUAAUGGAUUAUCCACGAUUGAAUAACUAUUUAGGGAAUACUUUUUUCCAUUUUUAUUUCAUUUUUGUUGAACCUUUUAUUCUAUGUUAACACUCUUUUUUCCUAACUUCUUAGUAAAGAUAAUCACUUAUUCAUUUGAAGGUGCUUGUCAUUAGUGAUAAGAUGUUGUGAACCAACUAUAUUACGAUAUCGGCUUUAUCUUUCGGUAAAAGCUGGAGCCUUAAGAUUUUGAACAGCAAUGACGUAUAGAGGAUUCGUGGAAUGGGAGCUUUUGCUUUGAUGUCUCAAUUAUAUUAUUUAGUGCAUGUACAACUGCCUUUCGGCGACGUUCUCAUGCAAGAGCUUUUGGACACUUCUUGCCGAUAAAAGGAUUGCGAAAGGUUGAGAUUUGUAUUUUGCAUGGGUUAUAGUAUGACUGAUGGAUGAUUUUGAGAGAACUUGUAAUCUAGGAGUGAUUUUGAGUGUUUUUUUCCUCCUUUCAUAUCAAAUGAGAAAUACUCAAUCCUUUUAUAUAUAGUUUGUGCACUCUCUCUUGGCUUGAAUUACUAAAUUCAUCUAGAACUAUCACGGUAUUUUGGUACUCUGUGGAGGGCUUUAUGCAGAGUUGACAUGUGGCUCAUUUGAUGGUUUCCACCUCCCUUUCGUUUGCUUUAAUCUAUUCAUCCUUCUUUUUCUCUUCAUUUCCAAGAAGAACUUAUUAACAAUAAAGAGUACUUUGUCCAAACGUGGAUGAUGUGUACCAAGGCACCGUGGCACGGGGAACAACAGGCAAAUGUCGCGAGCGUGAUUUUGGUGGCUAAAAUUCGCAUGAUUAUUUGGUAUGCUUUUCAUGAUUUGCUUACUAGAGAUAUAUUAGUAUACAAUGGGAAUGAAGAUAUCCAAAUUCAGAGUGCAGGCCUAUUAGUUAACUUGAGAGAAUAGCUUUGACAUGCAAAUUAUUUUAAAUAUUUUUCACAAGAUGUAUUGUUUAUGCAAGUAUGAAGAUAAUAGUGCUGAUUUGAGAAAUGUGUUUUGAUUUGAGUAGGUCUUCACCAAUAAUUGGUACGUUGUAUUUUUCUUUAUGCACUAGACAUUCUAGUUACAAAUUGGAUAAGUAUUACCUUUUCCUUUCAUUGCUGGGGCAUGAAAAUAGACCAAGCCUUUUAUUUAGUUGAAAGUGACGCGAUUGGUUCAAUGUAUAAAUUCAAAGAAAGUAGAAAAUUUCUACAAGAACACCUGUAAAUGAUUUCUUGGUACACCAAUAGCUUAGUUUUUGAUAUUUUGGAGAAGGAUCUUCCACUCGAGUAGGGCCCAUUUCAUUGGACACUUAGCGAUGAUAAUCCCAGACAAAUCAAAGUGCAAGUCCUUUUCAAAAACAUUAGAUAAUUUGGAUGAGAGAUCCUAAGAAAGAUUUUGUCUAAGUGUUCCAUACAAAUUAUUUAGUCCAAAAGAGGAUUUCCGUGUUAAUCAAGCGCACUAAUUACGCCAAUCAUUAUGAAUUUAAUGUGAUUUGACAUAUCUCUUAUUGUCUUUUUUGCUUAGUCAAAAGCGCAGGGGAACAUUUGCUCAUCACUUUCAUGGUAGCUUCACUUCUUGCGACUUUACUCUGGAAAGAAAAAUGAUCAAAGUUGAUUUUGAUGCUUAUAUCCGGAGUAAAUCCAAGGACAGAGUAAGUCCAGUGACAGAUUUCCAUUGCAUUUCUAUUACAAAAAUGUUCAUAUUCCAACCCUUGAAAAUAUCACAUGCUCAUGAGCCAAUGAACAUUCGAACAACUGACGAGCUCAAAGAUUUAUUUCAUAUUAAUGUAGUUACUUCAAGCUAUUAUUAAAGUAAUACCUACUCUAGGCUCUCUUUAAAAAAAACAACCUCAUUCAAGCUGUUAUUUGGAAUUUUCAUUAGUUUUGAAAGAUGCCUUGUGUUUCGAACUAAGAUGAAUUAUAAAGCUGCAAGCCUACAAUAAGCCAUGAUUUUAUUGAAUUUUUUUAUCCAAAUUCUUUGGCUAACUUUCUGAAAAUAAGCCCCAAUGCCAGUGUCACUUCUUCGGCCCCAAUAUAAUCAACUCGGCCUAUUUCAUUUUCAGGACUUCAUCUACUUCGCCAGUUCACCAGUUCGAACUGCAUGACCACAAUUUGUUCGCUCGCAUGUGCUUAAAAGUCAUUAGUCGCUAGAACUAACUUCACAAGCCACACUAGCAAUCACCUGUCAGCCCAAUUUCCUUCAAUUUGGUAUUGACAUUUCCAAAUUGCGAAAUUGCUUUUUUCAAAUCAUUAAAUUAUUUUCUUUAGUGGAAAAUCCUGAGCAUAAGUGAUAAACAAGUUAAAUAUUAUUCGUGUUGACAUUAAGUGCCAUUUAAAAUGAGAUGUCGCAAAAAUGGGAACCAAAUGAGUCCCCAAACAUUACUUUGAAUGAUUUUACUUUAGAGUAACGUUUACUUAUUAACCUAUUUUUACUUGUAUAGGCACAUACCUGGACCUCGAUUUGAUAUGAAAUCGAACUAUGUAAUACGUGCAUGGACUUUCUGACAUCAUACUUCGACCGCGAUUCAUAUUUGAUGAAAUCGAGUUGUGUAAUACGUGCAUUGACUUUCUGACAUCAUAGGACCUUGAUCCAUAUUUGCAUUAACUCGGUCCUCAUGACAUCUUUUUUGCUCCUUUUCUUUGUUUCUUUGUUUUUUUUGGGCUUAGACACGGGCUGAACACCAGUCUCACAUAUAAGAUCUAUGGGCACAGGUGAUCAGGUUUAUUGCCUUAAGAGGCUUCGAUCAAAAAUUCAAACUUGUCUCAAUUCCUCUCAUGCUAAAUCCACAAUUAUUUCUCUUGUUUUUAAUUCUUCUUCUUCUUCUUUUUUAUCAUCUUCUUCCCUAUCAUCUUCCUUAUGCAUAUCUCGAAAAGCUCUGCUCUACUAAAUAAACAAACUCAACCUCAUCAGCGAUCGACGUAUUUGAGCAUUGAAUGGAACGUCACCGUUGUCUGGCUUCGGUAUCCUGGAGCACCACCAUCCUCUCUCUCUCUCCAUGUUGCCUACUCCUCCUAUUCCCACGGUAAUCGCAGCUCUACUCCUCCUCAUCGUUCUUCGCACAAGCAAUGUCUCCUUCCACAUUGACCGCAGCUUCACCACCAAGUCCACCGAUGCCUUCAACACCACCUGGUUGUUCGAACGCACACUGCCAUGGAGGACAAAAUGCACUGAAUAGGCAACUUUGGAAAUCUGGAUAAUGCAUUGCAACCAUUUGCUUCAAAGGUACAAAUGUUUGGUGGAAGCUCUAGGAUCUCCAAUAGUUGUUUACAAUCAUCUAAUUUGAGGACCAUCAACUCAAACUUGCUAAUGCAUGUAGGAAGACUAACAAAAUUAUUUUUUGAGAGAUGCAAAAAAAGUAAAGGACAACACAUGUCAACUGUUCACUUUCCUCUCCAUUUGGGCGAUUCUGGCACUAUUCACUCCAGCUGGUUUUUUGUGGAUUCUGGUUGAUUCCGCUGGUAUCUGGAGCUGAUUUUUCGUGGGCUAGGUCAUCUGGGGACCGCCUACAAACCCCAGGUAAGCUUGGCUUGGUUGGUUUUCGUUUAUCAAGAUGGGAGCUCUCGAUCAGAAUUUCUGGUGCGCCUAGCUUUUCCCGAUUCUGGUCUCUGUCUUCGUGGGUGGCUUUGACUGAUUGGUGUGCUAAUUGCUGGUGGAUCUCCUUGUCCUUGAAGGCCCUUCAGCCCCUACAAACACCUGGUAUGGCCUGAUUGCUCUCCUUGAUUUAUUCUGGGGUUUGGGCCGGUGCUGUGUUGGGGUACUGUGCUGUUUCGUAAUGGCAUCCUCUUCGAAUCUCCUAAGUCAGUUGGGCCGUCCAAAUGAGGAGUCCCAAGCGGGCUCUAGGCGUGGUAGGAGCCGCCUUAGAUCUACUUCUCGUGGCCCUAGAGUGGCUCGUCCUGCUGGACAAAAAUGGAGUGAGCAGAAAGCCCCUCCAACCCGUUCAUGGGUUAAUGUUGCUAGGCUCUCGGCAAAGGGAUAUGAACUUAGCUUCGUGCCUCCAACUUCUGUUGGAAAAAGAGGAGUGGUGCAUGCGGCAGAUCCAAAAUAGAAUCAUUGUUUGAUGGGGUAUUUCAUUGGCAAGAAUGUGCCGUUCAAAAUGACUGAGUCAGUCCUUAAGGAGACGUGGGGCUCCCAUUUAACUGAAAUGCUUGCUGAUGAUGAAGGAUUUUAUUUCUUCUUUAUUCCUGACCCUGAUUACCACAGGAAGAUUCUUGAGGAAGGUCCAUUGACGGUGAAUAGAGUGCCACUUAUUCUGAAACAAUGGGAUCCCACUCUUGAGCUGAGGAAGGACUUGCAAUCCUCUGUGCCCGUUUGGAUCCGUAUGAAAAACAUACAUUUUGCUUAUUGGUCUGCUCUUGGGAUAAGCCAGAUAGCGAGUGCAGUCGGUAGACCCUUAUAUGUGGACCCAUUGACUGAAAAAAUGAAACGUUUGUCUUUUGCAAGAGUAUGUGUCGAAGUGUCGGCUAAGUUAGAGAAAUUUGAAUCUGUGGAGGUAUUUCUGAAUGGGGAGUCCUUCAUUGUUCCUAUCUUGUACGAAUGGAUACCCAUUGCGUGUCCGAAAUGCCAGGUCUUUGGCCAUAACUGUGAGGAGAAAGAAGUUCCAGCACCCGUAGCAGAUAAGUCCCAUGAUGAUGUUGCUGAGGAAGCUCGAGAUGCUGUUGUGCCUACGGUGCCCCCCUCGAUUCCUCCCGCCCAGCCUCGUAAGGUGUCUUAUGCUGACCAGCAGGAUGGCUGGAAGCAGGUAACUCGGAAGAAGAGGCAACCGUCAGGGUCUAAUGGGAAGGACUCUUCGACUCCUAUCUCUUCUUUGAAGUUUAUGGAUAAAUCAGAUUCUUCUCAAGCUUUAAGCAAGUCUGCCUAGAAAAAUAAAGGUGCUUUGAUUCCCAGCCCUACCGGACCUCCUUCCACGAUGAUUCCUGUUGAGCCGAUCCCAGAAUCUGCUUAUAUUGGGUCUGGCUCUACUGUUGAAGAAUCUGAGAAUGCGGCUAGUGCAGUAAGUAGCAGCUCAGAUGAGGAACCUGAUGGUCCUAGUGAAUUGGUUACAAAUGUUAAGCAUUCUGUUGUUUCUGAGGAAGCCCCUGCUAAAAGGAACUCGCCCAAGACUCCGUCUGUCCUAAAGUUGGCCGCCCCUCCUACCCCAGCGUUGGCUGCUCCUCCUGACCCUCCUCAAGGCACUAGCCGAAGGAGAUCACGUCGGUAACUUCUAUUCUCAUCGUAAUACAUUAUAUAGUUAUAUAUAGCUAUGUAUAUUGGAGUUUGGAAUAUUAGAGGACUUGGUAGCCAUCUCAAACAAGCUGAAAUCAGAAACUUUGUUAGAUCUCAUAAUCUAUGUUGUGUUGGUAUUGUGGAAACAAAGAUUUCCUAGGGUGCCUUUAGUGCGAUCUCUGCUGUUUUGUUGCCAGGCUGGAAGUGGGAAAACAACUAUAAUCAUUCCUCGAAAGGAAGAAUUUGGGUGGGGUGGAAUCCCCGUGAAGUCUUGUUUGUUACGAACUCUUCUUCGGAUCAAGCUAUUCAUGGAAAGUUAUCUUGCUUAAAUUCUGGUAAGGUUCUCUUCCUUACGGUGGUCUAUGCUGAGCAUAGUUUUGUGGCUAGACGUCCUCUUUGGGCUGACAUUAUUCAGACUAGCUCUCUCCUUUCGGGUUUCCCUUGGAUACUAGCAGGAGACUUUAAUGCAAUUCGUGACCCUUCGGAUAGAUUGGGUGGUUCUAAUGGUUGGAUCCCAGCUUUUGAUGAGCUGCGUGAGUGCCUCAUACAAGCUGGUCUUGACGAUCUCAGGUAUACCGGGAAUAGAUUUACUUGGGCUACUUCCAUGGGUGCCAACUGUAAGCAAAGAAAGAUUGAUCGUGUUCUCGUUAAUUCUUGUUGGACUGCUGAAUUUUCCUUUUCUGAGGCCUCUUUGUUGGCCUCUGGCAUUUCAGAUCAUUCUCCAAUGAUUAUUAAGAUUAUGCUUGCCCCUAAGUCUUGCAAGCCUUUCAAGUUCUUCAAUUUCUGGUUUUCUCAUCCGGAUUUUACUGAUGUGGUUUUGCAAGCUUGGAGUUCUCCCUUUGUGGGUUCUCCAAUGUUUAUUCUUUGCUCCAGGCUUCGGCUUCUCAAAUGUAAGUUGAAACAGAUCAACAAGGAGUCCUUCUCGGACUUGUCCUCUAGAACGGCUGAAGCAAGAUGUGCAUUGCUCCAAACCCAAUAUGCUCUUCAGAAUGACUAUUCGAAUAUUCAACUUGCUGAAUUGGAAAAACAACAGCUCCAAUCCUACUCGAAUUUGCGCCUUCAAGAGGAAUCAUUUUAUAGACAAAAGUCUCGGGUGCGGUGGUUGAAAGAAGGUGAUCUUAAUACUAAAUUUUUCCAUAACUCGGUAAACAAGAGACAACUUCACAAUAGAAUUAUCUCGCUCUCCGAUGGGAUUGUUUCUACCUCAAAUCCCUCUGAAGUUCAAAACCUGUUUGUUGACCACUUCCGGGAGUUAUUGGCCUUCUCUCCCCCUGCUGCGAGGCCUUCGGUGGAGGAAAUGCGUGCGGUGUUGAAGCACACCCUUGAUGCGGAUCAAGUUCGCUUUAUUUCUAGCCCCAUCUCGGAGACUGAAAUUAAAGAUACUCUAUUCUCUCUUGCGGUGGGUAAGGCCCCUGGCCCUGAUGGAUACAAUGUGGAAUUUUUUAAACAUUCUUGGGAGAUUGUUGGACCUUCUGUUAUUCUGGCAGUGAAAGAUUUCUUUGAGACGGGCAUAUUGUUGCGGGAAAUUAACACAACUAUUUUGGCCCUGGUCCCCAAAGUCCCGAAUGCUUCCAAUGUGAAUGAUUUUCGGCAAAUUGCUUGCUGUAACACAUUAUACAAGUGUAUUACCAAGCUUAUUGCUAAUCGGCUCUCUCAGGUGCUACCUUCUAUCAUUAGUCUACCUCAAAAUGCCUUUGUAAAAGGUAGACACAUCAGUGACAAUAUUUUACUUGCUCAGGAGCUGUUUUGUGGUUUUCACAAUGAUCCUUACCGGCCUAAAUGUAUUAUUAAAGUUGAUUUUAGGAAGGCCUACGAUACGGUGGAUUGGAGGUUUAUUGAAUUGUGUCUGCAGGCUUUCGGUUUCCCCCAGGAGUUCAUUGCCCGGGUUAUGAUUUGCAUUCGUACCCCCAAGUUCUCGGUUGCAAUUAAUGGGGAACUCCAUGGGUUCUUUUCAAGUGGGAGGGGUAUUCGUCAGGGUGAUCCCAUGUCGCCGUAUAUUUUUACUCUUGUGAUGGAAGUCUUUACAGGUAUUCUGGACAUUCAAACUUCACAUUCGGACUUUGGUUUUUUCUGGCGUUGCAAGCCCACCCGACUUUCUCAUCUUUUCUUUGCUGAUGAUGUACUACUCUUCGCUGAAGCUAACUUAUCGUCUAUUGAUCUUCUCAAGAAUGGUAUCGAGAAAUUUUCUAGCUAGAGUGGGCUGAUUCCGAAUCUUCGGAAGAGUGAAGUUUUCCUUUCUGGAGGCUCCUCUAACCUUCAUGAGGAUAUCCUCAAUAAGUUGGGCUAUCAGUUGGGCACCUUUCCUUUCCGCUAUCUAGGAGUACCGGUUAUUUCAGCUAGAUUAAGGAAAGCUGGCUGUGUCUCCUUGGUUAAUUCAAUCACGGCUCGUGUUCAAUCUUGGACCAAUAGAUUCCUCUCUUUUGCGGGGCGUCUUCAACUUAUAAGGUCGGUGCUUCAUUCUAUACAAGUCUUUUGGGCUAAUGUGUUCUUUCUGUCAUGUUCAGUUCUAAAUCGAAUUGAGCAAUUUUUCCGCCAAUUCUUGUGGAGAGGCCCCUGAGAUGGGUGCAAGUGGUGCUAAAGUCUCGUGGUGUAAUGUUUGCCUUCCCAAAAAUGAAGGGGGCUUAGGUAUUCGUACUCUAAGGGAGAACAACAUUGCGUCCAUGCUCAAACAUAUUGGAUUCUUUUCUCGGAUAAAGAAUCCCUGUGGUGUAAGUGGAUUCAUUCCAAUUUCUUGAAGCGGAAAAUUUUUUGGGUGGUUCCUUGCCCUACUCAUUGCUCUUGGGCUUGGAGGAAGUUAUUAGAUCUUCGUGAUCAAUUUCAGCAAUAUUUCAGAUGGAACAUUGGAAAUGGGAGGUCGGUCUCCUUUUUGGUUCGACCCUUGGCACCCAAAUGGUCCUUUAUACAAGAUCUUUUCUAAUCAGGAUAUUUAUCGCUCGGGUAUAUCCCGCUCUGCUUCAGUUGCUGAUGGUUUUGCUACUCCUAUGGGCUGGUAUAUCAUUAACAUCAUGGCUAAUUGGUGGAAUCCCCUUCCGGUAUUCAACCAAGAGGAGGAUCGGUUUCAAUGGCUUCCGCACCCAUCCGGUCGCUUCUCCAUUGCUUCUGCCUGGGAUUUGAUCCGUCCGAAGCAUAAUGUCAUCUCGUGGGCUUCUUUUGUUUGGAAUACUGCCUUGCCUCCAAGAUAUCAAACGCAUCUUUGGCUUAUUUCGCGCAAUCGGCUGCCGACUCAGGUUUUGCUCAUCUCUUAUGGUAGGAUCCCCCCUACAAAUUGCCCCCUUUGUUCAUGCAGACCUGAUUCUAUAGAUCAUUUGUUCUUUGCGUGCCGUGCUUCGGAUAGUCUUAUUUCAUUUUGGGUGGCAAGAUUCAACCUAGUGUGGCGAAACAAGCGUUGGGUGGAUAAUUUGGCCUGGGCUUCCAAGCGGUUUAUGGGGAAGAGUUUUUAUCAGAUCCUGGCUCGGUUUAGUUUUGGUGCAAUGUGUUAUAUCAUUUGGAAAGAGCGGAACAAUGUGCUUUUUCGGAAUCAGACUCUCUUUCUUCCAGCGAUGAAAAUGCAUCUUCAGAAGGCUAUCAAAGAUAAGGCUAUGACCUUUAAGCAUGUUCCCGAUGUGCCCAUGAAUAGAAGACUUCAACGAAGCUGGAACAUCCAUCCUUCUAUUUUUGAUUGAUGGAGGUUUUCUAGUUUUUGUUGUCUUUUGUUUCCUUUUGUUGUUGUUGCUCCUUUUUUCUGGGAACCAUGGCACCCCUACACUCGCUCUAGACUUUUGUCUUCUUGAGUGUCUGUUUUUGUUGGUGCCAGGCCUCCCUCUUGUCUUUUCUUGCAAAAUCUAUUUAUUACUUACCUUUACCAAAAAAAAAAAUAUUUAAAAAAGAGAAGCAAGCAAGACUCUGAAGGAAUCAGCCUGAGACAGAUUGCAGCCACUAAGCUUCAAGGAGACUAGAUUCGGAAAUCCACGUCUACCAUUAGGUAGAUUGGAGCUCUCACUGUUCUCUAUAAACAAGCCAAACUUUGAAGAAUUUUUUAGAGAAAGGUGCUCUAGACUUUGCAUCUCGCAAAUGCUACUAGGAAGACUGAUAAGACAAUUGCAUGAAUUCAGAAGAAAACCUUAACAUAGACUAGUUUUUCAGAUGACAUAGGAAGUUCUUUUAUAGAAGUCUGAGAUAAAUUAAGUUUUUUCAAGCUCUCCAUCUCAUCAAUAUCAGGACACUUAUCGGGUUUAGAGCAGCUAAUUACGUCAAGUGUUUGAAGGUAUUUUAGCUUCAGUUUUCUUGGAAGCUCCUUGAGAUUCGAGCACCAACUUAAGUUCAUUGUCUCCAAAUUUGGGACCUCUGAGAAGUCCGGAACACUAAUCAAUGACUUACAGCGGCUGAAAUUCAGGAACUUCAGAUUUCUGAAAUGCUACAAAUUGAAAAGAGCAGCUGAAUGAGAUUCUGAUCAAUUUCACUUUGUUAAAGGCACUUAAAAUGAAAACCAUCAAGGAAAGCUUGUAUCAGGUACGUUUAAGUUCCCGCCCAAUUCUUUAAUCUAGCUGUUAUGCACAUCACAAUAAACAAGUUUCUAUACCCCAGCACUAAACUUGAGAGUUCCAAAAGGAUAUUCAGUCCAUUCAAGCCACCGUAAAUCGUCAGGAAAACAUAUGGGACCUCUGCUGCUUUGUGCAUCCAGAACUAUGAGCAAUCUCGGUCUCCUCAUAUGGGUGAAAGCACUGGGACUGAUAUCUAGCUCUUCUUGUGUUGGCUAGUCCAGCACUAUGCCUUUAACAGCAUUGGUUCCCUAUUGAGGUAAAAAUAAUGAUCAUUAUUACCCAACCCAAUUAGGUUAUAGCAUGUAAAUUAAGGCAGAUAAGAUUAUCAAUGGUUUCAUACGAAGUUCUCACAGUAUUGUCCAACAAUACUUCAAAAACAUCAUCGUAGCACCAUAAUCUAGUCCGUUUCCCAGGAUCGUCUGGACACUCUUGUUUAAUGAUAUCCCUCCCAACCCAUCAGCUGAAUCAAGUCAUGUGUUUGUACUGUUCUCUGAUUCUCAAUGGUCAUUAAGGAUCUCUCUAUUAGCAUCUAAAUCUCAACUAAUGUCUUUAAACCACAACUAUCAAGAACUCUAGUUAUUUAAUCACUAUCCCUCCCCUUAAAGAAACAAGCAAUGUCAAGGAAAAUGUCCUCCUCAUCAUCCUCCGACGAAUCAAAACUUAUCUUCAUAACACUGUUUAUAUCUUUAUUAGGACUUUUAGCAAGUUUACCCAAUGUACUUUCCCAUUCCCCUCUGCUUCUGCCAAAUAAAAAAGGACCAAAGACCACAAUCGUUAAGGGAAGGCCAUUAGCAUAGCCCAAAAUACAUCUAUGAGAUCCCUGCUUAUGUCUUGUAUUUGGUUUUUUGGAAAAGCAUAUGAACUUAGAAGUUCAAAAGCUUCACCUUGAUCUAAUGCUUUAACUUCAUAUACCUGAUCUAUCUGGUGAGAAGUUAGUACAUGUUUAUCUCUAAUCGUAAUAAUGAUCCCACUACCUUUUCCAAACCAUUUACAUUCUCUAGCUAAUGCAUUUAACUGGUCCCCAUGAUCCACAUCAUCAAGCACAAGCAGAAUCUUCCUAUAGCAAAGUCUAUCUCAUAUCAGGUUAACGCCUCCAUCCACACUUAAGACCACUAAAUUUUCUUUCAACAAUAUCUCAGAUAAGAGUGUUUUUUGCAAAUGAACCAGGCCGUCAGGUCUACUGGAAGUUUCUCUAACAUUUGCAAGAAAGCUGCACUCAUCAAACUGACUAGUGAUACUGUCAUGGACAGCUUUAGCGAUGGAGGUCUUCCAUAUACCUCCUGCUUCCCUUAUUCCUAUCAUCCGAACCUCAUCCAGGCACGUACUUAGCAAUGAUAUAACUAUCUCUACCCGGCAGCCUACACCGAGCGGGAUGCUUGGCAACACUCAAGGGUACUUGUCCUACUAUAAUGGAGAUCUUUGUGAUGAUGCUCAAAACCUUGCUGUUGAUGUAGGCGUUGAUGCCGCUGUGAAGCAGAGUCCAGUGGAGGUCAGCGAGGAAGCCGUGGCAGACGUCCCCGCCUCUGAAGCUGAGGAAGAUGUCCAACGGCCAUUUUGCUUCGGAAGAAGAAGGAGAAGGAGAAGGAGAAGGAGAAGAAGACAUGGGAAGACAUAAUCGAAUGGUCCGUUUCUUUUAACUAUAUUCAGCUUUUAAUUUUGGAUAAUAACCACCCAAAAAAAAAAACCGACACGUUAAUUCCAAAUUUUUUUAUGAUAUCAAAAAUCUCCUCAAAACAAAGUACAUUUAUCAUCCUUUAAAAUGAUUUUUCCUUAUAUCCUCCUCUUUGAUCUUUACCGCUGCCAUUUCCGUCAUCAUUGCCACUAUCAUCAUCUUGCCAAACCCAAGAAGAAAACGAAGGAGGAAAUUUAAGAAAAGAAAAAAAGAAAACGAAAAAAAAUACAUACAGAGGAGAUUUCACAUGAUUUUGACUAGCGGUGGUUUAAUUUAUAAAUUUCCUCCCUAAGUAUUGGUUUUGUUGUAACUGUAGUUUGGGGCUCCUGUGAAGAGGUUAUUCUUUUUCCUUUUAUCUUUUUGAAAAGAAAUGCACUAAGCAUUUGCGCACACAACUUCUUGCAAUUGAUGAUAGACGUGUAAGGUCCAAAAUGCAAGGAUCAGAAUGCAAUCUAUUUGCUGUUGGAGAUGACCCAGAAAUUACUUAUGCUAGCUCUUCCAUUCCAAUUGAUGCAGAUUCUAGAUAAACAACUUUGACUAACAUUAUCUUGGUUAUUUUGGCAAAAAAACAUGUCAUAGNNNNNNNNNNNNNNNNNNNNNNNNNNNNNNNNNNNNNNNNNNNNNNNNNNNNNNNNNNNNNNNNNNNNNNNNNNNNNNNNNNNNNNNNNNNNNNNNNNNNNNNNNNNNNNNNNNNNNNNNNNNNNNNNNNNNNNNNNNNNNNNNNNNNNNNNNNNNNNNNNNNNNNNNNNNNNNNNNNNNNNNNNNNNNNNNUUUAAAUAAUGUUUUAAUAAAAUAAUUUUUGGAAAAUUUUUGUAAUUUUCUUUUUUUUUUCUUUUAUUUAUUGUUGUCCUCUUCUCCUUUACUUAGGGCCUUGCUGCCUUGCUUGCCCAAAUCAAGCGAGGUUGUUGCAACCCUCGCCUUGUUUGGGCGAGGGCCGCAGUGUCCUCGCUAGGCCAAAUCUGGUGAGGGUGUCAUGGCCCUUGCUAGAUCUAAGCGAGGGGCAGCGCACUUGCGCCCUAGCCAGCGUGGGUUGGCUGGUGACCCUCACCGAUCCUAAGGGAAGGAGAAGGGGAAGGGGAAUUUUUUUUUAAAAUAACAGAUAAAAGAGAAAAAAAAAUAAAAAGAUAAAAAUAAAAAGAAUUCAAAAAUUAUCUAAAAAGUGUCAUGUUAGUGUUGACCAGCUAAAAUUGGUAGGAUUGACUGAACCGACACAAAUGAAAAGGAUCUAGGACUGAAUUAAUAAAAAAAAGUUUAGGACUAAACUUGCAUAAUUAUAAUAAAUUUAUGACUUUUUUAAUAAUUUUCCCUCAUAACAUCAUUUAGACGAAUUAUAGUCUCCAAAGCUCUUAAGGGAUGGAUAAUUUGUAGACACGAUGAGCAUCUGUGAAGUUUUAGCAGUAGAUUUUCCAGUUCUCCCACAAUUUAAAUCCCGAAUUUUUCCUCAUUGUUUUUGGGGAAUUGCAUCGUGAGAUGCAGCUUGUCUAGUCCUCAAGAGUCACAACAAUCUUAUGGCUUCAUCAUUGCAUCCAUGAGGGAGAGGGGAGGAGGUCUAUAACUCGGGCUUCGCUCUAGAGCAAUUUAUGAGGUUACUCAUCAUUAUUUUUUUUGGCUUGCCUCAAACAUAAAUCCUUUUAUUCUCUAUUAGCAAAAACACAGUGCGGAUGUUAGUAUAAGGCUAUCCUUUGUCUUCAAAGACUGGUACCUUAUUAAGUGCCAAAUUGGGCUCCUAACGGGAAAGUCCAUGGGCCAUUCGGCAUUCGUCUCCAUCUUCUUCGCUGGCCAAUCCUCGCUCCGGUUCGAAUCGCCGCGACUCUCUGGCAUUCGAGCGCCGUCUCGCAGCGGCAAAUCUCUACCUCGCUCGAUCAUCUCCGGCGGCAUUGAUUGUCUUUUGGCUAAAUUCUUGGUCGGAGUGUUCGUCAGUGGUUGUUUGCAGAAUCAGAGUAGACGUGAAUGUGGGAUGCGUUGAUGAACAGGUCAAAAAGCAGGGGAAGCAAGCGGAUGACACGCAGUUCCGAGCUCAGCGUGAUGCUCUGAGCCUGAAAAUUGUCCAGAUGACUGCAGAAGGUAAUUGCUUUUUCGGGUCUGUGUUCCUUGUUAGAAAAAAAUCGCCGACUUGUUUUCAUGAUUUUUUUUUUUUUUUUGGAAUGUUGCCGGGAAUAGGUUUGUCUUGUAAAAUGACAGUAAUCCCCUCUGUUUUAGAAGGUGAAUGGUUUGCUCAUCGCAUUACCACUCUGUCGUCAGAACACAACACGCAUUGCAUUUUAUGGUACACCGGUUCUGGAAUACCAUCAUCGAUGUACUAGAAAUUCCUCUGCUGGGAAAACUAUUGCGUUUUCGUAUGAUUUAUCAUUCUGCCUGAGACACUGCAUCUGGAAACAUAUCUUGAAGAAGAGCUCUCUUUGUCGGGGCUUAGUCUCGAGGAUAUUAGAUUGACCCUUCUGAGAUCCAACUAAGUUACUUUGUAAAAUUUCAUGACUAUUGUACAACGUCCUAGCAAAAAAACCAUCUUCCUCAUUCCCGUUUUCAUUCCACGUAUUUGAAUUAUCCAUCCUCCAGGUAAUUUGCUGCCUUGUAUGGAGCUUUUGGUUAUAGAAAUGCCUUUGCUAUAGUUUAAUCAGGGCCCUUGCAGAUCAGUUGGAAGGCAAUGAAGAUGAACAUGGAAAGUACCGGAGUAUGGUUGUUCAGUACAUAUCAGUAUGUGGAGUGCUGAUUUCUCUUUUUCAAGUUGUAGAAAUUAUGUUUGUAAGAGUUUUUUUUUUUUUUUUUUACAUGGUGAUGUUGUCCUCAUUUGUAUUAGUGCUCAGCGACCCGAAUCAGAACUUUUAUUCAGUGCAUUUCGUUCUUGAACUUUUUUGUAAGUAUUGAUGGAUUUCUCACAUAUAUAGACACCAAAAUAGCAUGCCUUCGGAAGAAAAAAACAAGUUAAAGAGGGUAUUUUAUAUUGAAGCUUACAUUUCUGCUGCCAAUGGUUAUUUCUGAUGAUUUUCAGUUCACAGUCACAGUUGCAUAGAGCUAUACCAACACAAGGAUCACCUGAGCUAUUUGACAUUCUUAUUUUACUAGGGAGGAAAACCUGUUGAGUGUUAACUGUGAUUUGGAUGGUCUAUCUUGGCCUAAACUAACAGGUGUAGGAGGAAGCUGGACUCUGUAGUUAUCCACAUUGUUGUAGCCUACAGGAAUGUGUGAUUGCUACUUUAGGGUGGCAAUAUUAUGUAAAUCGACAUAUUCUUUGAAGGAGAUUAGACAAAAUUAAAAAUGAGAGAAUUGAUACUAACGUAAUCAACUUUUUAGCAUGCGUGGUAAAACUUUAAUGUUUGCAAUGGCACAAAUUGAUAGUUUUGUUUGUUUCAAGUUUCAACAGAAUCCUUUAUUUUCAUUGGUUUUUUCUCAAAGUGAUGUGUUAAGGAAAUAAAAUCCUUGUUUGAAGAAUGGACCUGAUAUGUGCAUCUAAGAUGGGAAUUGUUAAUGACAGAAAAAUCGUGAAAUGUUUGAACCAUUUAUUGAGGAUGAUGUGCCAUUCGAGGAGUAUUGCAAAACCAUGGACAAUGAUGGCACGUGGGCUGGUCAUAUGGAAUUGCAAGCAGCUUCUCUUGUUACACGGAGUAACAUUUGCAUUCAUCAAGUAAGACUGACAGUGAAGUUAUCAACCAUCACCUACAUGAAGUUUUGUUGGUUACGGUCUUUUCAGUCCUUCAGGGGGAACAGCCAGAAUAAAUAAGGAUGUAAUUAGACUCGUCAAUUGUUAGCCUUGCUACUGGGUUUGAAGUUUAGCUGUUUAAGCACGCAUCCUAGAAUUCGUGACCAUUGAAGAUCCCAUGAUUGUUGGUUUCCUGACUCAUUCUUCACUUAUUGAUAUAAUGGCUUUCUCCCCCAAUAUGGUCCUCCUUUAUCUGAGAAGUUAUUCCCCAUCAUUGUUUAGAUCAAAAGACCACUUAGGAGGUUGUUCUCAUAAUGGUUAUAGCUUGUUCUUUUCUGUCUGGUUAUAAUUUGUUACUCUUUAGACUGAAAAAUUGACUCAUCUGAAGCGCAAUGAUAUCUGGCAUGUCUAGCGAUGUCUAUUGUCGCAACAGCAUGUGGAAGGACCAUUGAUGGUGAUGUGCAAAAGAUUUUUUCAGAGAUAUAUUGCACCUUUUAGCACAAGGAGUUCUGACGGUUGCAUAUAAUCCUAAUUCAAAGAAGACUUAAUAUAUCGAACUUGUUACAACAAUGCUGGCUCAUUGAGUGUUCUAUAUGUCCUUGAUGAAUCUACACAGCACUAAUUAGUUUUGAUACAUGCCGUGCAUGCAAAUAUCUGUUCGUUGACACCAAAUUGAACAAUUUAUCUCACUCCUUACUGGAUGCAGAACAUGUCACCUCGGUGGUACAUAAGCAAUUUUGAUCAGCCUGGUGCUUGUAUGAUCCAUUUGUGAGUUUUCUGAAUCUAGAGACUGAUGUUCUUUGCUAAGGCAGUGCUCAAAUACUGGGAUGAGAUCUGUUUGUAUACACUUAAAUAAAUGACCUUUUCUUACAUUGUAUUUUCCCUCAGAAGAUUUGAACAUAAAACAAUGUUUUUAUUUUUUAAGGGAUUAUGAAAAGAUUAUAUAUUUCUCCUGGUCAAGCUUGUUUAUUUUUAAAAGGUUUUAAGUGUUUCGAGUUUCAUAAAUGUCAAAUUGCAAGAGUUGCAAGAUUUUUUUUUUUUUUAAACACGAAAAGCUAUAAGUACAAGUCGUCCAAAUAAACUGGCUCAUUACACGAAAGAAGGUACUGCAGCUUGUUCAGGGAGACUGCUGAUUUGUGAAACAAUUUUGGCAUGCAAGGACAACAUCUCAUAAGUUGCAGAUACGAGCGUAGUUGUGGUGUAGUUAGAUUUAACCAUGGAAGUUCUUUUGCUAGUUUGAGAGAUGUUAGUUGUGGUGUAGUUAGAUUUAACCAUGGAAGUUCUUCUGCUAGUUUGAGAGAUGUUUCGGUGUGGUCACAGGGGGAUAAAUUACUGGCUAAGCAUAUGUGGUAGGAGACCGAAAUGUCACUUUAGCUUUUGUUUCUUCAAUAAAUUAUUUUAUUGAAAUUCCCAUUUGUAAUCCUUCAAUGAAUGGCAUCCCUGGAUAUUCUAAGUUAAGAUGGAUUGGAUCUGUCUAGGUAGCCAUCUUGACUUUGGAUUGUCACGAGGAUCAUGAAAUUUAGUGGAUAUAGGAUAUUCCACACUUUACCAUCUUAGAUAAGUGUCAUCAUGCGAAACCAGUAAGCAUAAAAAAUGUGCGUUGUGCCAUUAUUGUUUUGUGGAUAGGGAAAGUCUUAUAUUCUUUUUGUACUGAUGGUGUUUCAUUAUUUGAACUUAUAUAUUUUGCUUUGCUUUAUUAGAUCUUAUCAUGAUGAGGAACAUUACAACCGUGUGAGGUUGAAAGAAGACACCAGAGAUGGGCCAGCUAGGCCAAUUACAAUCAAGGUUGCUACUGGAAUUUAAUUUUAGUUUACUAAGUUAGUAGGGAAGUUGGACAAAUUGUGAAUUUAAGUAUGUGAUUUGAUAAUUUCUUUUGCUGAAAGGCUGAUUCUAAUCUCUCAUCGUCCUCUUGCCAAGCAAUAGCUGGGUCAAACAAAUCUAAAUCAGGAGCUGGUAAGGAUAUUACUGAUGCAGGAUUCAUCAAGCUAGUCACGGCUGGAAGUGGUUGUGAGAAUAUUGAGAAAGUUGAGCAGGUUAUGUCCUCUCUUCUUCUGCUUGCUUGUUUGCAUUAAAUGUUUACCUCUCAUUUUCUUGGUGAAUCUAGAAUUAGAAUGCAGUGUUUUGAACCUUUUUCUGAUUUCUGUAUAACAUGUGAUACAUUUACAGACAUUGCUGCAAAUGGAUGGGGAUGUUGAUUCCGCCAUAGAGUAUCUGAUAGCAGAACAAGGCAUUGAAGAUUUUGCAGAGGAAACUGUCCGGUCUCCCUGCAACACAGAUGCUUCUCAUGGUAAUGGCUGGUCGGUAUUUAUCUCUCUAGGUUUUCUUUAAUAAUUUAAUUUUGCAGUUUCAGAGAUACUGUGUUAAGCUUCAUAAGAAGCUUUGUUGCAGUCAUUUUGAUGUAACUGGUAGGAUUAGCAUACUUUAUCUUGUCAUCCAUGGAUUUUUGGGGUAGUCAAACAUGCUAUAACCAAAACUAUUUCAUAAUUCUGUUGUAUUUAGGUGAUGAUGCCUAUGGAAAUUCUGAGGAACAGAGAAAGGAACCUGUGGAAGAGACCUAUAAAGAGAAUCCCCCUGGCAGUAGUGCUAAACGGACUCAUGAUGGUGGCAGUGCCCAGCGAGAAGACAAGGUUUCCACAAACGAUGAUUAUUUUAUGUCUUUUACCAUAUUGGUUUAAGCUCAAACAUGAGAACUAUCAGCGAUGCGCCUCUUCAUUUAUAUUUGCUUUUUUUUUUUUGGAAAUGCAGAAUAUCCCAAGAAAUGAGGCUUGUCCAUGUGGUUCAAAAAAGAAAUACAGGUCCUGUUGCGGGUCGGGGACAGGGAAAAUCUCUGCAAUUUCCAAGUAUUUCUCAUUCUUUCUGUGCUUUAUAUGUCAAGUGAUAGUUUAAGCUUGUCUUUUGUUGGAAGUAUUUUUUCUGUUUCCCAGUGAUUGGAGUAGAUACUUAUCUUGAAAGUUUAUGGCUUAUGUAUCCAACAUGGUAUCAAUUACCUUCCUUAAAUUCAAGUCUGGAACAUUUUGUCACCCCUGUGCUUUGUUGAAUAAUGUGUACACUUUGGAAAAAAGUUCAGACAUGAGUAAUUUGAAUUUAUACUUGCAAAAACAAAGACAGCAGUGAAGAUUUCUCCUUUUUUAUGUCUAAAUGUUGUUUUGCAGUGAUCAAGCUCUUGAAUCCAGAAAAAGUAGAAAGGAAAAGAAGCGAGGCAAGAGAGGGUCUGACACAUCCGCACUUUCUAUUGGAUCUGAUGGAGGGCCACCUGAUGUUGGGGCUCUUUGUAUCCGAUCUUUUGCCAGUUUGUGUGCACAAUCAUCUAUUGAAUUCAGAUAUGAGUAUGUGUGCAGUCUUUCAAAUAUUAGGUUAGAUUAGAUACAAUUUUUUUCUAUCUAUAUUUGCAUGUAUUUGAUGCAUGCAUCUCUUCUUCGAUCUUUGGGAUAAGUGCACUUUCUAGUUAUCCACCUGUUACCAAAUUUAGAAAGAUCUACAGUUACAAAGAUUUUUCAAUGGUGUCACUUUUAUUGGAUAGUUUGCCCGUCUGGUGCACAUAAUUCAUGCGCAUGCACGUAACACCUACCCCAGUAGAUUUGUUGGCACAGGUGUAGGUCAGUUUCGUCAGCAACCAAAGGGGAAAGAAGAUAAGGAAAUUCAGUUAUUGGAUUGCUGUCCCGGGGCUAAACCUUUUCAUGAAUAUAAAAGAGACGUUCACAUGAAUUUGACAAGUGAUGGUUUCCAAAGUAUUGGUUUUGCUGUAUUGGUAGUUUGGGGUUCCUGUGAAGAUGUUUUUCUUUUUCUUUAUAUUUCUUUGAUAAGAAAUACACUAAGCAUUUGCGCACACAACUUCUUGUAAUUGAUGAAAGAUUUGUAGAUCCAAAAUACACUUCAAGCUCCAUCUACAAGGAUCCGAAUGCAAUCCUUUCGCAGUUGGAGAUGACACAGAUAUUACAUAUGCUACCUCCUCCAUUCAAAUUGGUGCAGAUUUCUAAGAUUAAAUAACUUUGUUAUUUUGGCAAAUAAAUGUGUCUUAGAGAUCUUUUGUUGGUUGUCAUUAGUUAUUAUAUCAUCAUAACAUCAUUUAGACCAAUUAUUGUCUCCAAAGCCCAUAAGUGAUGGAUAAUGUGUAGAUAUCAUGAGCAUCGGCAAAGUUUUAGCAGUAGAUUUUCCAGUUAUCCCACAAUUUAAAUUCUGAAUUUUUUCUCAUUGUUUUUGUGGAAUUGCAUUGUGUCAGAUGUGGCUUGUCCAAUCCUCAAGAAUCAAAACAAUCUUGCGGCUUCAUCAUCGCAUCCACGAUGGAGUUGGGAGAGAGUUGAAUCGUGAGCAGAAAACUGAUGCUGAAUGAAGAAUAACUUGAGCUUCUCCCUAGAGCGACUUAUUAGGUUACUUUGUUUUGUUGGCUUGCCUAAAAAAUAAAUCAUUUCAUUCUCUAUUAGCUGCAACGUAGAGCACACGUUAGUCUGAGGUUAUCCUGUCUUCAAAGACGGUCACCUUAUUAUUCUUGUAGACUACUUUCUCCUAAAAUGGGGAUAUAAAAAAUCCGUACAUUUUCAUCUAAAAGCUUAAUAAGCUUCAGAUCUUGCAUGGUGAUGCUGCUCUAAUAAUUUAGGGAGUUAAGCGAUCGGUUGAGCUAAUAAAACUCCACGUGUAGAUUAAUUAAUUCCAUGUAACAAGUCAAAUACACUUGAUACUUUUGCAAGAUAGCAAGGUGUGCCUUGUGAGCCCCAUUUUCAUUCAAAUGGGGAUCCAACAUAUGGGAGGGCAUAGUGCUAAAUGAUAUGGGAGAAUGAAGACAUCACGAGAACUUUAAUGCGAUAAAAGCAUCUUCAGCUUGGCCUACACCGUGAUGUUCUGUGGAUGUCUAGGCCGGUAAGUGGACUUUUCCCAUCAUGUGCCGUUGUCGAACAAGUUUGUUCAACCUGCUUCUUCAUCGUCCUUGAGAAGAUGGUCUCUAAACGCCAGUUGACCAAACCUAGGUCCCUUCCAUGAGAUAAGUUUACCUAGCCACUAACUCAGUGUCUAGUAUAACAGACUUUCUUAUUAAAUACUUCGAUAAAGUUCUGAUUUACAAUAAUCCAUAUAGCUGUUAGCCAUGUAUUUAAGGUCUAUCUUGUGGUUAUGUUCAAACUUUUUGUAUUAUGAAUUGAGAACUUGAACAGUAAAUACAUGAUGCGUUGUUUUUAAAUCUUUGGUCCAUUGAUUUUGUAGAUUGGCUCUGCCGGGUUCAUUCCAAUAUGAGUAUCGAAGGGCCGGUAUUAGAUCAACGAUAGUUUAGUUGGAAUAUAGAUAGUGUAAGAGGAUGAUCAGUGAGGAGUGCUAAUCAAGUUUAGAAUCACCCCAAAAAAGAGGUGUGUUAGUACAAGGGACAAGGUCAUGAUGUUAUACGACGCAGUAGGGACGUGUGGUGCAGCAAGCAAAUCAAUUUCAAAAUUUAAGCAUCAAGUAAGACGACCGGCAUUUUAUCAUAUCAAUAUAAUUGGCCGGUCAUAUUAUGUUAGUUGUUAGCGAUGUGACUAUUGAAUAAAAUAUUUUUCUCAAACAAGGGGAUAGUCUCUUGAAAGGUUUUCGAAUGCUAUAACUUGCAAGCUUGUGAGAACUUUGAGGAAACCUACUCCCUUUGAAGAAAUGCUACUCAUCAUCAUCUAAAGUUGCAAGGACUUUCUAGCAAGUACCACUGUUGACAUGCACGUAGUAGUUACUAAAUAUCCAUACCAUCUCUUACAAAGAAGGAAUUUACUAUUCUAUUGGAUAAUUUCUAAGUGGUAGGAUCAUCAAGAUAUAAACUCUACAAUCAAAUUACUAACCUUAAAAAAAGUUACUAACUAUAGGCGUAGCGAUGAUCAUGAGGACCCCAGGGGACUUAUGACCAUCGGAAAAAUAAUUACAAUGUACAAAUACUAUCAGUUACAAAUAAAGAGGGAAACUGCUGUAUCAAUGGAGAAUUGCAAAAUGAUAGCACCCUCAACUUAAGAAUAAUGAAUAGAUGCUCACGAUGGAAAGUUAAUAAUCAUAGGCACAGUAUUACUUUCAAGGAUUUCAGGUGAUUUACAAUUGUUCUAGAAUAUUUACUGAGAAAUGUUGUCAUUUAUUAUGACUAUUUGAUGAAAUUUACUAUAUUAAGUUGGAGUUUACUAACGACAAAGAUUAACGUUUGGGCAUGACAAAGAUUAUUCUUUGGCAAAGGACAAAGAUCAACAUAUGGGUCUAACAGGAAUAUGUAUAAAAACACGUAAGUAGUGCCGCAAGCCUUUUCUGCUUCUCCUACAAACUGCAUGAAAAAACCUUGAAAUUGCCCAAGCAAGGGAAAUGAUCCUGGGAAAUAAAAUAUUAAUACGGUUUCAAAAGGGAUAGAGCACAGUAGAAGUCCUAAAAUUUGCUGUAAAAAUGGAAUCAAGUCUUACAACUUCAAAAAAAAAUUACAAUCAAGUCCAAAAACUUAUCUAAUUAGUACAAUAAAAAACUUCCGUCAACUCUGUCCAAUUUGAGCAUCGGAAAAUACUAGCAUGUCAUCUUUUGAUAUGUUUUGAGUACACAUGCCGGAGACACUCGAGCUAGACGAGGUGCCCCGUUCUAAUGAAUUGAAGUGUCUUGUUUGCCAAUUCACCCUCUAUCCCUUCACAUUAAUUUGAAUAGGGCAUGAGAGAUUGAAUUGAUCGCCAUCCGUUACUCCAUCAACAAGACAGAUGUCCAGCCAAUACUACUUCACUUGCCUCUUCCUGAUAGAAUUGAUCGCCAUCCGUUACUCCAUCAACAAGACAGAUGUCCAGUUCCUAAUUUGUUUCGCUGGUUUCUUAAUGACAGCUUUCCUUAAGAGCUGCGAGCCAAUACUACUUCACUUGCCUCUUCCUGAUAGAUCUUUCAUAUGCCUCCAGUUCCUCCAUUCGACGCGGGAGAAAUUUGCGUAGGAACUCUCUAAACUCUAAUUCCCAAAGUGAAGCUGGAUCUACUAAUUGAUUGUCUUCAAGCACAGCCUUCAAUUCAUUAUCCAGUUGCUUGCAUCUUAGCACAUAUCCCAACUUUUCCAUGGUUCCACCCGACACUAUGAGUGUAAGGCUAAAUCGUAAGUAAUCCUCGUCAAAUUCAAGAAAAUCAACUGCUCCCUCCAACAUUCCCCACAACACAUUUGGUUUGAGAUACUGAAUCCAUAUGUGACCCGAAUCAAAUGAACCAAGAGUUCCUGAUAGCACAUUCCGUCUUUGGCCGUUAAUGUGGGGCACGAUGUUGAAAAAUAUUUCCUUUUCUCCAUUUUCUACAUUGAAAACAACACAGAGAACCAAUCCCAAGAACUUAUCAUAAAAGUCCUCUGAAACCAUGAAAGAUAUGGUACCGCCUUCAACAGAGACGAACUCCUCUGGCAUAUCUCCUCCGGGAAUAAUAUUUUUGUAGGAAGUAUGAAUUCCGGAAUAGCGGUACUUCUGCUAUAACGGUAAAUUGUUAGACGUACUCAAAUUGAUAAUGAGUUCAAAUAGAAGAGUUUGAUUUGAGAGUUUUUCUUGUAAUUUAACUAAAGCUAGAGUUUUAUAAUAAAUAAACAUGUUAGAUCCUUCCUUGCCUUAUAUGUAACACUCAUGAAAUCAUUCACUUGCGAGUUUUGUAGCACCUGUAUUACAUGUAACUGUAGAAUCACUUUAUGUUAGAUUUGCUCGUUUGUACAGAAUUUUCAGUUUUUGCAUUAUACAAACACAGUGCGCCCCCCAUCCGCUCCAACAAAUCAACACAUGCACUUAUGAAUGCGCGCGCAUCUGGACGGAGAGAGAGAGAGAGAGAGAGAGAUACCUCAACUGAAAAGUCAGCCAUGAUAUCGGCGGGAUGGGAUCCACCCCGGGUAGCGUCGUCUUCUUCUAUUUCACUUUCACGGUCUUCCUCUGAACUUGUCAUAUUGUUAUCUUCAUGGGUCCGCCACCGCUAUUACAUAUAGGUGCAAAAUCACAAUAUAUUAGCUUGUUUUGUUUACCAGCAUUUGCAGCUUUUGCAUUAUACAAACUCAAUGCACCCAUAUCAAUCAAACACACACACAUCACAAUCGCGGGGAGGGAGGGAGGGACACCUGAAGUGAGAGAUGGGCCGAACUUUCUUCCUCUGUGGUUGUUUCUUUAUUGUCAUGCCCAAUCUCAUAGAGCAAAGCUGGAUUUAGCAACUGGUUGUCUUGAUACAAAGUCUCCGAAUCGUCCUCUAGCGGCUUGCAUAGUAAUCGAAAUCCGCACUUUUUUACAAUUGCAUCACCUGAUGAUCUAACACCAAACUGGAAAGAACUCGAGUCAUUUGGACCAAAAGGGUCUACUCCCCAUAGAUUCUCCAUUUCAAGAUACGAAAUUUGUACAUGAUCUGAAUGCCAUGGACAAUAUAUGCCUCCACACUUAGGCGUUCUUUUGCCAUUAAUGUAGGGAAAGAAUAACAAAUGGCCCUCUUGUUUGCCUUGCUUUGCUUGAUAUACAGUGCAGAUAGCUAAUACCAAGAACUUCUUAUACAAGUCUUUUGAAAGCCAUGAAAGAUAUAUAACCCUCUUUAUUCGGGAGCAACCAUUGCGGCAUCUCUCCUCCAGUCAGAAAAGUUUGGCAAAACGAAUUGGACAAAAGGGUCUGUCAAAGAUGUAAAUUGUUAAGACAGUAUUUCGAAUUUGGCACUUGAAAAUGAGAAGUUUCAAUGAGUUAAGUGGGUUGACGAGUUUAGAUAUGGUUAACAAUAUAUGUACAUGACUCUGCAUUAAUCCACCGGUUCGGGGGGGGGGGGGAGGGUGUUGAGGAGGGGAGGGGAAAAAAGACAGAGUCUAACCUUAUGAAGGACUGGGUCAUGACAUAAUAAGUCAAUAUGGUUAGCGGCCCAUAUGUCAGAGUGAAUUUUACCUAGAGAUUCACAAUUCCCUGCGACCAAAACCUGCAAUUGCCCUGGCAUCUUACCAAUCUCUUGUAGCUGUCGGCAUUCUGAAACAACCAAUGUGCGUAAAUUAUGUAGCCGCCUGCAUGUUGGAAGCUUAGCAAAAUUGUUUUUGGACAAAUACAAUUCUGUUAAGUACGGAAAACAUGAAUUAUUCUCUAGGAACUCUACUUCUAGUAGAUUGCAUCCUUCAAGCCCUAAGAUCAGUAGCUUAGGAAAUCCCAUCUUGCCAUGCAGAACACUAAAAUCCCCCUCCUUUGGAAAUUUGAUUAGUUUUGAACAACCAUCAAGUAUCAAGCUCUCAAGAUUUGGCAACUUGUAAAUGGUAGAUGGGAGGUUUGCCAGUUUCUUGCAAUUAAUUAAACUCAAGUUCUCCAAAGAGACAAGAUUUUCUAUGGAAGUAGGAAGUUCCUCAAUUGAAGUCCCUUUUAAAUAAAGUUCUUUCAAGCCUUUGCUUUUAUCCGGAAUAUCAGGGAAUCUUUGCAACUUUGAGCAACCAGUAAGAUUGAGAAUUUCAAGAUUCUUGGAUUGGAGCACACUAGGGAGCUGAUGAAGGUUAGAGCACCCUUUUAAAUUCAACAAACGUAACUUGGCGUGAUAUGCAACCGAUUCGUGAGCACGCUCCAAAUUUUUGCAUCCAUGGAGAUCCAGUUCCUUGAGAUUUGGAGUCAAAUUGAGGUCCGGCAUACAAUCCAACGAUGGACACUCACUGAUAUUAAGGUACUUCAAAUUUCCAAAGUCCUACAAGAAACAAAAUGGAAACAAAAAAUGAAGAUAGAAAUAUUUAAUGAAAAACACUUUGGAUCAUCAUUCAAGCCUAGUGUGAUCAGAAAUUAGUUGAUCCUAUGACGUAUAUAGAGCACUCCCUCUCCCUUUUUACAUGAGUUUAUUGAGUGAUCCUUGGCCAAAAGAGAAGAUAAAACAAGAAUAACACUCGUAAUUCCAGUACAUGCUAGAUGAUCUUUAUGAGGAGUUUUAGCAGAAAACAUCUAACACAUUGGGAUAUGUUAUUGGUUCAAGCCGAAUUUGCAUAUAAUAAUUCGAUGAGUCAACCUAUUGGAAAAUGCCAAUUUGAUGUUGUGUAACAAAAGCAUCUUUUAAGUCCUUUGGAUCUUACACCAUUAUCCUCCUAUAAUAUGAAGAAAGAGCUAGGACAAUAAGUUACAUGAGGAAGUAAGGAUCCCGGUCGAGCAAAAAGAAACAUAGAAAAGCCUACUGUUUUUGAAGAAGGUGAUCUUGUCUGGAAUUCAUUUGAGAAGAACACUUUCCACCUAGUUGUCGUGCUACGGAUCGUUCCUUUCUAGUUUUGGAAACAAUAAUGCCCCCAAAAGUGAGCUUUGUGGAGCGAAUGGCAUUUCCACUAGUUUCAAUGUUGUUAAUCUAUCUCUAUGAAGUUGGCCUCGAGGAGAAGUCUUUUCAAGAUUUCAAGAUUCUCUCUUGUGAUUAGAAUAAUAGGGAUAAUAUAUAUUUUCUUGAUCUGUGAGACUGUUUAUACUUUUUAGGAUUGCUUUAGUCUUGAUUACAAUGUGAUAGUUUUGUAACUUGUUUGAAUUUCGUAUUUUAGGUUCAUUUUUCUUUACUUGGAGGUUACUCAAAGGUAUUUUAGGCUCCUACUUAUAAGUGCCCUCUCGGUUUCUCAUAGUAAACACAAUGAAUUUAUUAAAUGAAGUUCCAUUCUAUCUUUUUCUCUGUCUUUCUCUCUGUCCUUUUGGGGGAUUCAUGAGUGAUCAAGAGAGUGCUGCAUCCUACUAAGGUGGUGAUUUGACUGAGGGAGACCUAGAUUAUGUAGUCUCUUCCUGUCCUCCAGAGUGGGGUUUUUCCACUUCAUUAAGAUUGAAAAACCCCUUUUAUUUAAUUGUUCGUUCAACACAUUCCGACGUUAGUCUGGCCGACGAGCAUGACAGCAAAACUGAAAGCCCACGAAGUUUGUCUCAUUCGAGGCAAAUGAAGUAAAAACUAUAAGAGUACGCACAAGAUUUGAAAAAAAAUUGAUAUUUGAAAAAUUGAGCAAAACCACCAAAUUAGAAAUAUUGAAUGGAAAGAGAUUGUUGGUAAAUACACAAUACACAAACAUAGAAUAUACGUAGGAUAUUUCAAAAUUAAAAUUUGCAAUAAGAAACUUGUUGUAGGUUUAGAAAAGAUUAAAAUUUAGAUUAUGAAACAUGCGAGAGAUCAAAUAAAUUAAUAGUUUAAGCACCUCUACGAAUAUUAUAUUUGUAAAAUAAGUAAUCGAGACAUUUUGGGGAAGAGAUUAAAUUAAAAUCCUGUGGAAGGUCACCUUUACCUUGUACAGUAGUAUAAAUAUAAUUAAUACAUACAUAAAUAACUUUAGAUUAGAUUUAGGUUUAAAUAUACUUAAAUUAGCAAAGCAAGCCCCUUACUUCUCUUUAGAAAGCCUUAUUAGUCAUGCGUGCAAGCCAUGUCGCGUUACUAGCGUCCUAGAUGUGGUGCGCUAGCGCCUCUAUAAAGUAAGACUCUUCCAUGGAAUUGUACUCCACAGGCCUUGAUUUAAAAAGCGGGAGAAGGAAUGGCUGGUCAAUCUAUCUCCCCUAAGAGUUGCUUUUCAUCCUGUGAUUCCUUACUUAGGAAUAAGUGGAGUAAGGGCGCAACUGAAUGGCCCGACUGAAAGGAAAGGAGUAAAACGUGUUACGUACUUGGAAGGAGAAGGAGAAGUAUAAACUCUCAGUUAUAUUUGAAAAUGAAUAUUUUAUCCAUAAAGAUGAAGAUAACUUUCUUGGAGUUCCGCUUAUUCCUCCUCCUAAAAAUAAAGAAGUACUUGCCAGAAAUCUCUAGUUAGGUCGGUACAAUAAAAAGAGACGGGACUUUUGGGGCUGACUUACAGUACAGACUUAACUCCUUUAAAGAUCUUUUAUUGCAUUAUUUCUAUAUAUCUCUUUUCAUUAUCGGCUGCAUUCUAUUAUAGAAACAACAACAUGAGGUUCAAUCAAAAGUACUUAGCAUGCAUUCGCUUCAAUGAUAAAGCAAAUAAACAAGAAAAAUCUCAUUCUAUUUUCAUAUGCAAUUUAGAAAAGAAUCUAGUAAGCUCGUCUCUUAUAUAAAAUAUAGAAUCUUUGAUAACAUUUUCAGUAUUGAUCACUUCAAAGGCAUACAAAUUGAAUCCUCAGUUCAUGUUUAUUAAAGUACUAAGCACAUUUAUCAUUCAAUUGUUAAAUUAUGUCAUCAAUAAGUUCUUGUUCCAGUUUUCGGUAUUAAAGUUACUGACCGCAUAUGUUGCAUUCAGAGUUUUCAAUAAUUCAUAUACAUAUCCAUAAUCGUAUGCAUACAAAUAUAGAUAUAUAAGAGAUAAGUAAAGAAAGACAAUUAAUUUUAAAUGCGCACCUUGAAUUGCUCCCUCACGACUUGGAUGUUGGUUUUGUGCAGAUCAAGCCCAACCAACUUAUUUGGACAAGAGGAAAAUUCGGGAAACCAAGGAUAUCCAGGCCAUUCAUACCAUCUCAGUUCAUUAGGAAGACAGAUAGGACCUUGGAAAGAGUUAUGCACAUUAAUCAUGAUGAGCAACCUCAACCUUCUCAUGUUUGUGAAAGCAUUGCGACCUAUGUAUAUUGCUUCUGUCUUGGGUAAAACCAAAACUAUGGCUUCUACUGCAUUUGUUCCCUGCAUUUGUAGAACUUGCAUUGCAAUUAGUACACGAAGUCAGAGAAGAAGAGAGUAAAAUCAGUGUUUAAACCACCAAAACUUACCAUAUCCCUUGAUAGAACAUCACAGACGUCUUCACAAAGCCAUAACCUGCUGCGUCUUCCAGGAUCAUUGCGACAUUCUUGUUUAACAAUAUCCAUGCCCAUCAACUGAAUCAAGUCAUGCAUCUGUACUGUCUCCCUUUCUUUAGUUAUUAAUGACUUCUCAACAAGAACUUGUACUCCAAUCAUUGUGUCAAAGUCACAACUGUCAAGGACUUUUAUAAUAUACUCCAUAGAUCGCCCCUUGAAGAAACAUGCAAUAUCAAGGAAUAUUUCCUUUGCAUAGUCCUCUAGUCCAUCGAAACUUAACUUGAGAACAUCAUUGAUGUUUUUGUCAGGAUUUUUGGCAAGUUUAUUCAAUGCGCUUUCCCACUGCUGUUCUGUUCUACAACAUAGGAAAGUGCCCAACACCACAAGUGCUAAAGGAAGUCCAUUAGCAUAAUGCAAAGCACUAUCCACAAGAUCCCUACUUAUCACUAUUUCCUCACUUCCAAGAAAAGCAUGUUUAUUGAAAAGUUCAAGAGCUUCCAAAUCAUCUAGAUUUUUAACUUCAUAGAUAUGAUCUUUACCCAUCCCAAGGACAGUUAAUAGAUGGCUAUCUCUCGUAGUAAUGAUGAUUCUGCUUCCUUUACCAAACCAUUCACACUCUCCAGCUAAAGCAUUUAAUUGUUUUAUGUCAUUCACAUCAUCAAGAAGGAGGAGGACUCUUUUCCGGCAAAGUCUAUGUUGCAUCAAAUUAAUACCUCCAUCAACACUAAACACUGUUAACUCUUUUCCCACUAACUCGGACAACAAUUUUUCUUGCAAGGGAACUAAAUCCUUGGAAUCUUUUGAAGUUUCACGAAUGUUUGCCAAAAAACAUGAAGCCUCAAAUCCUCUAAAUAUAUCAUUGUAAAGGGCUUUGGCUAAUGUUGUUUUUCCUAUGCCUCCUUGUCCCCAUAAUCCUAUCAUGACAACAUCAUCACGAGACUCGAGAUUUAACAUUGAUUUCAGCUUUACCACUUGUUGAGGUAUUCCAACCGGAUGCUUGGCAACGUGUAACGGUGUUCGGUCUAGCUGCAUAGAGAUCUGCUGCACAAUUCUCUUGAUAAGAUCCGCUUCCGCUUCAUCUCUGAAAAAAUCCAGAAAGGUACUUGAUACAUCAAUUUCCAAAGAUAAUUAACUUUCAUGGAAAAAAAACAGAAGAGAUUCAGCAUAUACAAAAGAAAUAACAAAGCAGUGUCACAUCAAUCACUACUUGGUACUUACUUAUCCUUCAAAUCCCACCCGGACAAGCUACCCGCAUCAAAGAGAGCGUUUUUCCAUCUCUUCACUUCAUCCGAAUCUCUCCCAAACUUUCUCUCAUGCUCAACCAUAGCUUUUUCGUAGCUCUCUCUUGGUGUUCUCACUUCUCCGGGAUCCACUUUGUAAAACACCGGAAAUACUGUGAGGUCUCUUUGCUUCUUGCACUCCAUGAUUUUCGCUACCUCUUCCAAACACCACCGCGAGGAAGCAUAGUUCUCGGAGAAAAUGAUGAUUGCGAUACGCGAGUCCUCAAUUGCCUUCAUAAGCGCCGGCUUUAUACAGUCGCCUUUCUGAAGCUCCUCGCUAUCAAUGUAAGUGUAGAAUCCUUUUUGAUCAAGAGCAGCAUAGAAAUGACUGAGGAAGCUCUUUCGAACGUCCGGACCUCUGAAACUCAGGAAGACGUCAUAAUUCCCUUUCAGAUCUGAAGAAGCAGCCAUUAGAGGAGAUGAAGUUUGAUGUGCUUCCUCAGAAUGCUUAGUGUCUGGUCGGGUUGCAGCUUUCUCUCUCAUGUGGAUAUCACUUUGUACUAACAAAGAAAUAGAAACGAAAACCAAGAUCAUUUCUGAUGCUUCGAGUCGAUAUGCAUAGUCUCCAACAGCUAAUUUAACAAAAAGCAGCAUUUUGCAUAAGGUGCACGGAACCAUCUUAUAUAGGUGCUUCUUGACUUGACUUGCCUUUUCCAUUAAUAAAAGAAAUAGAAAAGAAAACUCGCAACACUCCCAUGCUCCUGGUGCUAAUAUACAUGAGUCAAUCGCAAAACACCGCUGUUGGAAUAUUAUUUAUAAUGAAAAAUCUGCCUUUUUUCUUUCGAAAGGGCUUCUACAAAAGCAAAUCCCAAAAUAAAUUUCCCUCACUUUUCAAACUAAACUUUUCCAUACCAUAUCUUGCAUCAAACGGAAGAAAUUUGAAUCUGUUCAGGCAUUUCUUCAAACACGUAGUGGGCAGCGAGUUGGAGAGAGAAUAUGGACCUAUACGGAGCUCGAGCUCACACUUAAACUCAAGAGAAAUCAGCAAGCAACGUUCAAACUUAAGAAAAACCGAGUCAUUCAGAUCCGACGCGAGUGAGGACUAAAGAAAUCGAGCUUGCUUUGGUCUUUUAAAAUCAAGCAGGACGAGGCAAAAAAAGAAGAAGGAACGAGCAUUCAAUCAUGGGGCCCCUACCUGGCUUGGAUUCCGUGGCCAUCGUCGGCGGCGAAGGUUGAGAAUAGCGACUCCAAACUCGUGUCCGGCUUCAGUCGACUCCACCGAGGUCAGGGACCGCGACGACGAAUGACAGCGGGCGGAGGAUGUUCGGGAGGUGGCGGACGACGUCGAUCGGCGGUGGCUCCGAGGUUUUGUGUGGGGCUUCAAUGGCGACCGUUCCCCGAGUAGAGAAAGACCAAGAUUCUUUUUUUUUUUCGUGAGAGUAAAGAAGUAGAUGAGGGUGAAGGAGUGAGGUAGGGUUCCGGGAAUGGGAUGCGAGAGCAGUGGCCGGCAGGAGGUAGUCGGACGGAGAUGGAGGAGGUGGCUGGUCGGUUGAGUUCAGGAGAAAGGGUGAGGAAUGCCCUUUUUUUCUUUUCCAGAAAAAUGUCCCUGAAGAUGGUGCUCUCCUCUUCCUCCCUUUUCGUGAACACCCUUGCCUUUCUUUUUUUCUUUUUCUUUUUAAUGGGAAAUUGUGUCUUUUUGAGAGAGAGCGUGAGAGAUUCCUAGAAAGAACUUCCCUUUCAGAUUCGAAGAAGCGGCUAUUAUGGAAGAUGAACGUUGAUGUGCUUGCGCAGAAUGCUUACCGUCUGGUUGGGUUGCAGCUUUAUCUCUCCGGUGUAUAUCACUUCGUUCUUUUUUACCAUGACUUUCUCGAAUCACGCGGCAGUGAUAAUCAAAGAAAGCCAUAGAAAAGAAAGUAAAGGUCAAUUAUUGCACGCUUAAUUUCCGGGAAGGUGCAUGAAAUUUGCGCGUCCUUUCUUUCUUUUCCUCUGUCGACUUACUUGACUUGCUUGACUUGCUUUUUCUACUAAUAAAGAAAUAGAAACAAAAACCAACGAAUCAUUUCUGAUGCUCCCUUGUCGGCAAGCAUAUUGUCCGCAAGUAAUUUAAUAAAAAGCAACAUUUUGCAGAAGGGGCGAGGAACCAUCCCAUAUAGUGCUUCUCGACUUGACUUGCAUUUUUCAUAAAUUAAAGAAAUAAAAAAUAGAAUUAGUUAUGCUCCCAUGCCCUUAGUGCUAAUAUACAUGAGUCAAUCGCAGAAACAUCGCCUGUUAGAAUAUUAUUUAUAAUGAACAAUCUGGCUUCUUUCUUUCAUAAUAGAUUCUAGACAAACAAAUCUCAAAAUAAAUUUUCCUCACUUUUCAUACUAAAUUUUUCUAUACCAUAUUUUGCCUAACAGUGCAAAUGAUAAAAUUUCUACUUCUCUAUUUCUCUAUUUCUCUGUUUCCUGGAAUAUGUUUGAAAUCGAAAUCCGUUUAGUAAUGUAAUUUAAUUUUUCUAUUUCUGGAACAGAUUUCUAUUCCAUAAAUAGAUUUGAAAAAGAAAUCAUAAGUUAAAAUUUUUAACUUCUCAAUUUCUGAAAUAGAAAUUGAGAAAUCAAUUUAUGGCCAGAAAUCAAAUUCUGUUCUAGAAAUUUUGUCAUACGCACCAUAAAGAUUAUUGAGUCAUCACCCCCUCAGCCUAGUCACUUUAAUCUUACUCCUUAAUUUUUUUUUUCAGCAUUUUACAUUUAUUUUAUACUUUUAAUGUCACAUUUAAGAUUUCUUAGCUAACAGGUUAGGAAAAUGCUUUCGUGACCAUCGACUACAGAAUGACAGUAGAACUGUCAAAGGCCAGCCACAUAUCCUUUUGGAGGAAACCAGUGGACUUCUUGAACCAAAUUAAUCAUUGACUCCAUGUUUUGUUCUUCAUUUUUUUCUCUUUUUUUUUUUUUUGACUUCUAUGUUCCUUACGGCAACCUCAAAUUUCAGAGACAAAUAUUAUAAGGUCACAUUGAAUCAUUUUUCUUGAAGAUUAUGACUUUCAUUUGUUUCUUUAAAUAAGAUGAAGAAGAAAUAUUCUAAUUGUUAAUGCUGACAAGCUUUAAUGAUAAAGGUAACCUCGACCACGAUGAUAUCGACAACGUUGGCUGCCAGAAGGGGCUGGACUCCUCGCUCAGGCCAACUAAGCUUCUGCUUCCCAGCCUAGUCAUAUUUCUUUUCGUCAUAUCGGCCUAGUUAGGCAAAGGCAUAUUUAUCUUUUAAGAAAAGAGAUCAGUCUAUGUUAGUUUCUAUUCCAAUCCUUCAACGCCAUGCGAAAGGCUUUGAACCUUUGGCGGAGGUGGGCAGCCCGCUCCAUUGGUGGCUGAGAAGAGAUGUGUUGAGAAAAGAAGUAUGCACCAAUGUGUCAAGACCUUGUUUAUCCAGUGAAAAAGCUAUCAAUCUACGCGGUUUGCUAAAUCCGAAUUACCUGAUCAGAUGUUUCUUCACUCACAUUUCAUUUUAAAUUAAAACAUAUUUUUUUCCUAUCUCAAUAUUCGUUACUAGGGCAAUUUUCUUUUUCUUUCGGGAGACAAGAGGGGGGUUGAAGGCGAUUUGGUUUGCUUGCCCUAUGCAAGAGCUCCUUUUCUGCGUGAACAAGUUCUGCACGAACAAGACUCAGUUGUUCAUCAAAUUUACGAAAUUAUCGCACAAGUUAUGCUCUUCAGUUAAGUAUACCGCCAUUAUUCCAUUAUUUCUGUUUACCGGGCCAAGAUCUUUACAAAUCAAAGCGAUUGAACAAAUUGCUCACCCUUCUGGGGAAGGUUUGCUCUCAGUCUCCUAUUUUGGUUUCUCUUGGCCUUCUAUAGCUUCUCCUUUAACUGUCUUCAAUGCCGCAUAUGAAAAUCUCAGCCUCAGCCUCAGCCUCAGUGGCUCUAAGAUUCACUCCUUUAUGUUUGGAUUCUGAUAGAACAUAUUCUGUGAACACCAACAGUUUUCCAUGGCAUGUAAUCUUCCUCAUGCAGAGAAAUUUCCUACACAUGCUGGAUCCAUUGCAAGUGUUUUCCAUGUCUUAUGCUUCUGUCUAAUUAAUGUUUCUUAUCGGAGGUGAAGAUAGAAGAAGGGAAAAUUAUUGAUCGGAGGGACGAAUCCCAACCCUCGGUUGGCGGGGGUGCUAGACGCCCGCUUCAUAUUGCAUGCUUAACAUGAAAUGAAUUGCUCAACCGUGCUGCUAGGCAUCUUGCAUUGAGGAAUUCCACUUUCAAUGCCGUAGGUGACAAGCCCUACAAGCUAAGCGCUGACGCAUUUGCUGACAUAACCAACGACGAGUUUAAGGACCGCUAGGACCGGUAAAAGUGCUUUUUUUUUUUUUUUGGUAAAGGUAAUUAUAUAAAUAGGGAAAGCCAAAAUACACAGAAAUCGACCCCAAGAACUUUCACUCAUAAUGCGAACAUGCAGGAUGAGUGGAAGGGAGCCGAAAUAAAAGAAAGAGAACACAGAAGCAAAAAACACAGCUGAACAAACAGCAAUACAAGCCUAGGCAAAACGCCACAAGGCAGAGAAAUAACAUAGCAAACCACCUAACUAGGUAAGAUGAGUGUUGCUUUCGUCAAAAACAUAAGGGUUAAAACCCCACCCACACUGAAGCUGCCUGUUUGUAUGGUUGUCCGGCAGCUUGCUAAAGGUAAGAACUUUAUCCUUAACAACUUUGAUAAGGAGCUUCUUCAAAGCAGAGACCUCCAGCACUUUGCCACGAAAGAUGAUGUUGUUCCUUUUCUUUCAGAUUAAGUGGCACAAGGCUCCAAAAGAAAAUCGGGCAAUGGAGUGGAAAAAAUCCCUACCAUAGAGGAAUCUCAGGGCCCAACGGAUGGUCUUCGCCCAAGGCAUAUUAUGCCAAGGAAGAUUACACCACGCAGCCUAGAAAAAAGCAAGAGUCGCAGGGAUACGACAUUCGAAAAAGAGAUGAUCAAUCGAGCCCAGAGUAGCAUUACAAAAAGCACAUAAUUCAUAGCUGAUUUUGCCAUAAGAUCAUAGAAGAACCUGAGUAAAAAUGGAGGAAGAAAGGAGGUAAAAAUGCUUUGUUCAGGUAUGAGAAUGCAAAUGCGGUGCCUGCGGCUCUAGAAUGGAGGAAGAAAGGAGCUGUCAUGGGCAUCGAGGACCGAGAAAGUCAUUGUAAGGAAAAUAAAAUUGAUGUUUUGAUCCUACAGAUAUUCACGUUUACGUGUGUAAUCAAUGCAUAUUGCUAUUAUUUUCUAGGUCCAACACACAUGAUUUUUUUUUUUUUUGGUCAGUCUUACUCUAUUCCUACUUUACACUCACUCGCAGACUUAUGCCUUGCCUCCUGCAGGGCGUGGGAGUCGCAACCCACUCUCGAAACUUACGCGUCCCUACCCCCAUCCCCCCCUGAGGAGGUGAGGAUUUGAACCCCUCACCUCCCCCUUCCAUGUUGGAAGGGUGGCCACUGGGACGAACCCCCAGUGGUUGGUCCAACACACAUGAUCGAAUGAUCAUAGCUACGUGUAGUUAGUACAUUCCAAAUUUUCCAAUAGCAUUUACACUCUAUUUAUUUCGCGAAAUAUAAAUAAUUAUAUAUAUUUUUUUAAAUUAUCGCUUGAAAUAAUGAGUUAAUGAAAAAGAUAUUCAUCAUGCGCAAUGAUUUAUAUCUAAAUAUUUUCAUAAAUGGUAAAAUUUGUAUUUCCUAUUUAUUUAUAUAAGAGUUAUAAACGGCCAUUUUUAAUAAAUCAUUUAUUUCCACUAAAAAAAUGAGUCUCGGAUUAGUUGACUUCUUUGGCAUGUGUGAUUAUGCUGCCUCUCAAUUAAUCAAAUAGGAACUUGUUGGUCUUUCUCAACCGUGGCAGCCACCGAGGGCAUCCGCCAGCUACAAAGGGGGUGAGCUAACCUCCCUAUCGGAGCAAGAACUCGUAGAUUACGAUGUUAACGGCGAGGACCAAGGUUGCGAAGGUGGUCUCACGCAAUAUGGUUUUCAUUUCAUCAUAAACAGUGGAGGCCUCACUGUCGAGGCUAAUUAUUCCUACGACGGGAUAGACGGAACUUGCAAGACCGCAAAAGAAGCCUCCCACAUGGCUGAAAACCGCGGGCAACGAAGUCAUGCCUACCAACAACGAGGCCACGCUGUUGAAGCCCGUGGCAAAUCAUCCGGUGUUGGCGUCCAUUGAUGUCGGAGGGUGUAAUUUCCAAUUCUACUCCACCGCCGUCUCAAGACCGCGAGAUCAAUUUAAAUCACGCCAUAGUGGUGGUCGGCUAUGGUACGACAAGGCUGGUGAAGAACUAGCAUAAUUAAGUUGGUGAUGUGUUUUAUGGGCCAAGCCAUGUUGUGACAUAGUUGCAUAGUAAGUAAAAUCUAUGGAGGCAUAGUAAGUAAAAUCUGUCAAGGCCCAAGCUGGUGAUGUGUUUUAUGGACCAAGAAAUGUUGUCUUAUAUGGGUCGAGGCCCAUACCUCUGUUUUGUGUUUUUGUAGCCCAAGGCCAUCGUUUCUACGCAAUUCCACUGUCUAUUUCUAGUUCCACAUCUCCUCCCCACAAAAAAAUUGUUUCUUCAGGAGAAACCUAGAGUGAAGGUGCGCAUUGUGGUGUAACAACGUGGCUCUGAUGCCAGCUUUUGUGGUUCAAUUCAAAGAAAAAGACUAGGGUUGAAGGGGAUGUUGGAGAUUUAAGUUGAGUUAUUUCGAAACAGAAGAAUAUCUAAAUUAAGAAUCUUAAAAGAAAGUAGGCCAAGCAACUUGACAAACAAAUGUCUUUCAGCUGGGCUGCACAAGUUGAUGGUUUUCCUUCGGUAGAACUUCACGACCAAUCUACAUGUCUAUGACACUCUACAGAGAUUAGUAUCUCAUGACCUAAAAGACCUUUUCUUCAACAGGGGUUUAGUGCAAUCAGCUUGUGAUUCAGUCCUAUGUGGCUAGGACCCUUAUGAGGCGAAUGUUAUACAAAUUGUUUAACAUGAGUAAAACUGGCCUCGUACUGCAAAUUUCGCCAUCAUCAGAAGUGAAUUGGAGAGUACUCAAUUCAUUUAAAAAAAGAAUAAACCUCGACUUACCAAUUAUCUCAGAUUUUAGAUAAAUACAUAUAAUGUUUAUUCAUAAUUGUCGUUCUGUGCUAAUUCUCGCAAAGAGACUACAAGAGCCAUCUUUGGCAGUCUUGAAACAACCAUCCACCUAAAAUAAGCUCGGUAUGCUUCGGCUUACACUAUAUAAAGGGGAAGAAGGGAUGCGUCCUCUGAGAAUUUUUGCCGCCAACAUUUUCUCUCGAUGAACUUGUGCCAUGUCAGUAGCAUGAUAAGGUAGCCUGCAUUUCACAGUGAUUUUUACUUGGUGUCAAAUGAUGCAAGCAUGCAAUGACUCGAAAGUUCAACUAGAAAUGAGGGCAAAAGAUGAACAGAAAAGGAAGGCAUGGUUAGUAAAAUUUACUGGUCAGUAGACCUCAUAGUUGCUCCCUCAAUUAAGUUGUGAUCAAUUCGACAACAAGAGUUGCAAGCUGACACUGGCAUAGUUUUUGGUGCCAUAGAACUCGGGGCCAUAGUAGUCUUGGUUCCGACGCCUUCUAGGAGCAUGAGCUUAUAAUUUUCCUUUGAUAGUGUUUGACUAUCGGUGAUCCUAUCCAUCUGACCAUCUUGCUGUACAAGCCGAUUAUCUUGAUACAGAUCUGUUUCACUUGGACCAUCUUCCUGUGUAAGUGUAUUCUCUUCCUCUAAAUCUGUUUGAUCAUCUUCCUCUGAGUUUGUGCUGGUUCAAGACAAUCCUGAUAAACCAAAUUUAACGCCAGUGACUGAUUGUCAUGAAACAAAGACCCUCGGAUCAUCCUCUUGUUGCUUGCAUAUUAGUCCGAACCCGCAGUUUCUUACUGUUCAAUUUGACGCCUCAAGACAACCCGAAAAUGACUCCCAUCAUUUCACAGGAGCUUUCUACUUCCCACAGCGUACUAUGCGAGGGAUGCUUGAGCAGCACAUGGUCCAUUCCUAAUUAAUAGAAGCAUCCUAUGUACCAAAUCACCUUUCGAUAGACCUUGCAAGAGAGGCUGAGCUCAACUCCCCCCUCCAAUCCAAAAACAAGAUGGACUGCUAAUUCUAGAAUUCUUCACACAUGUCCUGGGGUAUCAUGAAAGAUAUCAAAUCCUCUUUACCAUGGAGCCAUCAUUCCGGCAUCUAUCUUCCAGCAAUUACAAUGCGCGCUUUUCCCAUGUUAUGGAAUUCCUGGUUUGCAGGUAACAUCCAUAUCAAGAUAAAAAUAAGGUGGAGGGAGGGAGGUAUGGAGGGAGAGACUAACCUCAUGUAACGACACAUCUUCCACGUUCAACCCUAUGUGGAGUGGCUUGAUAAAUCCGGCACUUUUUUGGCAGAGAUUCGCAGCUAGCUGCUUUUAGGAUACAUGUACUUGAUGGAAGCUGUAGGAUUUCCAGUAGUUGCUCGCAUUUUCACCCUCGCGAUUCCUAUAAAUAAUCAUGCUCAAUGACGCAUGUUGGAAAGCUAGUAAGAUUGUUUCCACUUUCCAGAUACAUAUGGACAUUCCUGGUUGGAGAUAACAGGAAAGAUUGUUGAGGACCCUUAAUCCAGACAGAACACAGCCCCAAGGUCCAACCAAUUCAAAUUCUAAUGUCCAAUGUCCAUACAUGGUCAGUUAAAUCCCCCUGUUUGCUAUGGAAACUCGACAGGAUUAGAGCAACCUUUGAGAGUCGGGUACUCGAUGUUUCGCAACUCACGAACUCUUGCAUUUGUAGCCCUUUCUCUUCACCUGUCAAGGACUUAUUGACAACAAGAACAUGUACUUCAAUGACCGUAUGAAUAUUGCAGCAAUUAAGAACUUUCUUAAUGUAAUCAAUAGUCUGCCCCUCGAGGAAACUGACUAUAUCGAGAAAAAUCUCCUUUGCGUAUCCUCCAGCCAGGCCAUCUUAAGCGCAUCAUUGAUGCUUUUUUUUAGGAGUUUUGAUAAGUUUAUUCAGUGCACGUCCCAUUCACCUCCUCUUCUACUGCACAAAAUGGAACCCAGACACCUCGAGAGCAAAAGGAAGGCUUUUAGCAUUAUCAUUAUGCAAAAUGGUAUCCCUUAAGAUUCCUCUUUAUUUCUAAGUUCUCGCCCCUUAGAAAAGCUACUUACUGAAAAGUUCAAGGGCCUGUCAUCUAUAAGAGCUUCAACCAAAUAGAUUCAUCCCAACCUAUAAGUAAGAUGAUCCUUUUUCCCUAUACCAAACCACUCACAUCCUCCGACUAAAUCAUUUCAUCUGUCAUGCUAUCGACAUAGGGAAGAGUAUACAUCUAAAAAAUAUGCCUACGUCGAGUAUAGAUUAUUUCACCAGUGUGUCUAAAAAAUUCAAUUAAUGUUUGAUAACAUCACCGAAUCCAUCAUCUGUCCUAAUUAUGUACAUAAUCAGUUACUUCUUUAAUUGGAAAAUUACUGAUAAAGAAAGAGAUAAGAUGAAAAUAUUUUCUUUGUGCUUGCCAUUCUAAAAAUUAAUUGAUAAAACACAAAAACCGAUCCUAGAUUGAUAUUGUAAAAUUUCACAUAAAAAAAAAAACUGAACAACUAAAUAAAUUAUCUUUAAUAUCGAAUCCUAGGGACCAUCUAAUCUGAAAAUAAGAUUCGUACAAUUAUAGUAAAUUUUCGAUAACUCACGAUAAUUAUCCGUGAUAAUCGUGGCGCAACCGAUUGAUAAAAUUUGGAUAAACAUCGGGUCCUAAAAUUGGCGGCAGCAUUGGCGCCGUCGCCACCGCAGGGUCGGCCGCUAAAAUAUCUGUUUUCUCGAGCAAACAGAUAAAAGAAGAGUAUAAGAUCAUCUUCCUUCGUGUGUGCUGUCCGCUCUCGACGGUUUCUCCGAUCUCCGGCGGAAACCAGAGAACCUCUCUCUCUCUCUCUCACUUCGAGCAGAGACGCCUGCGAGCGAUGGACGCGCUCCUCUCUCCGCCGCUCUCGGUGCCUCUCUCACGCCUCCGCUCCGCCGCUUGUCCGGUUCACUGGCCGCCGCCGUCCGCCGUCCCAUCUGCCGGGCUCGGCCUCCUUCUCAAUCCGGCUUCAGUUUCAGCGAAUCGGGCUUCCGGUCCCUGCAAAUCGCCCGCUGUCGCUGCUGCCGCCAGCGGAGGCGCUCUCGCGGCCAAUCCCGUGCCGGUUCGCGCUCUCUCUCUCUCUCUCGUUUUGUGUUUCUAGUACUUGGCGCUUGCGAUCGGUUCGGAAUCUCUUGAUGUUGUUUGUGCUUCGUGAUUCUUUGGUGGAAUGUAUUUGUAAUCUCUCUUACUGGCGCUGUGCUUGUGAUGUGCAACCUCGGAUGAGUUUGAGUCGAUGGCGUUUGUUGGGAAGUCGAUUCUCUUGUUGCGGUUAUGAUCGUAUGACGUUGCAUUACAGGGGAUUAGCGAGUCUCUCUCGUUCAGCAAUCGCAAAAAGUUGCUUCCUUUAGUUCACUCAGCGUUGCAAAUGACUAUACUAAGGACAUGUUUGGUAACCAUCCAAACAGUGCCUGAUUUUGAUUUUUUAUUCUCAGAAUCAAUAUGGGACAAGAAUUGCAUUUGGUAAAAUUUUUGUUCCCAGGACCAAAUUUGUUGCCAGAAGAGAAUCAAGAAUAAAAAAAAAGUUGAUUCUAAUCAGAAAAAAGUUGCUUCCUUUAGUUCACUCAGCGUUGCAAAUGAUUAUAAUAAGGGCAAGUUUGGUAACCAUCCAAGCAGUGCAUGAUUUUGAUUUUUUAUUCUCAUAAUUAAUUUGAGACGAGAAUUACAUUUGGUAAAAUUUUUGUUCCCGGCACCAAAUUUGUUCCCGGAAACAGAUUGGGAAGAGAAUCAAGAAUAAAAAAAAAAAAAGUUGAUUCUUGUUUCAGGAACAAAAUUGAAAAUCAAAACUCUUCUUCUUCUCUUUUCUUCUUUUUCAUUGACCGCCAUCCCGCGACCGCCGCCCGCCACCUGCCGUCGUCUGUCGUCGUCGGUCGCCACCGGUCGCCGGCAACUGGUCCGACGAGCUCACUAGAGACUCUCGUCUGGCCUGAAAAAAAAAAGAAAAAAAGGAAAAAAGAAAAAGAAAAAAAGAAUAGGAGAAAAAAGAAAAAAAGAAAAAAAAAGGAAGAAGAAGAAUAGGAGAAGAAGAAUAAAAAGAAUAAAAAGAAUAAAAAGAAUAAAAAGAAAAAAGAAGAAUAGGAGAAAAGAAAAGGAAAAAAAAAAUUAAAAAAUAAAACAAAAGAAAAAAAAAAGGAAAAAAUUAUAAAAAUUAAAAUGAAUUGAUUUGGAAUAGAAUUAAUGAACACGGUACCAAACGCAAUUCUAUUCCAGAAUUAGAAAUUUUGUACAGUUAGCAAACGCGUUCUUUUACUCAGAAUCAGUUUUCAGGAACAGAAUAAAAAAUAAUCAUUUCUUAUCAGAAUUUGUUACCGGAAUAAAAUCGUUACCAAACGCGCCCUAAGUUUCUCUUUCUAUAAUUUUCUAGGAUUGCAAGCUUUUCACUCUGAAAUAUGGUCAGCUUUCAUGGAUGAGCGCAGCCCCCUCCCCCCCUCUUUUAGAGCUGAUUUAGUGGCUAUAUCAAGAUGUUCUCCUCCUCUGGUAAAUGUUGUCUUCAGUUGCUGUGUCGGGAUGGCUUUAGCAGCUAGGGGGCAGGCAUAUUCAUAUGUUGUGGAUUGGAGCACAAAUAGAACAACAAGCUACAUUUGAUUAAUGUAUACUUUGUGAUCAACUCUGGAGCUUUUUGCAGCAUGUUUUGAUACAGCACCAGAGUUUAUGCCUAUUUUUUUCUUGGAAAAGGAACUGAAUCAGUUGAACACAUGAGUAUAUAAGUAGCAGAAUUUCGGACUAUCCCCAAGCAGAUCUUGAGAAUGAUUGAGCUGCCUAGCUUGCACAUUUUUGCUAGAAAUCAGUUAUUGGAUGCUUUGGUCCAGGGAUUCAAUCGAUCAUGUACAUAACACGCUUGGAUUAGGUGUUCCUUUUUUUCGGUUCAUGUGAUCAAGAUGGAGGAUGUUGUGUCUGCAUUUCUUUUAUCAUAUUAUCCCUUAGAUUCUUCAAGGUAUACAAUUGUUCUACUUGUACCAUCUUUGGAAACAUAGAUUGUGCAUGACAUCUUGUUACCGAGAAAUUUGCUUCUGAUUGGUUUGUUAUUUUAGAGCCCCAUUGCUCUUAACUUUGGCUUAUUUAACUGGAGUCGUAUCUACAAACCUGCCAGGCAUCAGUCAAGUUGGGUUUCUAUUCCUUUGGCUGUGGGAACUCGGUAGAACUACUAUAGCACCCUGCACAGAGGAUCAAUGCAGAAUUUAAAAAAGUUGAAAAAAAAUAAAAAUUGGAAUAUAGUUUUCAAAACACACAGUUACCUAUUAAAGAAAGAAAGUUUUCGAAAGCACACAUCUUCCAAAGGGGCAUCUUGGAUUAUAUAUCUUUAGCUUUCCCAUAAUGACCUUCAGAGUUUCAUAGAACUAGUUCAUUUGUGCCGUUCUGUGGUGGGAGAAACUAUGAAAACAGGAGAGAUAGAGAAAUCUUCCAGCUUCCUAUAGCUUUUAACAUUUGCUAAUCUUCUGUAUCAUAAUUCCAUUUUCAUCUUUGAUGGUUACUAAUGUAUGAUUAAAGGCACUACCGUGCCUGUCAAUCUACCUUGUGAGUUGUGCCAUGGGAACAGAAGUUCCACGAGUAGAUGAACAUAGUGAAUGAGCCUUUACCUGUUCUUAAUCAAGACCUUGAUCGCUUUUGUUGCUUGCCUUUACCUGUUCUUAACAGAAGUUCCACGAGUUGUGACAUGGGAACAGAAGUUCCACGAGUAGAUGAACAUAGUGAACAGAAGUUCCACGAGUAGAUGAACAUAGUGAACAGAAGGUCCGGAGUUUUCACUGUUGCUUCGGCUUGGGAUGUUAUUCGGCCGAGAGGUCAAUCCAUGGUUUGGGCCCCUCUUAUUUGGAAUAGCUCAAUAAUUCCCCGGCACCGAUUCCUUUUGUGGCUGAUUUCCAGAAAUAGACUGCCCACUCAGGUUUUGCUUCUUGCUUAUGGUAGGAUUUCCGAUGCUAAAUGUGCUUUUUGCUCUUGUCGUCCUAAUUCUGUAGAUCACCUUUUCUUUGGGUGUCAUAUUACUGGGGCUUUAGCUCUUUUUUGGGCAGCUAGAAGCAAUCUUCCUUGGCGAAACAACUUGUGGAGGGAUAACCUCCAAUGGGCCAUCAAGUAUUUAUUUGGUGAUUCCUUUCACAUUACCAUCUCUAGGUUCGCUUUUGCAGCUUUAUGUGAUAUUAUUUGGAAGGAAAGGAAUAAUAUCAUUUUCCGUGAUCGGACUCUCUACGUGCCUACUAUGAAGAAACGGCUUGAUAAGGUUGUUGGGAUAAGACUUUGAAGAUUACAGCAGAGCUAGAGCCUCAAUUCGUCUAUCUUCUUGGAUUAAUCUGUUUCCUUCUUUGUGCUUUGUCUUUGUUUUGCGGAGGGUGUUCCCCUUCUUUUGUGCGUCAUUGGGUUACCACAACAACCUUACACCCCUCUUGACAACCCUUUUGUCAUAUUGGGUGCAAGGCCUCCUUGGGUCUCCUUUCUUUUGUAUAUUCCCGCUUUGGGUGAAAGUUAAUAUACACGUUACCUUUACCAAAAAAAAAAAAAAAAAAGGGUUUCUAAAUUAUUGAUGAAAUUAGCGCUAUACGUAAUUUCAUCAUCGUUGCAUGGGUGUUUCUUCAAGGCAAAGAUACGUUAUUAAUUUAACAUCAGUGUUCCAUAUCGAGAAAAUUAUCUAAAAAGAUUUGAACUUCUUGUAUAGCGAUUAAUUCGAUUUCAAAUCUUUCAAUUGUACCAAUUUAAUCCUAAAUUUAAACCUUCUGAUAUUUGCUAGUUUAGUUCUAAACCUUUUAAUUAUGUUAAUUUAGUAAAAAAAUUUACAACGAUUUGCUAGCCCUAAAUCUUUCGACGAUUUGCCAAUGUAAUCCUUCCAACCAAUUAUAUAAAUAAUAGGUUUAGGAUUGAAUAGACAAAUCUUCAAAAGGGGGAAAAGUACCAAAAAAGCCCUAAAUCUAUUACAUUGGUACCAAUUCACUCUUAUAUCUUUCGAUUGGAUCAAUUUAGCUUUAAACCUUUUCGUAUCGAUACCAAUUGAAUUAGUCCAGUCAAUUUAGGCUGGUAAUUAUUGACUUGGACGCCGAUUGUCUUAUAUGGUUGUCCUAUAUGGCACGGCUGAUGUUAACAUGGAUAAUUUUUUAUUUACUUUUUCAUAUUUUUUAUCAAUGUUUUUUUUUCUUUUUUAUUCUAUUUUAUUCUUUUUUUCUUCCAUUUCCUUUCUCUUUUUUCUGUUUCCCUUAUUUUUUGCUCCACUAGUGGCCAGUGGAAAUCCCUAACUAUCAACAAGGGCAAGGGUCAAGAUGCCCUUGCCAGCCUUUGGCCAAGGCUGGAGAAGCUGUCUCACACCAAAUCUAGCGAAGGGGACCUUGUUUGACCAUCGCCUUUAAUGAGGGGCAACCUUGCAGUCCUCUGGCGAUGGCGAGGGCUCUCACCCAGGCAAGGCCUAUGGUGGUGUCUUAGCCCUCGGCAACCCUCAUCGAAAGGCCCGCGAGGUGUCUUGGCCCUUGCCCUCCCCAGUGGCUGGCUUUCUUCGUUAACCCUCAUGCUUGAGGCUCUAUAGCCUCUACCCCACCUGUUUUGUAGACCUUGUGUAUAGUCGACUAGUAUUGUAUAUAAAUGGGUUUGAUAUGUAUAAAGGUGUGAUGUGGUUUUCGAAAAAUUAUGGCCUUACUUUCCUAUCCCAUAUUUGUGUUGUUUGGGGAUAUUAUUCGCUUCUGCAUGCGAAUUAAAAUGAAUGGUCAGCGACGCGUCUAGGACGUCUCUAUUUAAUCGACCACAGAGGGAUGGGCACCCGCUCGGAGGAUCGGGGCAUGACAAUUCCCCUCUGCUUCUGCCAAAUAAAAAGGGACCAAAGACCACAAUCGCUAAGGGAAGGCCAUUAGCAUAGCCCAAAAUACAUCUAUGAGAUCCCUGCUUAUGUCUUGUAUUUGUUUUUUUGGAAAAGCAUAUGAACUUAGAAAUUCAAAAGCUUCACCUUGAUCUUAUGCUUUAACUUCAUAUACCUGGUCUAUCCCGUAAGAAGUUAGUACAUGUUUAUCUCUAAUCAUAAUAAUGAUCCUGUUACCUUUUCCAAACCAUUUACAUUCUCUAGCUAAUGCAUUUAACUAGUCCCCAUGAUCCACAUCAUCAUGCACAAGCAGAAUCUUCCUGUAGCAAAGUCUAUCUCAUAUCAGGUUAACGCCUCCAUCCACACGUAAGACCACUAAAUUUUCUUUCAACAAUAUCUCAGAUAAGAGUGUUUUUUGCAGAUGCACCAGGCCGUUAGGUCUACUGGAAGUUUCUCUAAUAUUUGCAAGAAAGCUACACUCAUCAAACUGACUAGUGAUACUGUCAUGGACAGCUUUAGUGAUGGUGGUCUUCCCUAUACCUCCUGCUUCCCUUAUUCUUAUCAUCUGAACCUCAUCCAAGCACGUACUUAACAAUGAUAUAACUAUCUCUACCCGGCAGCCUACACCGAGCGGGAUGCUUGGCAACACUCAAGGGUACUUGUCCGACUAUAAUUGAGAUCUUUGUGAUGAUGCUCAAGAUCUCGCUGUUGAUGUAGGAGUUGAUGCCGCUGUGAAGCAGAGUCCAGUGGAGGUCAGCGAGGAAGCCGUGGCAGACGUCCCCGCCUUUGAAGUUGAGCAUGAUGUCCAACGGCCAUUUUGCUUCGGAAGAAGGAGAAGGAGAAGGAGAAGGAGAAGGAGAAGACGACAUGGGAAGACAUAAUUGAACGGUCCGUUUCUUUUAACUUUAUUCAGCUUUUAAUUUUGAAUAAUAACCACACAAAAAAAAAAAAACCGACACGUUCCAAUUUUUUUUUAUGAUAUCAAAAAUCUCCUAAAAACAACGUACAUUUAUCAUCCUUUAAAAUUAUUUUUCCUUAUAUCCCUCCUCUUCCAUCUUUACCGCUGCCAUUUCCGUCAUCAUUGCCACUAUCAUCAUCUUGCCAAACCAAGAAGGAGGAAAUUUAAGAAAACGAAAAAAAAAAAAAAAUACAUACAGAGGAGAUUUCACAUGAUUUUGACUAGUGGUGGUUUAAUUUAUAAAUUUCCUCCCUAAGUAUUGGUUUUGUUGUAACUGUAGUUCGGGGCUCCUGUGAAGAGGUUAUUCUUUUUCCUUUUAUCUUUUUGACAAGAAAUGCACUAAGCAUUUACGCACACAACUUCUUGCAAUUGAUAAAAGACGUGUAAGGUCCAAAAUGCACCUAAGCUCCAUCUACAAGGAUCAGAAUGCAAUCCAUUUGCUGUUGGAGAUGACUCAGAAAUUACUUAUGCUAGCUCUUCCAUUCCAAUUGAUGCAGAUUUCUAAGAUUAAACAACUUUGAGUAACAAUUAUUUUUUGUUAUUUUGGCAAAAAAACAUGUCAUAGAGAUCUUUUGUUGGUUGUCAUUAAUUGUUAUAUCAUCGUAACAUUGGGAUAAAUAUCAGAAAAAUCUUAAAUAUAUUGUAAUUGUAAUAAUUCUAUCUUAAACUUUUUCCCAAUUCAGACCUAAAACUUUUGCAUUUACACUUGUUCAGUCCAUUUGGUCAAUUUUGCCCAACUAACAUCGACUUGGUACUUUUUAAAUAAUAUUUUAAUAAUUUUUUGAAUUUUUUUGAAUUUUCUUUUUUUCUUUUCUUUUCUUUAAUGUUGUCCUCUUCUCCUUUACUUAGGGCCUUGCUGCCUCGCUCGCCCAAAUCAAGCGAGGCUGUUGCCCUCGUCUUGUUUGGGCGAGGGCCGCAGUCUCCUCGCUAGGCCAAAUCUGGGGAGGGUGUCGUGGCCCUUACUAGAUCUAAGUGAGGGGCAGUGCACUCGCGCCCUAGCCAGUGAGGGUUGGCUGGCAACCCUCACCAACCCUAAGGGAAGGGGAAGGGGAGAUUUUUUUUUUUUAAAUAAAAGAUAAAAGAGAAAAAAAUUAAAAGAAUUCAAAAAUUAUCUAAAAAAUGUCAUGUUAGUGCCGACUCACUAAAAUUGGUAGGAUUGACUGAACUGUCACAAAUGAAAAAGAUCUAUGACUGAAUUAAUAAAAAAUAGUUUAGGACUAAACUUGCAUAAUUAUAAUAAAUUUAUGACUUUUUUAGUAAUUUUUCCUCAUAACAUCAUUCAAACGAAUUAUAGUCUCCAAAGCUCUUAAGUGAUGGAUAAUUUGUAGACAAGAUGAGCAUCUGUGAAGUUUUAGCAGUAGAUUUUCUAGUUCUCCCACAAUUUAAAUCCCGAAUUUUCCCUCAUUGUUUUUGGGGAAUUGCAUCAUGUGAGAUGCAGCUUGUCCAGUCCUCAAGAGUCACAACAAUCUUAUGACUUCAUCAUUGCAUCCGCGAGGGAGAGGGGAGGAAGUCUAUAACUCGGGCUUCGCUCUAGAGCAAUUUAUGAGGUUACUUAUUAUUAUUAUUUUUUUUGGCUUGCCUCAACACAAAUCUUUUUAUUCUCUAUUAGCAAAAACAUAGAGCGGAUGUUAGUAUAAGGCUAUCCUUUGUCUUCAAAGACUGGUACCUUAUUAAGUGCCAAAUUGGGCUCCUAACGGGAAAGUCCAUGGCUCAUUCGGCAUUCGUCUCCAUCUUCUUCGCUGGCAUCCUCGCUCCGGUUCGAAUCGCCGCGACUCUCUGGCGCUCGAGCGCCGUCUCGCAGCGGCAAAUCUCUACCUCGCUCGAUCAUCUCCGGCGGCAUUGAUUGUCUUUUGGCUAAAUUCUUGGUUGGAGUGUUCGUCAGUGGUUGUUUGCAGAAUCAGAGUAGACGUGAAAGUGGGAUGCGUUGAUGAACAGGUCAAAAAGCAGGGGAAGCAAGCGGAUGACAUGCAGUUUCGAGCUGAGCGUGAUGCUCUGAGCCUGAAAAUUGUCCAGGUGACUGCAGAAGGUAAUUGCUUUUUCAGGUCUGUGUUCCUUGUUAGAAAAAAAUCGCCGACUUGUUUUCAUGAUUUUUUUUUUUUUUUGGAAUGUUUCCGGGAAUAGGUUUGUCUUGUAAAAUGACAGUAAUCCCCUCUGUUUUAGAAGGUGAAUGGUAUGCUCAUCGCAUUACCACUCUGUCGUCAGAACACAACACGCAUUGCAUUUUAUGGUACACCGGUUCUGGAAUACUAUCAUCGAUGUACUAGAAAUUCCUCUGCUGGGAAAACUAUUGCGUUUUCGUAUGAUUUAUCAUUCUGCCUGAGACACUGCAUCUGGAGACAUAUCUUGAAGAAGAGCUCUCUUUGUCGGGGCUUAGUCUCGAGGAUAUUAGAUUGACCCUUCUGAGAUCCAACUAAGUUACUUUGUAAAAUUUCAUGACUAUGUACAACGUCCUAGCAAAAAACCAUCUUCCUUAUUCCCGUUUUCAUUCCCGUAUUUGAAUUAUCAUCUCCAGUAAUUUGCUGCCUUGUAUGAGCUUUUGUAAAGAAUGCUUUGCUAUAGUUUAUCAGGCCCUUGCAGAUCANNNNNNNNNNNNNNNNNNNNNNNNNNNNNNNNNNNNNNNNNNNNNNNNNNNNNNNNNNNNNNNNNNNNNNNNNNNNNNNNNNNNNNNNNNNNNNNNNNNNNNNNNNNNNNNNNNNNNNNNNNNNNNNNNNNNNNNNNNNNNNNNNNNNNNNNNNNNNNNNNNNNNNNNNNNNNNNNNNNNNNNNNNNNNNNNNNNNNNNNNNNNNNNNNNNNNNNNNNNNNNNNNNNNNNNNNNNNNNNNNNNNNNNNNNNNNNNNNNNNNNNNNNNNNNNNNNNNNNNNNNNNNNNNNNNNNNNNNNNNNNNNNNNNNNNNNNNNNNNNNNNNNNNNNNNNNNNNNNNNNNNNNNNNNNNNNNNNNNNNNNNNNNNNNNNNNNNNNNNNNNNNNNNNNNNNNNNNNNNNNNNNNNNNNNNNNNNNNNNNNNNNNNNNNNNNNNNNNNNNNNNNNNNNNNNNNNNNNNNNNNNNNNNNNNNNNNNNNNNNNNNNNNNNNNNNNNNNNNNNNNNNNNNNNNNNNNNNNNNNNNNNNNNNNNNNNNNNNNNNNNNNNNNNNNNNNNNNNNNNNNNNNNNNNNNNNNNNNNNNNNNNNNNNNNNNNNNNNNNNNNNNNNNNNNNNNNNNNNNNNNNNNNNNNNNNNNNNNNNNNNNNNNNNNNNNNGUCUAUCUUGGCCUAAACUUACAGGUGUAGGAGGGAAGCUGGACUCUGUAGUUAUCCACAUUGUUGUAGCUACAGGAACUCGUGAUUGCUACUUCACGGUGGCAAUAUUAUGCAAAUCGACAUAUUUUUCGAAGGAGAUUUGACAAAAUCAAAAAAUGAGAAAAUUGAUACUAACGUAAUCAACUUUUUAGCAUGCAUGAUAAAACUGUAAUGCUUUGCAAUGCCACAAAUUGAUAGUUUUGCUUGUUUCAAGUUGCAACAGAAUCCUUCAUUUUCAAUGGUUUUUUCUCAUAGUGAUGUGUUUAAGGAAAUAAAAUCCUUGCUUGAAGAAUGGACCUGAUAUAUGCAUCUAAGCUGGGAAUUGUUAAUGACAGACCAAUCGUGAAAUGUUUGAACCAUUUAUUAAGGAUGAUGUGCCAUUUGAGGAGUAUUGCAAAACCAUGGACAAUGAUGGCACGUGGGCUGGUCAUAUUAAAUUGCAAGCAGCUUUGCUUCUCUUGUUACACGGAGUAACAUUUGCAUUCAUCAGGUAAGACUGACAGUGAAGUUAUCAACCAUCACCUACAUGAAGUUUUGUUGGUUACGGUCUUUUCAGUCCUUCAGGGGGAACAGCCAGAAUAAAUAAGGAUGUAAUUAGACUCGUCAAUUGUUAGCCUUGCUACUGGGUUUGAAGUUUAGCUGUUUAAGCACGCAUCCUAGAAUUCGUGACCAUUGAAGAUCCCAUGAUUGUUGGUUUCCUGACUCAUUCUUCACUUAUUGAUAUAAUGGCUUUCUCCCCCAAUAUGGUCCUCCUUUAUCUGAGAAGUUAUUCCCCAUCAUUGUUUAGAUCAAAAGACCACUUAGGAGGUUGUUCUCAUAAUGGUUAUAGCUUGUUCUUUUCUGUCUGGUUAUAAUUUGUUACUCUUUAGACUGAAAAAUUGACUCAUCUGAAGCGCAAUGAUAUCUGGCAUGUCUAGCGAUGUCUAUUGUCGCAACAGCAUGUGGAAGGACCAUUGAUGGUGAUGUGCAAAAGAUUUUUUCAGAGAUAUAUUGCACCUUUUAGCACAAGGAGUUCUGACGGUUGCAUAUAAUCCUAAUUCAAAGAAGACUUAAUAUAUCAAACUUGUUACAACAAUGCUGGCUCAUUGAGUGUUCUAUAUGUUCUUGAUGAAUCUACACGGCACUAAUUAGUUUUGAUACAUGCCGUGCAUGCAAAUGUCUGUUCAUUGACACCAAAUGGAACAAUUUAUCUCACUCCUUACUUGAUGCAGAACAUGUCACCUCGGUGGAACAUAAGCAAUUUUGAUCAGCCUGGUGCUCGUAAUGAUCCAUUUGUGAGUUUUCUGAAUCUAGAGACUGAUGUUCUUUGCUAAGGGAGUGCUCAAUACUGGAUGAGAUCUGUUUGUAUACACUUAAUAAUGACCUUUUCUUACAUUGUAUUUUCCCUCAGAGAUUUGAACAUAAAACAUGUUUUUAUUUUUUNNNNNNNNNNNNNNNNNNNNNNNNNNNNNNNNNNNNNNNNNNNNNNNNNNNNNNNNNNNNNNNNNNNNNNNNNNNNNNNNNNNNNNNNNNNNNNNNNNNNNNNNNNNNNNNNNNNNNNNNNNNNNNNNNNNNNNNNNNNNNNNNNNNNNNNNNNNNNNNNNNNNNNNNNNNNNNNNNNNNNNNNNNNNNNNNNNNNNNNNNNNNNNNNNNNNNNNNNNNNNNNNNNNNNNNNNNNNNNNNNNNNNNNNNNNNNNNNNNNNNNNNNNNNNNNNNNNNNNNNNNNNNNNNNNNNNNNNNNNNNNNNNNNNNNNNNNNNNNNNNNNNNNNNNNNNNNNNNNNNNNNNNNNNNNNNNNNNNNNNNNNNNNNNNNNNNNNNNNNNNNNNNNNNNNNNNNNNNNNNNNNNNNNNNNNNNNNNNNNNNNNNNNNNNNNNNNNNNNNNNNNNNNNNNNNNNNNNNNNNNNNNNNNNNNNNNNNNNNNNNNNNNNNNNNNNNNNNNNNNNNNNNNNNNNNNNNNNNNNNNNNNNNNNNNNNNNNNNNNNNNNNNNNNNNNNNNNNNNNNNNNNNNNNNNNNNNNNNNNNNNNNNNNNNNNNNNNNNNNNNNNNNNNNNNNNNNNNNNNNNNNNNNNNNNNNNNNNNNNNNNNNNNNNNNNNNNNNNNNNNNNNNNNNNNNNNNNNNNNNNNNNNNNNNNNNNNNNNNNNNNNNNNNNNNNNNNNNNNNNNNNNNNNNNNNNNNNNNNNNNNNNNNNNNNNNNNNNNNNNNNNNNNNNNNNNNNNNNNNNNNNNNNNNNNNNNNNNNNNNNNNNNNNNNNNNNNNNNNNNNNNNNNNNNNNNNNNNNNNNNNNNNNNNNNNNNNNNNNNNNNNNNNNNNNNNNNNNNNNNNNNNNNNNNNNNNNNNNNNNNNNNNNNNNNNNNNNNNNNNNNNNNNNNNNNNNNNNNNNNNNNNNNNNNNNNNNNNNNNNNNNNNNNNNNNNNNNNNNNNNNNNNNNNNNNNNNNNNNNNNNNNNNNNNNNNNNNNNNNNNNNNNNNNNNNNNNNNNNNNNNNNNNNNNNNNNNNNNNNNNNNNNNNNNNNNNNNNNNNNNNNNNNNNNNNNNNNNNNNNNNNNNNNNNNNNNNNNNNNNNNNNNNNNNNNNNNNNNNNNNNNNNNNNNNNNNNNNNNNNNNNNNNNNNNNNNNNNNNNNNNNNNNNNNNNNNNNNNNNNNNNNNNNNNNNNNNNNNNNNNNNNNNNNNNNNNNNNNNNNNNNNNNNNNNNNNNNNNNNNNNNNNNNNNNNNNNNNNNNNNNNNNNNNNNNNNNNNNNNNNNNNNNNNNNNNNNNNNNNNNNNNNNNNNNNNNNNNNNNNNNNNNNNNNNNNNNNNNNNNNNNNNNNNNNNNNNNNNNNNNNNNNNNNNNNNNNNNNNNNNNNNNNNNNNNNNNNNNNNNNNNNNNNNNNNNNNNNNNNNNNNNNNNNNNNNNNNNNNNNNNNNNNNNNNNNNNNNNNNNNNNNNNNNNNNNNNNNNNNNNNNNNNNNNNNNNNNNNNNNNNNNNNNNNNNNNNNNNNNNNNNNNNNNNNNNNNNNNNNNNNNNNNNNNNNNNNNNNNNNNNNNNNNNNNNNNNNNNNGUAUUUUUCCUGUUUCCCUGUGAUUGGAGUUGAUACUUAUCUUGAAAGUUUAUGGCUUAUGUAUCCAACAUGGUAUCAAUUACCUUCCUUAAAUUCAAGUCUGGAACAUUUUGUCACCCUUGUGCUUUGUUGAAUAAUGUGUACACUUUGGAAAAAAGUUCAUACAUGAGUAAUUUAAAUUUAUACUUACAAAAACAAAGACAGCAGUGAAGAUUUCUCCUUUUUUUUUUGUCUAAAUGUUGUUUUGCAGUGAUCAAGCUCUUGAAUCCAGAAAAAGUAGAAAGGAAAAGAAGCGAGGCAAGAGAGGGUCUGACACAUCCGCACUUUCUAUUGGAUCUGAUGGAGGGCCACCUGAUGUUGGGGCUCUUUGUAUCUGAUCUUUUGCCAGUGUGUGUGCACAAUCAUCAAUUGAAUUCAGACAUCAGUAUGUGUGCAGUCUUUCAAAUAUUAAGGUUAGAUUAGACACAAUUUUUUUCUAUCUAUAUUCGCAUGUAUUUGAUGCAUGCAUCUCUUCUUCGAUCUUCGGGAUAAGAGCACUUUCUAGUUAUCCACCUGGUGUCACUUUUAUUGGAUAGUUUGCCCGUCUGGUGCAUUUUAUACUGGCAAUUGUAAUUUAGAGAUUCUUUGUACACGUAAUUCAUGCGCAUGCACGUAACACCUACCCCAGUAGAUUUGUUGGCACAGUUGUAGGUCAGUUUGGUCAGCAACCAAAGGGGGAAGAAGAUAAGGAAAUUCAGUAAUUGGAUUGCUGUCCCGGGCUAAACCUUUUCAUGAAUAUAAAAGAGACGUUCACAUGAAUUUGACAAGUGGUGGUUUAACUUUUAAAUUCCCAUCCAAAGUAUUGGUUUUGCUGUAUUGGUAGUUUGGGGUUCCUGUGAAGACGUUUUUCUCUUUCUUUAUAUUUCUUUUAUAGGAAAUACACUAAGCAUUUACGCACGCAACUUCUUGUAAUUGAUGAAAGAUUUGUAGAUCCAAAAUAAGCUUCAAUCUCCAUCUACAAGGAUCCGAAUGCAAUCCUUUUGCAGUUGGAGAUGACACAGAUAUCACAUAUACUACCUCCUCCAUUCAAAUUGGUGCAGAUUUCUAAGAUUAAAUAACUUUGUUAUUUUGGCAAAUAAAUGUGUCUUAGAGAUCUUUUGUUGGUUGUCAUUAGUUAUUAUAUCAUCAUAACAUCAUUUAGACCAAUUAUUGUCUCCAAAGCCCAUAAGUGAUGGAUAAUGUGUAGAUAUCAUGAGCAUAGGCAAAGUUUUAGCAGUAGAUUUUCCAGUUAUCCCACAAUUUAAAUUCUGAAUUUUUCUCAUUGUUUUUGGGAAUUGCAUUGUGUCAGAUGUGGCUUGUCCAAUCCUCAAGAAUCAAAACAAUCUUGCGGCUUCAUCAUUGCAUCCACGAUGGAGUGGGGAGAGAGUCGAAUUGUGAGCAGAAAACUGAUGCUGAAAGAAGUCUAUAACUUGAGCUUCUCCCUAGAGCGACUUAUUAGGUUAAUUACUAUUUUUUGUUGGCUUGCCUAAAAAAGAAAUCAUUUCAUUCUCUAUUAGCUGCAACGUAGAGCACACGUUAGUCUGAGGUUAUCCUGUCUUCAAAGACGGUCACCUUAUUAUUCUUGUAUACUACUUUCUCCUAAAAUGGGGAUAUAAAAAAUCCGUACAUUUUCAUCUAAAAGCUUAAUAAGCUUCAAAUCUCGCAUGGUGAUGCUGCUCUAAUAAUUUAGGGAGUUAAGCGAUCGGUUGAGCUAAUAAAACUCCACGUGUAGAUUAAUUAAUUCCAUGUAACAAGUCAAAUACACUUGAUACUUUUGCAAGAUAGCAACGUGUGCCUUGUGAGCCCCAUUUUCAUUCAAAUGGGGAUCCAACAUAUGGGAGGGCAUAAUUGCCCACUGAUAUGGGAAAAUGUAGACAUCCCGAGAACUUUAAUGCGAUAAAAGCGUCUUCGGCUUGGCCUAUGCCGUGAUGUUCCGUGGAUGUCUAUGCCGUGAUGUUCCGUGGAUGUCUAGGCCGGUAAGUGGACUUUUCCCAUCAUGUGCCGUUGUCGAACAAGUUUGUUCAACCUGCUUCUUCAUUGUCCUUGAGAAGAUGGUCUCUAAACGCCAGUUGACCAAACCUAGGUCCCUUCCAUGAGAUAAGUUUACCUAGCCACUAACUCGGUGUCUAGUAUAACAGACUUUCUUAUUAAAUACUUCGAUAAAGUUCUGAUUUACAAUAAUCCAUGUAGUUGUUAGCCAUGUAUUUAAGGUCUUCUCUUGUGGUUAUGUUCAAACUUUUUGUAUUAUGAAUUGAGAACUUGAACAGUAAAUACAUGAUGCGUUGUUUUUAAAUCUCUGGUCCAUUGAUUUUGUAGAUUGGCUCUGCCGGGUUCAUUCCAAUCUCAGUAUCGAAGGACCAGUAUUAGAUCAACCAUAGUUUAGUUGGAAUAUAGAUAGUGUAAGAAAAUGAUCAUUGAGGAGUGUUAAUCAAGUUUAGAAUCACCACAAAAAAGAGGUGUGUUAAUACAAGGGACAAAGUCAUGAUGUUAUAGGACGCGGUAGGGACGUGUGGCGUAGGAAGGAAAUCAAUUUCAAAAUUUAAGCAUCAAGUAAGACGACCGGCAUUUUAUUAGAUCAAUAUAAUUGGCUGGUCAUAUUAUGUUAGUUGUUAGUGAUGUGACUAUUGAAUAAAAUAUUUUUCUCAAACAAGGGGAUAGUCUCUCGAGAGGUUUUCGAAUGCUAUAACUUCCAAGCUUGUGAGAACUUUGAGGAAGCCUACUCCCUUUGAAGAAAUGCUACUCAUCAUCAUCUAAAGUUGCAAGGAAUUUCUAGCAAGUACCACUGUUGAUAUGCACUUAGUAGUUACUAAAUAUCCAUACCAUCUCUUACGAAGAAGGAAUUUACUAUUAUAUUGGAUAAUAUCUAAGUGGUAGGAUCAUCAAGAUAUAAACUCUACAAUCGAAUUACUAACCUUAAAAGAAAGUUACUAACUAUAGACAUAGCGGUGAUCAUGAGGACCCCAUGGGACUUAUGACCGAUGGAAAAAUAAUUACAAUGUACAUAUACUAUUAGUUACAAAUAAAGAGGGAAACUGCUGUAUCAAGGAGAAUUGCAAAAUGAUAGCAUCCUCGACUUAAGAAUAAUGAAUAGAUGCUCACGAUGGAAAGUUAAUAAUCAUAGGUGCAGUAUUACUUUCGAGGAUUUCAAGUUAUUUACAAUUGUUCUAGAAUAUUUACUGAGAAAUUUCGUCAUUUAUUACGACUAUUUGAUGAAAUUUACUAUAUUAAGUUGAAGUUUACUAACGACAAAGAUUGACAUUCGGGCAUAACAAAGAUUAUUCUAUGGCGGGCAAAGAUCAACAUAUGGGUCUAACAGGAAUAUGUAUAAAAACACGUAAGUAGUGCCGCAAGCCUUUUCUGCUUCUCCUAUAAACUGCAUGAAAAAACCUUGAAAUUGCCCAAGCAAGGGGAAAUGAUCCUGGGAAAUAAAAUAUUAAUACGGUUUCAAAAGGGAUAGAGCACAGUAGAAGUCCUAAACUUUGCUGUAAAAAUGGAAUCAAGUCUUACAACUUAAAAAAAAAAAAUUACAAUCAAGUCCAAAAACUUAUCUAAUUAGUACAAUAAAAAACUUCCGUCAACUCUGUCCAAUUUGAGCAUCGGAAAAUACUAGCAUGUCAUCUUUUGAUAUGUUUGAGUACACAUGCCAGAGACACUCGAGCUAGACAUGGUGCCCCGUUCUAAUAAAUUUAAGUGUCUUGUUUGCCAAGUCACCCUCUAUCCCUUCACAUUAAUUUGAAUAGGGCAGAGAGAUUGAAUUGAUCGCCAUGCGUUACUCCAUCAACAAGACAGAUGUCCAGUUCCUAAUUUGUCUCUCUGGCUUCUUAAUGACAGCUUCCUUAAGAGCUUCGAGCCAAUACUACUCCACUUGCCUCUUCCCGAUUGGUCUUUCAUAUGCCUCCAGUUCCUCCAUUUGACCGCCGGAGAAAUUUGCAUAAGAACUCUCUAUACUCUAAUUCACAAAGUGAAGCUGGAUCUACUAAUUGAUUGUCCUCAAGCACAGCCUUCGAUUCAUCAUCCAGUUGCUUGCAUCUUAGCAUAUAUCCCAACUUUUCCAUGGUUCCACCCGACACUAUGAGUGUAAGGCUAAAUCGUAAGUAAUCCUCGUCAAAUUCAAGAAAAUCAACUGCUCCCUCCAACAUUCCCCACAACACAUUUGGUUUGAGAUACUGAAUCCAUAUGUGACCCGAAUCAAAUGAACCAAGAGUUCCUGAUAGCACAUUCCGUCUUUGACCGUUAAUGUGGGGCACGAUGUUGAAAAAUAUUUCCUUUUCUCCAUUUUCUACAUUGAAAACAACACAGAGAACCAAUCCCAAGAACUUAUCAUAAAAGUCCCGUGAAACCAUGAAGGAUAUGGUACCGCCUUCAACAGAGACAAACUCCUCUGGCAUAUCUCCUCCAGGAAUAAUAUUUUUGUAGGAAGUACAAAUUCCGGAAUAGCGAUACUUCUGCUAUAACGGUAAAUUGUUAGACGUACUCAAAUUGAUAAUGAGUUCAAAUAGAAGAGUUUGAUUUGAGAAUUUUUCUUGUAAUUUAACUAAAGCUAGAGUUUUAUAAUAAAUAAACAUGUUAGAUCCUUCCUUGCCUUAUAUGUAAUACUCAUGAAAUCAUUCACUUGCGAGUGUUAUAGCACCUGUAUUACAUGUAAGUGUAGAAUCACUUUAUGUUAGAUUUGCUCGUUUGUACAGAAUUUUCAGUUUUUGCAUUAUACAAACACAGUGCGCCCCCCAUCCGCUCCAACAAAUCAACACAUGCACUUAUGAAUGCGCGCGCAUCUGGACGGGGAGAGAGAGAGAGAGAUACCUCAACUGAAAAGUCAGCCAUGAUAUCGGCGUGUCUGGAUACAUCCCGGGUACAGUCGUCUUCUUCUAUACUUUCACGGUCUUCCUCUGACCAUGUUUUUCUGUUAUCUUCAUGGUUCAGCCACCGCUAUUACAUAUAGGUGCAAAAUCACAAUAAAUUAGCUUGUUUUGUUUACCUGCAUUUGCAGCUUUUGCAUUAUACAAACUCAAUGCACCCAUAUCAAUCAAACACACACACAUCACAAUCGCGGGGAGGGAGGGAGGGACACCUGAAGUGAGAGAUGGGCCGAACUUUCUUCCUCUGUGGUCGUUUCUUUAUUGUCAUGCCAAAUCUCAUAGAGCAAAGCUGGAUCUAGCAACUGGUCGUCUUGAUACAAAGUCUCCAAAUUGUCCUCUAGCGGCUUGCAUAGUAAUCGAAAUCCGCACUUUUUUACAAUUGCAUCACCCAAUGAUCUAACACCAAUCUGGAAAGAACUCGAGUCAUUUGCACCAAAAGGGUCUACUCCCCAUAGCUCCUCUAUUUCAAGAUACGAAAUUUUUACAUGAUUUGAAUACCAUCGACAAUAUAUGCCAUCGCCUGUAGUCAUGUUUUUGCCAUUAACGUAGUGAUAGAAACGCAAAUUGCCCUCUCGUUUGCCUCGCUUUGCUCGAUAUACAACGCAGAUAGCUAAUACCAAGAACUUCUUAUACAAGUCCUUCGAAGCCGUGAAAGAUAUAUAACCCUCUUUAUUCGGGAGCAACCAUUGCGGCAUCUCUCCUCCAGUCAGAAAAGUGUUGUUGCGAAACAAUUUGGAAAAAAUGGGCUGUCAAAGAUGUAAAUUGUUAAGACAGUAUUUCGAAUUUGGCACUUGAAAAUGAGAAGUUUCAAUGAGUUAAGUGGAUUGACGAGUUUAGAAAUGGUUAACAAUAUAUGUACAUGACUCUGCAUUAAUCCCCUGCUCUUCUUGGGGGGAGGGGAGGGNNNNNNNNNNNNNNNNNNNNNNNNNNNNNNNNNNNNNNNNNNNNNNNNNNNNNNNNNNNNNNNNNNNNNNNNNNNNNNNNNNNNNNNNNNNNNNNNNNNNGGGGCUAAAUACGGGCCAGAAAUGGGUGAGGACCACGAACAAUUGUCGACAGUUUUAGUCCUAGGUGGAAUGAGCAUUACACUUGGGAGGUUUCGAUAUAUGCAGCGUGAUCACCAUAGGGGUUUUCGAUAAUGGCCAUAUCCAUGGGGGAGGAGAUAAAGGUGGAGGUGGAAAAGAUUCAAGAAUUGGCAAGGUAAGGAUUCGACUGUCCCACGCUCGAAGCUGAUAGAAUUUACACACACUCCUACCCCCUUCUGGUUCUACAUCCUUCGGGGGUGAAGAAAAUGGGCGAGGUUCAGAUGGGGGGGGGAGGAGAGAGAGAGAGGUCUAACCUUCCGAAUGACCAGGUCAGGACAUGAUAUGUCAAUUUUACUUAGAGAUUCACAAUCAUCUGCCAUCAAUCCCUCCAAUUGCUCUGGCAUCUUACCAAUCGCUUGUAGCUGUCGGCAUUCUGAAACAAACAAUGCGCGUAACUUAUGUAGCUGCCUGCAUGUUGGAAGCUUAGCAAAAUUGUUUUUGGACAAAAACAAUACUGUUAAGUACGGAAAACAUGAAUUAUUCUCUAGGAACUCUACUUCUUGUAGAUUGCAUCCUUCAAGCCCUAAGAUUUGUAGCUUAGGAAAUCCCGUCUUGCCAUGCAGAACACUAAAAUCCCCCUCCUUUGGAAACUUGAUUAGUUUUGAACAACCAUGAAGUAUCAAGCUCUCAAGAUUUGGCAACUUGUAAAUGGUAGAUGGGAGGUUUGCCAGUUUCUUGCAAUCAAUUAAACUCAAGUUCUCCAAAGAGACAAGAUUUUCUAUGGAAGUAGGAAGUUCCUCAAUUGAAGUCCCUUUUAAAUAAAGUUCUUUCAAGCCUUCGAUUUUAUCCGGAAUAUCAGGGAAUAUUUGCAACUUUGAGCAACCAGUAAGAUUGAGAAUUUCAAGAUUCUUGGAUUGGAGCACAUUAGGGAGCUGAUGAAGGUUAGAGCACCCUUUUAAAUUCAACAAUUGUAGCUUGGCGUGAUAUGCAACUGAUUCGUGAGCACGCUCCAAAUUUUUGCAUCCAUGGAGAUCCAGUUCCUUGAGAUUUGGAGUCAAAUUGAGGUCCGGAAUACAAACCACCGAUGGACAUUUACUGAAUUUAAGGUACUUCAAAUUUCCAAAGGCCUACAAGAAACAAAAUGGAAAAAAAAAAUGAAGAUAGAAAUACUUAAUGAAAAACACUUUGGAUCAUCAUUCAAGCCCAGUGUGAUCAGAAAUUAGUUGAUCCUACGACGUAUAUAGAGCACUCCCUCCCCCUUUUUACAUGAGUUUAUUGAGCGAUCCUUGGCCAAAAGAGAAGACAAAACAAGAAUAACACUCGUAAUUCCAGUACACGCUAGAUGAUCUUUAUGAGGAGUUUUAGUAGAAAACAUCUAAAACAUUGGGAUAUGUUAUUGGUUCAAGCCGAAUUUGCAUAUAAUAAUUUGACGAGUCAAACUAUUGGAAAAUGCCAAUUUGAUGUCGUGUAACGAACGCAUCUUUUAAGUCCUUUGGAUCUUACACCAUUAUCCCCCUAUAAUAUGAAGAAAGAGCUAAGACAAAAAGUUACAUGAGGAAGUAAGGAUCCCAUUCAAGCAAAAAGAAACAUAGAAAAGCCUGCUGUUUUUGAAGAAGGUGAUCUAGUCUGGAAUUCAUUUGAGAAGAGCACCUUCCACCUAGUCGUCGUGCUACGGAUCGUUCUUUUCUAGUUUUGGAAAGCAUAGACAAUAAUGCCCCCAAAAGUGAGCUUUGUGGAGCAAAUGGUGUCUCCACUAGUUUCAAUGUUGUUAAUCUAUCUCUAUGAAGUUGGCCUCGAGGAGAAGUCUUUUCAAGAUUUCAAGAUUCUGUCUUGUGAAUAGAAUAAUAGGGAUAAAAUAUAUUUUCUUGAUCUGCGAGACGUUUAUACUUUUUAGGAUUGCUUUAGUCUCGAUUACAAUAUGAUUAUAUUGUAACUUGUUUGAAUUUCGCAUUUUAGGUUCAUUUUUCUUUACUUGUAGGUUACUCAAAGGUAUCUUAAGCUCCUACUUAUAAGUGCUCUCUCAGUCUCUCAUAGUAAACACAAUGAAUUUAUUAAAUGAAGUUCCAUUGUAUUUUUUUUUCUCUGUCUUUCUCUCUGUCCUUUCGGGGGAUUCAUGAGUGAUCAAGAGAGUGUUGCAUCCUUGGAGUGGCCUACUAAGGUGGUGAUUUGGCUGAGGGAGACCUAGAUUAUGUAGUCUCUUCCUGUCCUCCAGAGCGGGGAUUUUCCACUUCAUUAAGAUUGAAAAACCCCUUUUAUUUAUUUGUUCGUUCAAUACAUUCCGACGUCAGUCUGGCCGACAAGCAUGACAGCAAAACUGAAAGCCCACGAAGUUUGUCUCAUUUGAGGCAUAUGAAGUAAAAACUAUAAGAGUACGCACAAGAUUUGAAAAAAAAAUUGAUAUUUGAAAAAUUGAGCAAAACCACCAAAUUAGAAAUAUUGAAUGGAAAGAGAUUGUUGGUAAAUACACAAUACACAAACAUAGAAUAUAUGUAGGAUAUUUCAAAAUUAAAAUUUGCAAUAAGAAACUUGUUGUAGGGUUAGAAAAGAUUAAAAUUUAGAUUGUGAAACAUGUGAGAGAUCAAAUAAAUUAAUAAUUUAAGCACCUCUCUAUGAAUAUUAUAUUUGUAAAAUAAGUAAUCGAGACAUUUUGGGGAAGAGAUUAAAUUAAAAUCCUGUGGAAGGUCACAUUUACCUUGUACAAUAGUAUAAAUAUAAUUAAUAAAUACAUACAUAACUUUAUAUUAGAUUUAGGUUUUAAUAUACUUAAAUUAGCAAAGCAAGCCCCUCACUUCUCUUUAGAAAGCUUUAUUAGUCAUGUGUGAAAGCCGUGUCGCGCAACUAGCGUCCUAGAUGUGGUGCACUAGUGUCUCUAUAAAGUAAGAAUCUUCCAUGGAAUUGUACUCCACAAGCCUUUAUUUAAAAAAGCGCGGGAAGGAAUGGAUGGUCAAUCUAUCUCCCCCUGAGAGUUGCUUUUCAUCCCGUGAUUUCUUACUUAGGAAUAUAUGGAGUAAGGGCGCAACCGAAUGGCCCGAUUGAAGGGAAAGGAGGGGAACGUGUUACAUACUUGGAAGAAGAAGGAGAAACUCCCAGUUAUAUUUGAAAACGAAUAUUUUAUCCAUAAAGAUGAAGAUAACUUUCUUGGAGUUCUGCUUAUUCCUCAUCCUAAAAGUAAAGAAGUACUUGACAGAAAUCUCUAGUUAGGUCGGUACAAUAAAAAGAGAGGGGACUUUUGGGGCUGACUUACAGUAUAGACUUAACUCCUUCAAAGAUCUUUCAUUGCAUUAUUUCUAUAUAUCUCUUUUCAUUAUCGGCUGCAUUCUAUUAUAGAAACAACAACAUGAGGUUCAAUCAAAAGUACUUAGCAUGCAUUCGCUUCAAUGAUAAAGCAAAUAAACAAGAAAAAUCUCAUUCUAUUUUCAUAUGCAAUUUAAAAAAGAAUCUAGUAAGCUCGUCUCUUAUAUAAAAUAUAGAAUCUUUGAUAACAUUUUCAGUAACGAUCAUUUCAAAGGCAUACAAAUUAAAUCCUUAGUUCAUGUUUAUUAAAGUACUAAGCACAUUUAUCAUUCAAUUGUUAAAUUAUGUCAUCAAUAAGUUCUUGUUCCAAUUUUCGGUAUUAAAGUUACUGACCGCAUAUGUUGCAUUCAGAGUUUUCAAUAAUUCAUAUACAUAUCCAUAAUCGUAUGCAUACAAAUAUAGAUAUAUAAGAGAUAAGUAAAGAAAGACAAUUAAUUUUAAAUGCGCACCUUGAAUUGCUCCCUCACGACUUGGAUGUUGGUUUUGCGCAGAUCAAGCCCAACCAACUUAUUUGGACAAGAGGAAAAUUCGGGAAACCAAGGACAUUCAGGCCAUUCAAACCAUCUCAGUUCAUUAGGAAGACAGAUAGGACCUUGGAAAGAGUUGUGCACAUUAAUCAUGAUGAGCAACCUCAAUCUUCUCAUGUUUGUGAAAGCAUUGGGACCUAUGUAUAUUGCUUCUGUCUUAGGUAGAGCCAAAACUAUGGCUUUUACUGCAUUUGUUCCCUGCAUUUAUAGAACUUGCAUUGCAAUUAGUAUACGAAGUCAGAGAAGAAGAGAGUAAAAUCAGUGUUUAAACCACCAAAACUUACCAUAUCCCCUGAUAGAACAUCACGAACAUCUUCACAAAGCCAUAACCUGCUCCGUCUUCCAGGAUCAUCGCAACAUUCUUGUUUAACAAUAUCCAUGCCCAUCAACUGAAUCAAGUCAUGCAUCUGUACUUUCCUCCAUUCUUUAGUUAUUAAGGACUUCUCAACAAGGACUUGCACUCCAAUAGUCGUGUCAAAGUCGCAACUGUUAAGGACUUCUAUAAUGUACUCUAUAGAUCGCCCCUUGAAGAAACAUGCAAUAUCAAGGAAAAUCUCCUUUGCAUAGUCUUCUAGUCCAUCGUAACUUAACUUGAGAACACCAUUGAUGGUUUUGUCAGGACUUUUAGCAAGUUUGUUCAAUGCGCUUUCCCACUCCUGUUCUCUUCUACCACAUAGGAAAGAGCCCAAUACCUCAAGCGCUAAAGGAAGACCAUUAGCAUAAUGCAAAGCACUAUCCACAAGAUCCCUCCUUAUCACUAUUUCCUCACUUCUAAGAAAAGCAUGUUUAUUGAAAAGUUCAAGAGCUUCCCGAUACCAUAGAGUUUUAACUUCAUAGAUAUGAUCUUCAUCUAUCCCAUGGACAGUUAAUAGAUGGUUAUCUCUCGUAGUAAUGAUGAUUCUGCUUCCUUUACCAAACCAUUCACGCCCUCCAGCUAAAGCAUUUAAUUGUUUUACGUCAUCGACAUCGUCGAGAACAAGGAGGACCCUUUUGCGGCAAAGUCUUUGUUGUAUCAAAUUAAUACCUCCAUCAACACUAGACACUGUUAAAUCUUUUCUCACUAACUCGGACAACAAUUUUUCUUGCAGAUGAACUAAAUCCUUGGAAUCUUUUGAAGUUUCACGAACGUUUGCCAAAAAACAAGGAGCCUCAAAUCCUCUGAAUAUAUCAUUGUAAAGGGCUUUGGCUAAUGUUGUUUUUCCUAUGCCUCCUUGUCCCCAUAAUCCUAUCAUGAGAACAUCAUCACGAGACUCAAGAUUUAACAUUGAUUUCAGCUUUACCACUUGUCGAGGUAUUCCAACCGGAUGCUUGGCAACGUGUAACGGUGUUCGGUCUAGCUGCAUAGAGAUCUCCUGCACAAUUCUCUUGAUAAGAUCCGCUUCCGCUUCAUCUCUGACAAAAUCCGGAAAGGUACUAGAUACAUCAAUUUCCAAAGAUAAUUAACUUUCGUGGAAAAAGAAGAAGAGAUUCAGCAUAUAAAAAAGAAAAAACAAAGCAGUGUCACAUCAAUCACUACUUAGUACUUACUUAUCCUUGAAUUCCCACCCGGACAAGCUACCUGCAUCAAGGAGAGCCUUCUCCCAUCUCUUCACUUUCUCUAAAUCUCUCCCAAACUUGUUCUCAUGCUUAACCAUAGCUUUUCGGUAGUUCCCUCUUGGCGUUCUCACUUCUCUAGGAUCCACUUUGUAAAACACCGGUAAUACCGUGAGUCCUCUUUGCUCCUUGCACUCCAUGAUUUUCUCCACCUCUUCCAAACACCACGGUGAGGAAGCAUAGUCCUCGGAGAAAAUGAUGAUCGCGAUACAUGACUCCUCAAUUGCCUUCAUAAGCGCCGGCUUUAUACAGUCGCCUUUCCGAAGCUCCUCACUAUCAACAUAACUGUGGAUUCCUUUUUGGGCAAGCGCCGCGUAGAAAUGACUGAGGAAGCUCUUUCGAACGUCCGUACCUCUGAAACUCAGGAAGACGUCAUAAUUCCCUUUCAGAUCUGAAGAAGCAGCCAUUAGAGGAGAUGAAGUUUGAUUUGUUUCCUCAGAAUGCUUAGUGUCUGGUCGGGUUGCAGCUCUAUCUCUCAUAUGGAUAUCACUUUGUACUGAUAAAGAAAUAGAAACGAAAACCAAGAUCAUUUCUGAUGCUCCGAGUCGAUAUGCAUAGUCUCCAACAACUAAUUUAACAAAAAGCAGCAUUUUGCAUAAGGUGCACAGAACCAUCCUAUAUAGGUGCUUCUUGACUUGCCUUUUCCAUUAAUAAAAGAAAUAGAAAAGAAAACUAGCAAGAUUCCCAUGCUCCUGGUGCUAAUAUACAUGAGUCAAUCGCAAAACACCGCCGGUUGGAGUAUUAUUUAUAAUGAACAAUCUGACUUUUUUCUUUCAAAAGGGCUUCUACAAAAGCAAAUCCCAAAAUAAAUUUUCCUCACUUUUCAAACUAAAAUUUUCCAUCCCAUGUCUUGCAUUGAACGGAACAAAUUCGAAUCUGUUCAGGCAUUUCUUCAAACACGUAGUGGGCAGCGAGUUGGAGAGAGAAUAUGGACCUAUUCGGAGCUCGAGCUCACACUUAAACUCAAGAGAAAUCAGCGAGCAACGUUCAAACUUAAGAAAAACCGACUCGUUCAGAUCCGACGCGAGUGAGGACUAAAGAAAUCGAGCUUGCUUUGCUCUUUUAAAAUCAAGCGGGACGAGGCAAAAAAAAAAAAAGAAGGAACGAGCAUUCAAUCGUGGAGGCCCUACCUGGCUCGGAUUCCGUGGGCAUCAUCGGCGGCGAAGGUUGAGAAUAGCGACUCCAAACUCGUGUCAGGCUUCAGUCGACUCCACCGAGGUCAGGGAAGGCGGCGACGUAUGGCAGCGGGCGGACGAUGUUCUGGAGGUGGCGGACGGCGUCGAUCGGCUGUGGAUCCGAGGUUUUGUGGGGGGCUUCAAUGGCGACCGUUCCCGGAGUAGAGAAAGACCAAGAUGCUUUUUUUUCUUUUUUCUUUUUUCGUGAGAGUAAAUAAGUAAGUGACAGUGAAGGAGUGAGGUAGGAUUCCGGGAAUGGAAUGCGAGAGGAGUCGCCGGCGGGAGGUAGUCGGACGGAGAUGGUGGAGGUGGCUGGUCGGUUGAGUUCAGGAGAAAGGGUGGGGAAUGCUUUUAUGACCUUUCCAGAAAAAUGCUCCCUGAACAUGGUGGUCUCCCCUUAAUCCCUUUCCGUGAACGCCACCCGCCUUUUUUAUUUUUUAUAUUUUUUAUGGGAAAUUGUGUCUCUUUUAAGAGAGAGCGCGAGUCCCUAUAAAGAACUGCCCUUUCAGAUUCAAAGAAGCGGCCAUUAGGGGAUGAAAGUUUGAUGUGCUUCCGCAGAGGCCGAGGGUAGUGGAGGCAGGCGGCGUAACUGGCGGGGGGCGGCGGAUGGCGAGGAAGAAGAAUAAUAAAAGAAAAAGAAAAUAAAGAAAAAGUUACCUUGCUUAACUUUUUAUUUCUUUUCAAAUCUAUUUUCAGAUUACUAUUCUAUUUUGAAGAAUAGGAAAAUUAAUUAACAUUACUAAAUGAAUUUUUAUUUUUAAUUUUCAAAAAAAGUGAAAAAACAUUAAAUGGAAAACCAAAGGAUAAUUUAUUGCACGUCUAAUUUCUUGCCUAAAGAUUAUUGUGUCAUCACCCCAUCACCCAAGUCACUUUGAUCUCACUUCUUAAAUUAUUUUUGUUUUUGACACUUCACAUUUAUAUUAUACUUUUAACGUCACAUUUAGAAUUUCUCAAUUAAGGGGUAUCAACGAUCAAGUGACUAUUUAGGAAAUACUCCUUUCCUUUUUAUUCCAUUUUUAUUUAACCUUUUAUUCCAUGCUAACACUCUUUUUUUCUUGACUCUUUAAGUAAAUAUUAUCACUUAUUCAUCCGAAGGUGUUUAUCAUUAGUGAUUAGAUAUAAUGAAUAAACUAUAUUACAAUACCAGCUUUAUCUUCCAAUAAAAAUAGGAGCCUUACAACUUUGAAUGGCAAUCAUGUAUAGAGGAUUCCUGGAAUGGGAUCUUUUGCUUCACCAUCUCAGGGAUAUUAUUUAGUGCAUAUACAGUUGCCUUUUCACGAGUUCUCAUGCAGGAGCUUUUGGACAAUUCUUGCCAUAAAAGGAUUGCGAAAGGUUGAGAUUUCUAUUUUGCAUGGGUCAUAGUUUGACUUGUGGAUGAUGUCGUGGGAACUUGAAAUCUAUGAGUGAUUUCAAGUGUUUUUCUUUCUUUUUUCCUUUCCUUUCAUAUCAAAUGAAAGUACUAAAUCCUUUUAUAUAAAGUUUGUGCAUUCUCUCUUGAUUUGAAUUACUGAAUUCAUCUAGUACUAUUAUAGUAUUUUGGUGCUCCGUAGAGGGCCUUAGGAUUCACCUUAGAAUCAAGAAUUACCCAUUAAGGAUUGAUUCCGAAGAAUUGGAACCGAGAACUGCUCAUUGAUUCUAUGGAUUCACCUAGCCCAUUCUGAUUCCUAGGUGGGUCCAUGAAAUCAAUCCUCAAUUCCAAUCCCUCACCACCACUUUGGCAUCCCUCACAUGCUUCGAGCAUGAUGGAGUACCUGAGAUGCCAAGAUGUGGGCAACACCUACCUCUUACCGCCACUUUUGUCGAUGGCAUGAAACAAGGUCUCCUUAGUUGGAUGAUGUUUUCUAAGCAUUGCAAUCAAAAGAGAGAUUUUUUAAUGGGUCGGCAAGAAUGAUUUAAAGAUUUGAAUAGAAGACAUCAUAUCACUUUGUUUUCACAUUAAAUAGAGUGGGUAACUAAUUACUUAAGGAGUACUUACUAUCUGGUUAAUGACAUGAAACACGCUGAGUAUAUGGUUGCACGUGUUCAAACAUAAAAGGCUCAUCUUCCAUUCUUUUACUAUUGAGAAUUGGAGAUUGUGUAAACAGGGUACGAGUCAAGCCAUACUGCAAACCAAUAGAAAAAACGAAUUGAAUACCAAACACCCAUGUCCUACAACGAGAUGUUGCAACUAAUAGAAAUAUCAAGCCUCUCCAGUUAUAAUUUAUCUAGUAAGCUGAACAUGACCGUUCAAAACAAAUAAGAAAAAGAAAGUCAUGUCAACCAAAAAGUUUACAUUUUAAAGCUCCAACAUUGUACACGCAACAGUGAUGUGAGAAGUUGAUAACAAAUGUUCAUCUUAUAACAUGUCUUUGUUUUCUUUAUCCAAUCAAUUGCCCUUUUCAGUUGCCAUAUCUAAUUAAUCCAAGUAAUAGACAUCAUUGAGAAUGGCAUUAGCCAAUGAGAUUGCGAUUCGCUCCAGGGAAAAAAAAUGAAAAGCAAAACAUACGGAUAAUUGUCCAAAAAGUCCUAAACCUUGUAUGAUAGUCAACUCAAUUUAAAAAUUUUCAAUUAUGCCAAUUUAGUCCUAAACAUUUUGAUAAUUUGUCAAUUUUGCCAUAAGCCUUUCAAUUAUAUCAAUUUAGUCUUAAAAUUUUUGCAAAUUUAUCAAUUUAGUCCUAAAACUAUUAUUUCAAUAAUUGGCCGAGAAAACUACAUUGACAAUCAUGGCCAAAUGAAUCUGGUCAAGAUUAGUUCAGAGGUUGUCUCACCAACUGGGCGUUUAACCAUUGUCAAUCUAGGACAAAACGACAGUUUGCCAGCCAUUAUGGUCAUUAACAAAUCUCAUCUGGCCUAAAUCAUCUCAAUAAAAUAGUGAAAAGCCACUCCCUAUUUUAAAAUAAAGCAAAGUGAAGAGAGGCAAAGUGAAGAGGCAAGUUGCCGCCUCUCUUCACAUAGAAUACAUGCACAAUACUUGCUAGCUGGCAUGCACCCCAAUUUCCCGCUGAGUACGGAUUAGAAAGAGAAAGAAACACGAGCCUAACUAUUAUUUGUUUCUUUAAACGGUCUUCAAUCAAGCAUCAGAUUGAUUUUCAUUAGAGUGUGUUUAUUUCGCGAAAAAUGAGUAAUUUAGAAAAUAUUUUUCAAAAAAUAAUUGUUUGUAUCAAUUACAAAAAUAACUAAAUAAAAAAUGUUUUCAUUGUCUACAAAAAUAGAUAAGCAUAGAUUAAUAUCAAAAUUGAAAAUAUUUUUUGUUGAUCAAUUUUCUAAAUGAUAAAAGCAAAUUAACUUUAGGAAAAUAUUUUCUAAAUCAAUCAUUUGCCACGACACAAAUGCACUCUAAAUCAUGAUCCAUCUAGACAACUUCCCAUAAUAAUUAGCAACACGGAUAUUUACUUUGAUAGGUAUCAAACAUUUGGUACUAGAAGUAUGUUGGAACGGAAGGACAAAAAAAGACUUAAAGAGUUUUUUUCACAAGGGCAAGAUUUUUGUUCAGACGAUUUAGGUGGGUGGGUUGGAUUACUUUUCUGUCAAUUUCUGAGGAGAUUUAUUCUGAAGAUGUGAAACGAUUUCAUGCUCAUUUUAUCAAAUAAUUUACAAGUUCUAUGUGAAUGGGACAUUGACUCCUCUUGAACAUUAGUUCGAGGGUGAUAUGAGGCAUUUAGCUGUAAAAGAUACUUGCAUGACUAUGAGAAACAAUAUUUUUUUCUAAGCAAGUGAGGCAAUUAGUUCGUUCCUAAGAUGUAACAUUUGGAUAGCAUCAUGCAUAUUAUACAUUCGAUUGUGAAAGUCCACUUUGCUUGAAAUUCUCCUAUUUUGCGGGCAACCACUCGAUGAAAUGGACACUCUCAAAACACUAUGUGUAAAAUUGGGCAUUAACACAAGUAUACUUGAUCAUUCUUCCUAUAUAGUGUUUAUGAUAUAGGAAAUGUAAAAAAUUAUAACAAAAAUCUAGGGUUACAAAUGCAUUAUUACAAGUCUCUUAUAGAAUUUUAACUCUCUCUCUCUCAAUAAUCCAUGUAAAUGGAGUUUCCGCCAAAUCUAAAUCACCACACAAAUUCAGUUGAUAUUAAUUAUUGCAUGUGUUCAAACACAAAAAGCCUCAUCUUCCAUACUUUUGCUAUUGAGAACUGGACCUUGUGAUAAAAACCGACUACGUUUCAGGUCAUAUUGUGAACCAAUAAAAGAACAAAUUGAAUACCAAUUUGAUGCGCAAAUUAACGUAUACCCUCUUUAUUAAUACAGAACAUCCAAAUCCUAGUAUGAGAUGUUGCAACGCUUCAACAUCACACACGUGCCAAUGACAUGAAAAGUCAACAACAAAUGUUUAUAUGGCAAUAAAGAUUCUUGCUUUCUUUGCCAAUCUAAUCGCCUAUUUCAGCUACCAUAUUUAUUUCAUGGAUGUGAUAAAUAUCAUCAAGAAUAUACAUCAUGACACCGAAUGGCAUCACUCAAUGAGAUUGUAAUUCAAUUAAGGAAAAAAUUGAUGAGAAAAACUUCCUACACAAUAUCAGAAUGAGGAUUAUAGGAACAUAAUUUAUUGCGGCAAGAGCCUUCUAUGAUCAAGAUAUCACAUGGAAAAAUGGGAAUUUCAAUCUUAUACAGUCAUUGGGGAAGCAUACGCCCAACUUAGGUUCGAUACAUAUCUUUACAAAAUCAUGAAGGAAAUAACAAAAAUCGUGCAUGGUCACUUUAUUAGUAAAAUUCAUCAAAUCACAAAGCACAAAUAUUUGCUCAUUACAAUUUUUCUUGAUGAACUCAUGACAUGCGUGACCCUAUCACAUAAUUUCAGUGUUCAAUCGAAUGAAGUCGACAUAAAACGAGCUCUCACAACGGUAAGUUCUAGUCUAGAAAAGUUGUUAAAGACGCACAUAGGGAACAGCGAGAGGGGGGCAAAGAGAAAAGAAAAGGCCAAAAGCAGUUCACUUCCCUUAGAACUACACCCUUAACAAAAUUCUGAUUAAUUUGACACGGUAGGCUACCACAAACAAUUUGGAGCAAAUAAAUUGAAAGCACUUGCAUUACUUCAAGGUAGGCCACACAUCACUUCUUCUCAAUGAGUAUAUCAAAUAGAACAAAAUAUGCAUAUUUGGAUACAUGUUGGGAGUUAUAAUUAAAAAAAAAAAAGUCAUCGUGUUUAAGCUCCAAAAUUAAUGAGGACAUAAAAAUAAAAGUUCAGGCUGGAAAAAAAAAUAAUUGCUAGAGCAUGGAAGUCGUUCCAUCGUUACACAAGGAAGUAAAAUUAGAGCCAACGUGAAUGUGGGAGUUGUAACCAACUCUUCGGCAUGUGGUUGUCAAAUCACACCAGUUUCUCAUGGGGAAAGAAGAUAGGAAAUUAUUUUGUGAUUGUGUAAUAGACAAUACAAAGCGUCCAGCUUAUCUUUGACCAUUUUAGACACCAUAGAUUCUCAAUCAAUAAAACGAUGAAAGAUACCAAAACAAAAGUUCUUAAUUAAAUCAAGUAAGUAAACAUAGCAACGAAUCAAACAUUGCUAGUUCCUUAUUAACAAAAAUAUUUUGAUUGAUCUUUGUUAGUAUAACGGUUUUUGGGUUAUUGUGAAAAUAACGAUAUGUUGUGAGUACAAAUUUUUGAAGGAAUGGAUCUCAUAAUAAUUUCUAAUUGUUUGUUAUUUAUUUUUUUGUGGCCCAAAAGAUGCUGUCAAUCUCAUAGUAAAUUAAGAACAGUACAUAAACAAUUCUCAUUUUAAUUAAUUGCACCAUCAAUGAUGAUUUUUUUUUGUUGGUUGCUUGAAACUGUUCGUCACUUGAAUUAUAUAGAGAUUUAACAAACAUGAUUAAUUUAUCCUUCUCUUCUCUGGCGACCAAAGUUCUUGGAGAAUUCUUCUUUUUUGUGGGCUAUUGCCUGAUGCUAGGAAAAAAAAAUUGAUCACACUUAGUGCGUAUGAUAAAAUUUCUACUUCUCUAUUUCUCUGUUUCUCUAUUUCCCGGAACAGGUUUAGAACAGAAAUCCGUUUGGUAACGCAAUCUGAUUUUUCUAUUUCUAGAACAGAUUUCUAUUCCAGAAAUAAAUUUGAAUAAGAAAUCAGAAUCUAAAAUUUUUAACUUAUAAAUUUCUGAAAUAGAAAUUUAUCAAUUUCUAGCCAGAAAUCAAUUUCUAUUCCAGAAAUUUUGUCAUACGCACCUAAUGAAUCAAUUUGUACAUCUCUUUCCGAUGCUAGUUUUCAUGUUGAUCAAUUUAAACUUUUUAGUUUGACUUUUUAACACUCCUCCAUAGCAUGAGAUAUUGUUGUUUGAACCAUGUAAUACGUGCUUAGACUUCAUGACAUUAUACUUUACUUGCAUUAACUCAGUCCUCGCUUAAUCUUUUUUUUUUUUUUUCCUUUUUUGAUUAGUCAAAAGCUCAAGUGAAUAUUUGCUCGGUCACUUUCAGGAAAAAGGAAGAAGUAAAAUGAGGUUAGCUAAUUCGCUGGAGAGCUCACGUGAAGAGGAGUUCGUGCUAGCUUCACUUCAAGACAAAGACGUAAAAAUGAUAGUUUUGAUAGCUCAUUCUCUUUCAUUGUACUCUGAGAUGUAUAUCUGUGCUCUUAUCGUUCGCUUAUAAAUGUAGUUUUUCGAGUGAAUCACGUAAAUUUAUUGUGGGGUUUCUUGACUCUUGAUUUUGUUUUUGUAAGGCUUUUUGAUUGCGCAAAGGUUUUAGUUCUGGGACUCGGUUUGCCACUUGUCCUAAAUGAACAUUGUUUUAUUGAUGAAAAAUUAUUCGAUGGAAUAUAACAUAGCACGUGGGUUUUACCGUCUUUUUCUUGUGUCUGGCGGAUUCUGUUCACAAUGAGCAUGGGAAAUUGCGAAAGUUGCUAAUGAAAUGUGGAUUUUUGGUCAUUCCAACAGAUUAAGACAACCAUAAUCUGCCCUUCCAAUCAAGCACAUGGCUCACAGAAUCAAUAAUGGAGCGCCAAGCACAUGAUGCCUUAAGAAAUAUUAUCAUCAUGUCCAGUGGUACACACUUCCCUUAGCCAAAUGAAUCUGGUCAAGAUUAGUUCAGAGGUUGUCUCACCAAUUGGGCCUUUGAAUAUUGUCAAUUCAGGACAAAACAACAGUUUGCCCGUCAUCGUGGCCAUUAAGUAAUCUCCUCUGGCCUGGCCUGAAUCAUCUCAAGCUCGCUUUCCCUUAUUUCAUAUAAAGCAAAGUGAAGUAGCAACGUUGCUUCCACUCCUCGCAGAGAAUACGUACACAACACUUCCUAGCGGGCAUGCACGCCAAUUUCCCACUGAGUACGAAUUAGAAAGGAAAAUAUAUACGAGCUGUAAUUAUUAUUUGUUUUGUUACACCAUCUUCGAUCGAGCAUCUGAUUAAUUUUCAUUAAAUCAUAAUCCAUCUUGACAACUUCCAUUAUAACUACCAACGCAGAGAUUUGCCUAGAUAGAUAUCAAACAUUUGGUACUAGAAGUGUGUAGGAAGGACGAAAGAUAGACUUUGAAUUUUUAACACGGGUAAGAUUUUUGUUUAGACGGUUUAAGCCAGUGGGUUGUAUUGGUUUUCUGUCAAUUUCCAGGAGAUUUAUUUUAAAGCUGUGAAACGAUUUCAUGCUAAUUUGAUCAAACAAUUUACAAGUCCUAUGUGAAUGAAACAUUGAUUACUCUUGAACAUCCACUGAGGGUGACUUGAGGCAUUGAGCUGCCAGUUAUACUUAAAUGACUAUGAGAAAUAACAUUUUUGCUGAACAAGUGAGCCAAUUAGCUGGCGACCUGAUCCUUGACCGUAUGAUGAAAUGCCCUAGCCCAAAAGAACAAGAUUUUCCGCAUGGUAUGGCCUUUACUCUGGUAAUACUUUUGAUGCCGAUCUCAAGGAUGAGACUACUGGAGUUCUAACUGACCACCAAUUUAUUGGAUAGUCUACACCAAAUGUAUGGACAUCAAGAAGAGACAAGUUUGGAUGAGUAAGAAUGAUUGGGAUGGCCAACUCAAACCUGAGAGGUAUCGCCACCAUUAGGGAUGAGCAUCGGUCCAAGGUUAACUCUGAACCGACCCUGGAUCGGCCCAACCCUGCCGGUCCUGGUCCGGUUCCUAGGGAGACUAGGUCGGUCCAAUUCGGACCAAUCCUGACUAUAUAUAAAUAAUAUAUAUAUCUAAUAUAUUAUUUAUAAUUUUUUUAUAUAGAGAAAAUCUUAAAAUAAACGGCGUUAACAAUAUUAAACAACUUUUUAGUGAGGAGUUCAAGUAAUUUUACAUUAUUUUUUUAAUAAUUUAGGUUUUUAAUGUCUUUUACGGCGUCAAUAGUCAUAAUUUACGAAUGAGAAAAAUAUUUUUGCGAGGAGUUCUCACGGCGUCCAAAAAGGUAGCUCAUGGCAUCAUCUUCUAAUAUUCGUUCUCUUCUUUCUUAUUUGUUCUCUUAGUCUUCAAUUUACUAAAAUUGAAAAAAACUUCUUCACUCACCACUCGACACUUGCCUCACUCGCUUUAGGUCACUCGUGCUGCUCACCGCUCGAUGCUCGCUUGGCUUGUUGCUCCCCGCUCAAUAUUCGAUGUUCAUUCUGUUCGAUGCUCACCCCACUUGACCCUCACCGCUUACCUUUCUUAGCUGACCUUGCUCAUCAUCGAACCCAUUGGGUCGGUAUGGUCCUCGGUUGCCCUUUUAAUGAGUACAAAAAAUGAAAUAAAAAAUUAUUGGUUAGUCCUGGGUUGACCUUGAAACUGGACCGAACCUAUUGGAUCAGUCCGGUCUUCAAUUACUUUUUUAAGGAGUAUAAAAAACGAAAUAAAAAAUUAUUAGUUGGUUCCAGGUUGACCUUGAAAUUGGACCAAAUUCAUUGGGUCAGUCCGGUCCUUGGUCCCAAGCUCAAUAGAGUGGGUCAUGGUCCCAAAAAUUGAGGACUAGCAUUGUGCGGGUUGAUCCUAGGGUUAAGGGGUGGACCAACCCAACCCGGAUCAUGCUAACCCCUAGCCAACAUUGUCCUAUUAGAUGAGCCAACGAAGUUGGCAUGAGGACGAAAAUGAACAUGAUCCAUCAGUAGAGACUCUCUCCACCAAGCUUGCUUUCCUUAUGGUUUCAAUUUCAUCAAGGACUUAAAUUGCAUUAUGAAAGUUUUUUAAUUAUGUUUUCCCCGUUUAUAAUUGUAGGGGGACUUUCUGCAUUUGGAUUUUCUAUUUGAUUAAUUUAAUGUGAUUUUGUUAGCAUAAAAAAGGAAGAGAUUGUUGAUCCUAAUUUAAUUCUGAUGAUUAAAAUUCUCACCCAAAUAUGUUAUUGAUUAUUUGGAAUUAUAAAUGUUGUAUGUAAGUUUUUUUUUUUUUUGGAGAGUUUCGAAAGGGUAAAACAAACCAUCUUUGAGUACUGUUUAUUCAACAAAGCUACCGAACUUUCGUCCAAGCAAUUCUAGAAUGCACGAAUUUUUCCAUUUGUGCACCCAUAAUUGAUGCAUUAUAAACGAGGGAUCAGCUAACAUUCGAUUGAGGCCAUCCAUCACAAACUUAGUUUCUCAUUUUUGAUUUCUCAUUCAUAAGAAAACAAAGUCAUGUCCAGUGUCCACAUCAUUCUUUCUAGCAGUAACGCAGAAAGAUAAAAUAAUCACAACUCCAGCAACGUUACCUUCUCAAGAGGUACAUAACCAGAGCUCACAUAUUUUCAAACACAGAACAGAAACUUCCCCCGAUGCUCUGUUGUCUCUCUUGCGAUUUGUUAGGCUCCAUUAGAGUUUUCAACUUAGGACAGUUUUCAAGAAUUGACUUCAACUUUCCAACCAUAGUUGGAACUUCUAAACCUGUGAAGAACACGUCAUUACUAGAUCAACAGAAAAGCGGACAACACAAUAAUGUUUGAGGGAAAAAAAAAAAACAAAUAGGUAUCAAUGGAUACCUACGAACAAGAUGAGAUUAUACUAGAGUCUGCCUCCCAAACACAAUAAGAACAAUUCUCAUCCUGGACUAGUCUACAAGACACGACUACAUUACACCGGUUUAAUUCCAGCAUUACACCGAGAGACAAAGCAUUCCUUCCAAUAGUUUUAACAAUAGAUCGAAGAUCACUUCGCUUUGGAACAAGCUGCUACUUAUUUUAAAAAACAAAAUAAGAGCUCUAAUUUCACAAAACUGGUAUUCGGGACAUUUAACUCUCGAGUUAAAAAAAUGGGUUUGGUUUUUCUUGGGAGGAGGGGGGUGGUUUAAAGCUGGAUUCAGGUAGGCAAAAUGACAAACAUCUGGUGGACGUCACCCAGAGGGGUUUCCUCAGACGAAGGUGAGGGGGACCAGCACUGGCGGUAGGAGAUGAUCUUGUUCACGUAGUUGUCAAUGGCUUCCGAAGCUCUAAACUCUCAAUCCACGGCUAAGCCACUAUUCAUCUUCACGGAUGAUUUUCUUCCGUUCUUACCUCGUGGAAUUUUGGACUGUACAGAGCAGUCCAAGGGGACUCCAUCACCCUCGCUCUCUUGCCUCACCAUUAUCAUUUCCACCGUCGGGACUUCAUUAUCCCCCUUGUAAUUGUGCCACAGCCUUCGUUCGAGCGCAAAGCAAAACUCACGACGUGUCAAAAAACGCUUUUGAAGAAGACGAGUUGACAGAGUACCGCGGCUGCAAAGGAGAGUUGCGACGCACGAGAGAUCAAUCGAGCUUCUUUGAAGUCAUCGGAAGAAAAGAGAGAGGAGGAAAUACAGACGAUGAAGAUUCGAAGAAGAUAAAAAGGUUUGAUCCAAGACCUGAUCUUCAACUAUUCUGAUUUGCUUUUUUUAUUUCCUACUGUUUUUACAGACUCAUCAGCGUUUACCAAGUGACGAAUCAAGUGCCCACGUAAUCCGCCACGUCAACCGUCGCCUCAUUUUGUAUACCAUGAGGCAGUAAAAUUUUAGUAGCUCUGGUAUCUUUAGAAUAAAAUUAGGUUGUUUGAGAUUCAAAUUGGCUAUAAAAAGUGCAAGAAUUAAUGGGACAUUAUAAAACCCAAAUACCUUUUUAUCUAUCUUCUCAUUCUUUUAUAUGCGAAAAACGUGACACCUCAUUUAGUAAAUGUGGCUGACGGAUAAUCUUUAUACAUCAUUUAUUCACUCAACUCAUAAGAUAACCACUAAAUCGGUUUUCCAAAAAUAUGGCAUUAUUAGAGUCAUGGAAGGUAUCAAUCAAAUACACCCUUGAACAUUAAGCAAGCUUGCUCUCUCAUAUUUUCGUGUUGAUCAAGCCAAACAAUACUUAAAUUCAUAUUGAGAAUUUUCGGUUUUAUGAUUUGAGUAAGAAUUAAGUCUAUCCACCAAAAUUUCGCAAGGAAAAUUUGAACAGCUAUCACCAAAUUUAGGUCUGGUACACUGCUCUUCAUAAUAUCAAAAGGGAAAGUAGAAACUAUUAGUUUGAUUGAUAUUUUUGAGUCAUAAUUCGCUUUCUAAUGUUCGCACCCAACAAUUAGUUUGAUGGCGAAGCUUGCAUUAAUACGGAUUUUGAAUUGGAAUUUAGCAAGCAAACAUAUAACAAGUUCUUCUAGAGCCAGCUCAAUCUAGUAUGUAGAUUCGACGCAUUCCUUCGUCUCUAGAUUGGCUGCUCUUAUUGAUUACCAUGUGGGGUUGGAAAGCAAGCGCAUACCUUUAUAAGGCAAACUGCUUUAAAAUCAUUAUUCAUUGUGUGAGAUAUCGAGCAUGAGAUACAUGGAUGGAUGACAUCAUGUAUGUGCAUUGAAUAUGGACUGACAUUUGUGUACAAUGCAAACCAAAUGCCACACAUGACAAAGUGUUACGUUGUGAAAGUCACCUCUUGAACCUCGUUGGGAUAAAUUAUCACAUGAUGGGAGCCACCUCUAACUUAAGAAUCCUAUUAUAGCGUGAUCGCUUGCGUACAUCAACAUGUUUAGCUAUAUAAUAUUGUUGUAGCAAAUUCACUCAAUGUAAGUUGAUUUGACUGUCAAGCGAUUGGGAAAACAAAUAACAAGCUUACUUUCCGAUUCUAGCUUGGCUCUAUGAAGUGAUUAAACUAUCCAUAAACUUUUUUUCCAAAGAUGGCUUUUGAUGGUGUGCGUGUAUGCGUGCUAGCUCCUGGAAGCAAUGGAUGAAAUGGUUUGACAGAGACCGAUCUAAUAACAGGACUAGCAAAUUGCUUAGAAAUUAAAGUGGAAGUGCUGCAAGGAAUAAAGGAAAGCAAUGCAAGAGCACCAAACUCAAAGGAAGAGCCGACUGAAAUAAACUGAAAACGAGAUUACUAGGACAUUAACAUUGCUGGGAUUGAAAUUAUUCACAGUUGUACAAAUGACGCUCGAAUGGAGACAAUGACAUGAACGUUACAACGAUACUCGAAGGGAAAUCAGCAGUAAUUUUGGCGGGGUUUUGGUGUAAUUUGAACAUAUCUUCUUUCUCUGCAUCUCUUUUUUUUUUUUUUCCGUAAGUCUUAAAUUCCCUUUGAUUAUUACUAGGUCGAUGAUCAUUUCUUAACUAAACUGCUUUCAUAUAUCCAUGAUUUCCUACCUCAACUGCCUUCAUGUACCCAUAAUUUCCCGACCUAACUAAAUUUCCGAUUCCUGAGCAUUUCUCAUCAACUACUUUGUCUCGUUCUAGCUUGGUAAAGUUUAUAACUGUUUCUGCUUUUUUUGAAUUCGAAGUAGGUCGAAGACUCUCUUUCUCAAAGUUCAGCGGAAUGGUCUUUCAUGAGCAUAAAAACGAAAUUGAACUUGAUACAGCUUGGCUUGUGAUUCUUUACUACCAACAUAUUGUUGACUUAUUGUUAUUAUUAGACGACAAUUCAGUCACACAACCAAAGCACAAAGUAAACCAUCAAUUCGCAAUAUAUGAUCAGCAGUCCAGCACGUUGAACGACAACAUCCAAAUCACUCCAUCCGAUCUCAGAUUGACCAACGACGAAGACAAAUUCGUUAUUAUCAUCUCUGAGGCAAAACGUCGAACAGGUGGUAAUCACUAAGGGCGAGGUGUUCUGCAAAUACGAAUUCCCAUCAAUUGGCAAGGAAUAUAACAUGAGAAAUCCCUCCAAAAAAUUGCUAGAGCGGAAGCGACGAAUUCGAGACCAAAUUUGAAGCUCUCUGCGAAAGGGCAAUACAGAACAAUCGUAUGAUUGAAUCUCGAUGAAUCGACCGCGUCCUACCCUGAGGGAGAUCCGAUCCGAAUGGUUACCUACUAAUAAAUGAAAGACACUCAAAAGACUUGGAGAAUCUCACGAAGGCGAAGCUAAGGCGACGAAUCAAUUCAGCGACGAAAUUGCUUGAUGAAGAUAUUCAGCUGCAACUGGCUCCGACCGCGGGCGUACACAUUGGAUUUGGUCCAGAGCGCUGAAGAUAAGAGAGAGAGAGAGAGAGAGAUUUUCUUGGUCCGGGCGUGUGUUCUUGCUUCGCUCAGUUCCUCAGCCUCUCCCGCCCGCACCAAGCGAGGGAGAAAGAGCACGAGAGAAGUUUCGAUCGGUGGUGAUGAGCGUCCGUUCUCUUCUCUGUCACGGCCAAGGUUGCGGUUACCGACGAGGAAGAUGGUGCAGACGAUCGAUUGAGGGUGACGGAGCUGAAAGGAAGAGGCGAUUGGUCCGAAUAGCUAGCUAGAGGAAUGGAAUGGGCCGGACUAGGUCUCCGAAGCGCUACCGAAUCGGAAUGAGGCCUUCUUUAUUUUAUUUUAUUUUAUUUUUUUGUAUUUGGUUAAUUUUUAUUCAUCCAUCAUUUUUUUAUUGCCCAUUUAUUUAUUUAUUUAUUUAUUUUUAUAUACGUCACAAAAAAUGCACGUUCGAUUUGUUGGGCGAAAUUCUAGGCGUCAACAAUUAGUAACAUUUUAAAGUAGCUAACUUUAUUAAUUUAAAAUGAGAGUUUACCAUUGAUAUUUUACUAGCGAUCGUGUUUUUAGCUGAAUAAACUCUACAUAAUCCAAUUAUGAGGUCGGCAGUUUUGUGAAAUUAAUUGACAGAUAAUUGAGUACAUGAAGUUCUGUAUAUUAUAUCACUUGAGAGUUAUUUAUACAUUUUUUAUUUUUUUUGGGCUAGCUAAAUAGGUGAUAAGUUGUCAUCCGAAGUAGUGAUGAAUCAUGCUGGUCGUUACAUCCUCAAUCACGUUCUUCACGUUGUGUAUUUUACCAAUAACUUUUUCCCACGAUUUAAUGAUUUAAAUAAUGCAAAAUAAGAUAACCUUGACUAUAAUGCGACUAUUUUGCCGGUUUUGGAUUCUGCAAUAAAAUAUCUUUAACUAAGUGUUAUAUUUUGGUUUUUAUUAAAGGAGACUUAGGUUUUGUGCUAAUAUUGGAUAAAGAGAGUCAAAUGCUGACAGAGCUAUAUAUCACAUAGUUCCCAAUAUUAUAAAGUCGCUUAAUAUGAGGUCAAAAUCAAUGAUAACCACUGUUGAUAUCCAAUCAACAAUUUGUUCCAAACUCACUUUAACAUACUAAUGAAAACCUAUUAAAAUCAAAGCAGUUUGUAUAAUAUCGAAAUUGAUUCAACAACACUAGAUAUUAACAAAAGCACAGAGAAAGCAUUGCUUUCAAAUGGGUUCGAGGAUACAACGUCGGAAUCUAAUCAAUAACGCUGGACAGUGGGGAUAAUACCUAAUAAACACAUCUUCUAAGUGAAUAUGAGGACGCGACGUCGAAAUAUAAUCAACAACACUAGAUGGUGGUAACAACACCUAGUAGACAUUGUUCCUAGAUGGAUAUGAAGACAUAAUAUUGGAAUCUAAUUGAUGAUGUUGGACGAUGGUAAUAACACUUAGUGGGUACUGCUCCUAGAUGGAUAUGAGGACACAACGUCGGAAUCUAAUCAACGACGUUGGAUAAUUGGUUAGUAUUAAAAUCUAAUAUACCACUACCUAGGAUAUGGAUACUUGUUGGAAUUGAAUUUACGAUGAAAAUCUUAAGCUACAACUAAACUAGACUAAGAUAAAAAGGUAAGAUAAAAUAGUUUUGUGUGUUGUUUGAAGGGUUUCUCUAUUGGAUUGCCUACGGUAUUUAUUGGCCAAUUUGUAAUUUUUGGUAGUUGAUUGCUUCCUCCUUAAAAGUUACUCCAUGUUCAACGACGAAUCGCCUUCUGGUUGCUUUCUAAUUUGUUCGACAAUGUUCUCAUGGCUUAUUUAGCAAGUAUUAACCGCUCAUUUGACUUUGGCGCCCUUUUAAGCAUCAACCAUUCCUGCACAAACUUCGUUGUCAAUUCCAUCUAAAUGUUAUGUUUUCAACGGCAUCUCUUGACUUGGACACGUGGCAAUCAAUUGCUCUAUCAUCAAAUCAUGUAUCUGUAUUUGUAGGUCCAUUGAAAUCUAGCCUGUAGGCUCUCGAAAUCCUUGGCCAUUCUUUGUUUCUAUGACUACCAUGGACUAGGCUAACCUAAAUCAUAGCCCAUGCGUGACAACGAGGGUGAUUUCAAAGGCUUUUAUCCCUUGUGAUCAACAUAUGAUAGCAUGGGUAUUUUUAGGUGUCAACAGUGACAAUUUAAUUCAAUCCAUCACCUGACAUCACAUACAGCUUUUAUAGUUGAUUUGAUUAUAUAAUUCUUUCAUUUGUUUGGGAUCACACAUAUCACUAACGAAGCAAGCAUGUAAAAGCAUUUCACAUUAUUUAUAAUUACUAGAACUUCAUAUGAGUUUCUAAAAAAACUGUAGCAUUUUGUAUUAAAUGCUAAAUAAUUUAGGAUCAAAAGCUAAAGUACAAUGAAGCAAGACAAGAAGUAUAGCAAAAUAGUACUGUCAUGUUCACUACAUGCAAAUAAUAUCUUCACUUUCUUAAACUUUCAAAUAUCAAUUUAUCGUGUACAUGCAACACUAUGAUAUUUGCCAUGCUGGAGAAACUUGAGCCAGACAUGAUGCCCUCUUCUAACUCUAAGGCUAAAUCACAGAUAACUCUUGUCAAACUGACCAAAUUCAACAACUCCAUCUAACACUCCCCACAGUGCAUUUGGUUUGAGAAUUUUAAUCCAUACGUGAUUCAAGUCAAAUGAACCGAGAGGCUCCCAAUAGCUCAUUUCGCCUUUGGCCAUGAACAAGUGGCACUAUGUUGGCAUCUCUCCUCCAAGGCGAACAUUUUGGUAAUAAGGAGGAAUUUGGGAAUAACAAUGCUUAAGGAGGAAUUUGGGAAUAACAAUGCUUCUGUUAUAUGGGCAUAUUUUUAAAAGGAUGUGAGUUUGUAGUUAGUUCAAGAAGAGUUUGAUUUUGAGCACAUUCCUAGUAAUUCAACCGCAGCUAGAGCUCUAUAAUAAUUAGACAUAUUGAUCCUUAGUUGCAUUAUAUACAUUACUCAUGCAAUAGAAAUCAUUCCCUUGUCAAUUUUGUAGCCACCCCUAACACUAAAUUAGACAUAUUGAUCCUUGGUUCCAUGAGAUAAGUAUACCUAGCCACUCACUUAGUGUCUAGUAUAAUAGACUUUCUUAUUGAAUACUUCGAUAAAGUUCUGAUUUACAAUAAUUGAUAUAGUUAUUAGCCAUGUAUUUAAGGUCUAUCUUGUGGUUAUGUUCAACCAUUAUGUAUUAUGAAGGAGCAUAAUUUUAACAACAAAUACAUGACGCAUUAUUUUCAAAUAUUUUAUGAUUUUUUUUUUAAUUUUUAUGAAUUCUCUUGAUUCUUAAUUUUUUUUAUAUUUAUUAGUUUAUUAUUAUUAUUUAUUUUUUAUAUCUUUUAAUUCAGACUAACACUUCGGGCUGGCUCUGGUCUCGCGGGUCUGGGGCCGAGGACACAAAUGGGCUUAUUCAAAACAAGCCCAUUUGAAUAGAAAAUCACCAAGCCCAUUUCGUUGAAAUUAAAAGGCACUAAGCCAAUCUUGCUAAAAACAAAAAACUCAGCCCAAGCACCUCUGAGACUAAGACCAGCCCGAAUCGAUUAAAACCACUCAGGUCCAAGAUCCAUCAAAUAACCCACGCCGUGCUUAAAUCCACACGACCCAUUCACGCUUCCUUCCUCUUUUCUCAUCUAAUUUUCUCUUUUUCUUUUUUUAUUUUCUAUUUCUCUUCCCUUCCCCUGUGCAUCACCUUCUUCCCGAGAACGACUUCUCCUUUGCGACCUCCUUUUCAACCUAAUCCCACCAUUUUCCGAUAAGCCCUAGCCGGCGCUCAGGCCACCGCCGAGCCACCACCCGGCGUCGGUCGUUCAGUCCGACAACGCCAGUCACCGCCGGCCAUCACUUGGUCGCCGGUCGUCCGUCCCUCGCGCGGGCCAAACCGAACCUCAACGGGGGCCAAACCGAACCUCAACGGCGACUUUAACGUCACCGAAACACUUCUAACAGAACAAGCACACAAAUGGAGUGGAUAGCAAACUAACUACGGUGGCCUCUAAUCGCGGGCUUCUCCAGCUGAAGGAAUGGCAUCUCCGGCGAAGCGUUUACGGCCGGACGCAGACGAUGAGAAAUAUGCCACCAAAAAAUCAAAGAAAACGCCGAUUCAGUGUCGGUUCAAUGAUUUCAUAAUGAAUAGAGCACAAAAAAGUAACAUUUCGAGCAUCUGGCUAAAAUUGAAUUCGAUUUUUCAUGGAGACGUUCCGUCGAACAGUUCACGUGCAGUUCGGAAUGCCACCUCUAGUUUCGAGAGCUUGCUGCGACGAACGGCGACGAGCCAGUCGGCUUCCCCGGAAGGUCGCGGGGGUGAUGAUCAAGGCGGACCACCGACGAAAUGAAAGAAUUCUCUCCUCUCGGUUUCAGAUUCCUCUUCGAAACACCUCCGGCUCCAGCCCUCCGAACCGAUCCCCUCUCUCUCUCUCUUCUUCUUCCUCUUUCGUUUCUGCUCCAUCCUUACCUUUUCAAGAAGAACAAAUUGAACUCCUAACGGGGAAAGCCCAUGGCCCAUACGGCAUUCGUCUCCAUCUUCUUCGCUGGCCGAUCCUCGCUGCGGUUCGAAUCGCC